UGCCUCCGCAUUUUCCUAAUCAUCCCUCUUCUCUAAUCUCUAGAGUUCUCUGAAAUCUCUUCUUCAUUUUCUGUCUCCCUUUUCUGAAUCGUUCUUGUCCUCGAUCCUACACCUUCUUUGCAAAGCUUUCAUUUUCUGCCUUUACAAAGGAUCCCCUUUGUUUUAUCUCUAGAUUUUUCACUCUUUGCCUCUCCUCCUCCCUUAAAUCUAUUCAACCUCUUAUUUUAGCAAUUUAUCCAAACUUCUUAUUUCCCUCUUCCCAGCUGAUUGAUUAGUUCUGCUCAGUUUGAUUAGUUUUGCUUUCCCCUGUUUUCUGAAAGGGAAAAAUAAAAAAGAAAAGGAUAAUGGAAAUUGUUAUCUCCGUUGCUGCAAAAGUUGCCGAGUACUUCGUUGCUCCCAUAAUUCAUCCAUUUACUUACUGCUGCACUUAUAAGACCAACUUCGAAAAGCUGAAUAAUGAAGUUGAUAAGCUCAAGAAUGCUAGAGACAGUGUGCAGUAUAAGGUUGAUGAUUCCAGAAUUAAAGGGGACGGAAUCCAACUGCACGUUGAGGAGUGGCUGAUUGCUGCGAACAAGGAGAUCAAUGAAGUCGAAACACUUAUUGAAGGCAAAGAGAAUUCAAACAACCGGUGUUUGAAGGGGUUAUGUCCUAAUUUGAGGACUCGGUACCGGCUUAGCAAGAAAGCAGAAAGAGAGGCGAAUGCUAUUGUUGGACUCCAUGAAAAAGGGAGAUUCGACAGUGUUUCUUUCCGUACCAUUCCAGAGGAGACAUGGCUUAAGUCUACCCAGGAUUUCAUGCACUUUGAAUCGAGAAAGUCCACCUUGAAGGAGAUACUAGAUGCACUGAGCAACCGUAACUUCAACAUGAUUGGAGUGUACGGGAUGGGUGGGAUUGGAAAGACAACGCUGGUGAAAGAAGUUGGCAGGCAGGUCAAGGAAAAUAAUCUCUUUGAGAAGGUCAUUUCUUCACGUGUUUCACAAACACCGCAAAUAAAAAAUAUACAAGGAGAAAUCGCAGAGAAGAUAGGCUUAGAAUUGGCCGAACAGAGUCAUGAAACUGUAAGAGCAGGGAGGCUGCUUGAACGAUUGAAGAAAGAGACGAAGAUCCUUAUAAUCUUGGAUGAUAUUUGGGGGAGUAUGGAUUUGGAGGCGAUUGGAAUUCCAUUGGCAGAUGACAACGGCGGAUGUAAAGUUCUGCUGACAGCAAGAAGUCAGGAUGUGUUAUCUUGUAAGAUGGAUUGUCAACAUAAUUUUUUUGUUGAUGUUCUGAACGAAAAAGAAGCUUGGAGUCUUUUCAAAAAGAUGACAGGUGAUUGCAUAGAAAAUGGUGAACUGAAAUCUGUAGCAACAGAGAUAGUCAAGGAAUGUGCUGGUUUGCCCAUUGCCAUUGUACCCGUAGCAAGGGCAUUGAGAAAUAAGAGAUUGUCUGAAUGGAAGGAUGCUUUGCUGGAAUUUAGAAGGCCUUCCUUGAGAAACUUCACUGGAACAACGGAGGUGGCGUACAAUAGUAUAGAGCUAAGUUACAAUCAUUUAAACGGAGAGGAACUGAAGAAAACAUUUUUGCUAAUCGGGUACACGUUCUUCUCUUGUGUUGAAGACCUACUCUAUUAUGGCAUGGGUUUGGGUCUGUUUCAAAACAUCAACACGUUGGAAGAGGCACGGGAUAGAGCACAUACAUUGAUUGAUAAACUCAAGAACUCUUGUUUGUUGCUUGAUGGCGGUUCAAGUGAAUGGUUUUCAAUGCAUGAUGUUGUUCGUGAUGUAGCCAGAUCAAUUGCAUCAAGAGACCAACAUGUGUUUGUGGUGGAAAAUGAGGUUGUUCCGCUGACCAACUGGCCAGAUAAGGAUACACUGAAGGUUUGCACCGCAAUCUCCUUAAAUAAUAGUAAUAUUAGUGAGCCUCCUCAAGGGUUCGAAUGCCCGCAACUUAAAUUCCUUUGUAUUGGCCGUCAUGCUUCUUUGAGGAUCCCAGAUAAAUUUUUUACUGGGAUGACAGAGCUUAGAGUUUUAGAUUUCACUAUGAUGCAUUUAAAACCAUUGCCUUCAUCUCUUGGUCUCUUACAAAACCUUCAAACAUUGUCUCUCGAUGAUUGUGAAGUAGGAGACAUGGCCAUUAUUGGAGACCUAAAGAAAUUAGUUAUCCUUACGCUUCGAGGUUCUAAUAUGGAGGAACUGGCUGGAGAGAUAGGCCAGCUGACUCAAUUGAGGUUGUUGAAUCUGGGCAACUGUUUCAAUCUACAAGUUAUUCCACCAAAUGUCAUAUCAAGCUUAUCACGAUUAGAAGAAUUGUAUAUCGGUGAGAGUCCCAUUAUGUGGGGGAAGGUUGGAGGAGUCGACGGUGAAAGAAGAAAUGCCAGCCUUGAUGAGUUGAAUAAUUUAUCUAAAUUGACCUCUUUAGAAAUACUCAUCCAAGAUGAAAAGGCUCUACCAAGAGACUUGUCGUUCUUCAAAAUGCUGCAAAGGUACAGGAUAUUGAUAGGAAAUUGCAGGGAGUAUGGCGCAUGGGAUGGGAUUUCUAGAACGUUCAGACUGGGGCUCACAAAUGGUGACAACAUUUGCUUGAACGAGGGGCAUAUCAUGCAAUUGAAGGGUAUUGAAGGCCUAACUUUGGAUGGAUUGCCGGACAUUAAGAAUAUUCUUUGUGAACUAGGCAGAGAAGGUUUUCCACAGCUGAAUCGUCUCGAAAUCCGACGUAAUGGCAACAUUGUUCGUCUUGUUGACACAAUGGAUUGUACGCCAGCUCGGACGACUGCAUUCCCACUUUUGGAGUCAUUAUUUCUGAGAGAUUUAAGGAACCUUGAGGAAAUAUGUCGUGGUCCACUCACACCAAAGUCUUUUAGCAAAUUAAAGACCAUAAGGGUGGAAGGGUGUGAUAAAUUGAAAAAAGUAUUUCCAUUGGUCAUUGGCAGAGGCCUUCAACAACUUCAGUCCGUUAAAGUGAGUAGUUGCCAAAAUAUGGAAGUGAUUUUUGCUGCCGAGAGAGGAGAUGAAUCCAGCAAUAAUAACGGUACUGAAGUGAUUGAACUCACUCAAUUAAGGACACUUGAGCUUCGUUCUCUUCCGCAGCUUACAAGCUUCGGCACAGGAGAUCUGCAUUUUGAAAAGGUAUUUCUACUUUUGAGAGUUCAGAGUUUUAUUGUCGUCAUCGCCCUCAUCACUUCGUCUUUUAGAAACAAAAUGUUAGUUCUAUAAAUCAGUUUAUUUAAUUAUACUUUAUAAUAUCCUUAUAAACAUAAUUAUCACUCUUCAGUAAUUCUUCUCAUUAUCGAAUAUUGAAUUGGCUACAACCAUAGAUGGAUUUGGAUGUCAGUUAGACCGAAUAAAAAAAAAAAGAAAAGAUAUUUAUACAACCAUGAUAACAGAAAUAGUGGCAGAUGAGGAUGAUGAGGGAGAUAAUUAUGCAGCAAAAGAUGAAAUUGUUUUCAGCGAAUUAAAGGAAUUGUUGCUUUGGGACUUAAAAAGUCUGACUAGUUUCAGCUGCUCUGGGAAUAAUUGCGACUUCAAAUUCCCAUCUCUAGAAAGAUUAGUGGUGGAAAAUUGCCCCAAUAUGAAGAUUUUCUCAGAAGGGGAAUUAAGCACACCCAAGUUACAGAAAGUGCAGCUGAGCGUGUUUGAUAAUAAACUUUGGGCUUGGGAUCGGGACCUUAAUACAACCAUUCAAUACCUUAAUACAACCAUUAAAAGAAAAAAGGUAAGUAUUCAUUCACUAUGAGAUGUUGAUUUUUUUUUUAAAUUACUGAUUUAAUAACAGAUAUAUAUAAAAAAGUAAAAAGAAAAAAAUACAUAUUAAUUUUUUUAUAAAUUCAUUUUAAAUCUGAAUAGGAAGAGGAGGAAGAAGAGAAAGAGAAGUCUGCCAAGGCGAAUGAAAAGGAGAAAGAUGCGAAAGACAGUGGUAAGAUAAAAUCUAUACAAUUUAGGAGGUUUUGAUUUGAUUCUAUUUUGCUGACUAAAAAUGUUUUAUUUAUGUUGAAUUUUUUGUUAUACGUAUUUUACUCUUUGUCUACAGAGUCUCGAAACUUAUGAAGACGAUUCAUGCUACUUGUGCAGCAUUUUGGAUAAGGCUCGAGCUCGAGUUCUUUGUAUAUAUUGAGAGUCAGAUGGUGUUGGUGAGAGGAUUUUUUGUUUCAGUUUUCAUUCAUUUUUAUGCUUUUAGCUUUGUUUGAGUGCUCAGAAAUCCAAUUUGAAUUUAGUUUUAUUUCUUAUGGAUGGUGUCCAAGAUCUGCCAUAUUCAAUUUGUAGGCAUCUGAAAAUCUCUUUAAGCCCUAAAUUAAUUAAAGAGAUGUGUGCAUCAUAUUUGUGUUCGUACACCUAUUGGUAUUUUUUGGAGACAAUUAUGUAAGAAAUUAUGUAAUUUCAUGAAAAUAUGAAGAUUUUAUAUAGAAAAUUAUGGAAAAAUAAAAGUUUACGGGUCGAUUGCUGUUGACAAGUUCCUCCAUUUACAUUAUUAUUAAUUAUUUUUGUUGGUGAAAGCUAAGAUUAGAAGAAUGCGACAAUAAGAAGAUUAAAUACUUUGACAAGUUCCUCCAUGUUCAUUGUAGUAGAUAUUCAACAAAGAUGAUAAUACAGCAACAGAAAUUGGAGUUUUAAGCCAUCAGACACAAACAAUUGUGAAACAAGUGGGUAGAGGGAAUAAUAAAAAUCGAAAGACAUGGAUGGGAAGAAUAUGAGAUCAUUGAUAGAACCUAAAUACAAAUUCAAUCAAUUCAUUAAGCCAUCAAAAGUUAGUUACAAACCACUCUAUCUUAACAUAUGUAAUUUACCAUCAUCUAAAACCACUAUAUCCUAACAUAUGUAAUGUACCAUUAUCAAUUUUCGCUAUGUUAUGUCUGUAUAGCCUAAUAUGUUUGGCUUGGUUUUGUCUAAUAUGUUUAGCUUGGUUUUGUAUCCUUUCCAAACAUAUGAAUAUUUACUCAAGCGCAUGUUUGGGCCAUCUGAACAUUGAGUGGUUUGAUAUCUCUGCAGCGCAUGUAGGUCAGAAACUGACCAGGCAGCUCCUCCAAAAGUGCUUGUACAACAGAAAUUUGCCCACCUGUUCAGAAAACAAUGGGUUCGUUUGUUCAGGCAUGAAAAAAUUCAGAAACUUUUGUGAAUUAACUCCUAAAUUCAAUAGUUUGAACUAAUUUUGUCAAUGAAUCAUAUGCACUCACUAUGAACUUCUUGCAUUGGAACAAAUUGUACUAUAUCUCUGGUAGCUACCCGAUCGGUAGAGCUCUCUAAUCUACGGCCAUUAUCAGCAUCAAGAAUCUGCCAACAAAGUUAUCAGCGUCAAGAAUCUGCAACAAAAGUGGGAUAAUACCACACUGCAUAUAUACUCUAAAUUGAAUCUAUCAAACUAUAGAAAAAAGAAGUUCAAUGCUAGUAAGAAGAUAUUCCAGUUGGAAAACAUUGCGUACCUCCAUUUGUGUAAAAUCUGCACCUCCCACACCCACAAUUAGAAUUGACAGGGGAAGAUCAGAAGCCCUUACCAAAGCAUCUUUCGUUUCUUGGAGAUCUGUCAGAACUCCAUCCUAGAUAGACCAUGCAAAUUUACAAAUCACCCAAAAAGAAUGAUAGAAAGAGAAAACUGUGAAUAUAUAGAAUCAUUGUAAUCACCGUUAUAAUGAGUAAGACGAAAUACUUGCUUCUGUCGUAUGAGAGGGAUUGUCCAGCAAUUCGUGCAGCUGUGUUGAUCACUUGACCAAACAGAGUCGGUCCUGCCAAAGAAACAUUGUUUAGAGCGCUUGCAUAAGCAGCCAUAAUGCCUUCAACUCCAUCUACCUAUUAAAUAAAGAAACCAGCAGUUAAUAAAAAAAAUGGAAGAGGAUAAAAUAUACAUCUUUUAGGAUAAAAUUCCAAGGAAAUUUUCAGAAAAUGUAGAAACAUAUUAUAAUGUUUGUUAUUAAAAAUGAAAAGUUAUGGGAGACAAGCCAACCAAAUAAGGAUUACAGCAAAGUAGCGAACUCCAGUUACCCCUACCUCAAAGCCACCUGCUCUUCCAUUCAAGUUAAAACAAUGUGAUACAGUGCCAUCAAAUGUCUUCCCUCCAAAUCCCCAUGCAAAAGCGUCUAUCAGAAUCAUAAAAUUGUAUGACCUCCCCAAUUUCCGUUAUUGCCUGUAAAUGGUUUAAGUGGCCAAUAACUAAUCAGUGAUAUUCUCUCUCAACUUCUACGAACUAUUGAAAUAUCUAUUUCCCUAUGACGGCCAUAGAAAGACUUGAAAGUCACAUGCAUUUUCUAAGUCGAAAACACUGGACAAAAUGACCAUUUUAUGACCUUCAGAGUUCAGAGAUCACUUGUCAAAAUGUGAGUCAUAACAAAACCUUACCUGCUGGUAAGAAUUCAAUCUGCCUGAAGGAUCAAUAUAGUGCAAAGAAUUUGGAUUUCGAGGAUUUCCAUUUGAAGCUGGAUGAUUUUGCAUUUAACGAGAGGCAAGAUGAAGUUGGACCAAAUAAGAGGAAAUAAACAAAACAAACCGAUUAUAUUGCCAAUUUAUCUUCAACAAGCAAUCUCUUUCUAAUUACCUGUAAAGUCGACUGCAACCAUAAAAUUCAACUCAAAGCCACUAGAUAUGUAAUCCAGAAAACUAUAUUGCUCUUUCUCAACAAACUUUUCAACAAACAACUGACUUUUCAGAACCUAGGAAAAAGUCAGAUAAAAAAUAAAGUGAUAUUAAAUUAUCAAAAACCGUAAGCAUGAACAAACACCUUUGGUGGAGUUAAAACAAAAAAGAAUAAACACCUUGUCAUGGCCACGUUGAGUUGAUGGUAACAUAAAAGUUGCACCAGUUCUUUCUUGAUGAAGUUUCUCAAGGUCUCCAACUGAUUUCUGAAUUUUACUAAUAACAGAAAUAGAAAACCUUGACAUCAGAAAGGCAAAAGGAUAAAAGAGGGAAGCUGAUGACAUUAAGAAAUUUAACAGUUACCCCAUCAGUACGUGAUUUCCACUGGUAUUGAAAUCAAAACAUUCAAUGAUUAAUGGGUUUUCCUGUACCAAAGAGAAUCAUAAACUAAAAAACAUUUCCCCAUGACCAAACUUCACUACCUAAUAUACAUUUAAGUAACAAGCACAAGAAGAUGAUAAGGUUACCUUGCUCACAAAUUGCUGCAUGCUCAAAGUUAUUGGUCUCCAAAUGGGAUUCAAGUUAUUGUUUAUCACCUCCGUCUUGUAGAUAGGAACAGAAUUUCCACUCUCAACAAUUCUAGAUAUUCUUAAGAAUGGAUCCUAUAGAAUAUAAGAAGAAGAAGAAUGAGCAUCUAAAUUAAUAGAUUAAUUAGUGAACCUCCAAACUUAGCUACUUUGUCAGAACUUACACUUUUGGAAAACAGGUCUACAUUUUGCAAAUGUGAGCAACGGAAUGCUAUUUCAACAGCACUCUUGGAAGCAACCGUUUCCUCAGCAUGGACAGAGAGUGUCCCAAAGUUUCUUGAAACUCGAAGUCCAUAAUUGUUAUGGAGUUUUAAGGUUAAAGUUCGAUUUUGUUUGGUCACUAUCUGCCAUUUAAAAGGAAAAUAUGACACUUGUUAGUGCAAAAGAAGAAUGCUAAAGAAGAAGACGAAUGCUAGUAAAAAGCAUCUGAGAAUAUUUUGCCCUUUUUUUGAUAGGAAACAGAUUUUUACAGAAAAUUAGAUGGGCAUAUUUUGCCCAUUGAAUAAAGAGAAUACAUAAAUUCAUCAAACAAAAUAUAACCCAGAAACUUACCUCAGAGAGAACACAGCUAGCUUCUCCCAGGAAGUCUUGAUCCUCCAACUUUAGCAUCUGCAGGGCAAUGUAAAUAAGAAGUUUGAGCUUUAAACUUCACACUUCAACAAAUAUUUUGUCAUGAGAUAAUAAUGACUUGAAAGUAAUUAGGGAUCACUGCAGCAAAGAAUCAAAAGAACACUAGAUUUCCUACUUAAUGUCUUAGAAUCCAUCUGGAUUUGUUCAUUUUCUCUUUCCACUGGUAUAAAUUUACAUAUUUAUCAUUUUUCCCAGUAAUGUUAAUACCAUUUACAAUUGACAUAAAUAAUCAUCACAUUUUUAGAUUAUCUAACUGUUUUCAGCAAAUGCUUCCAAAUGAUUACAGUUUCUAGGAUUAUAACCAUCAAAAAAUUUUCAUUUUGACUCAAAUUCCACAGACGAAUACAUCAUAGGCUCUAAAGAUUUACUUAUCCAUUUCAAUACUGACAAUAUGGUCAUUUUUUACAGAAACUUCUUUAGGUCAUGGCAGCAACUAUUUAACUGUAUUGUUUUUAACAACAUAGAUCAAAAUUCCAUUUUGGAAAAAAGAAAAUUUAUCCGUAAGGACCAUCAGAAAAAUUGUUCUUUCCCAGUUAUGGUAGCAGGACAAAUAUGUCAAACCUUGCAAGAUGCAAUAGCAGAAAGUUCCAUAAUAACUACCCUGGCCUUAAGAUUUGUUUAUGGUAUAUGACAGCCAACUUUUUAAGUUUCUUUCCAUGCUAAAUGUUAGUUUAUAAUCAAUCAAGUAUUCCCAAAUUUCCCGAAAUUGAUAGAAACUAUUGCUGAUGCAAUUUAGUUUAGACGUAUGCUUAGACAACAAAUGGAUCAGUCAAAUGCCUUGGCUAACUCUAAACUUUGGAACUGAAGUAUGUGCGUAUCAUUUACAUCUGAAUUGAGAGAAAAAAAAAUAAUUAAGAAAUUUUAUACCUUCACUGGAAUAUUGUGGUACUUGGUAUCCACAUCAUACACACGAAAGCUGGAAAAAGAAGAAAAGCAUUAAGAAAUUCGAAAACAUUAAAUAUUAUCAAAUCAAGCAAGGCUUAAGCGCAUGACCUAUCAAGAAAAAAAAAACUUUAAAAAGAACACACUAAAAACUUACACCAAGGGCUGGACGAUCUCAAACUGAAAAGCAAUUGAAAUCUUUCCAAUCCAAGCAGGAUUCAAAUUGUUCAUAAUCACCUCUGUACGUCCAAUCUCGUCCAGCCUCCCAUCUCUUUUCUUUGCAUACACAACUGCCGUGGGAUCACUCUAUGACACAAAAAGACAUGUAAAUACAUUUGCUUGUGAAUAUAAAAAUAAUAAAAAAAAAAACAGAAGGCAUAUGGGUAUGUAUCCACUUAUGUCAUAUAAAUAUAGACAUAUAUUAGUUAAAUAACUUUAGUUGUCAUAUAAAUAUAGACAUUUAUUAGUUAAAUAACUUUAGUUAGUAAUCCAUCGUUAAAAUACAGCAGCAUUUUAUGUAUGCUAGUAUCAGCCAGUAAAAAGAUAUACGGCUGAUAAAUGUUCAUUAUCAAAGAAUUUUAUCUUGCACAUAUAACAUAUUUGACUAGUGCUCAAAAUUGCAAAAACAAUAAAACCACCAACCAUGACUUGUUAUACAUUAUCUGGAACUCUCAAGUUACUGCUCCUUACUGGAUUACAUUGGAGAUAGACAGUGUAUAUAACAAACUAUUCUUCUUUGUCUAAGUUUAGAAUUUUGGUGCCAGCACUAAGCGUUAUUAAGAUCAUAUAUCCCUAGACCCUUUAUGAACAGAGAAAGGAAAUUGACAGGGCCAUUAUGAACAAAUAAGCAGAUCAUAUAAGGAGGAUACAAGAUAACAUGAGAAUCAAUCACCAAGACUAUCAACAGCAUGAACAUGGCAUUAUCAGACAUAAGACAACAAUAAUAUGAAGGCGUACCUUUGAUGCGAUGUCAAGAUCACGUAACUUUGAAGCAGAUAAAGAUAACUGCAAUAUAUAUUCAAAAACAUAAGAACGAAUACAGAUACAUGAAAAAGCAGAAAAGGAGUAAUCCAUGCAUAUGCUGCACGAAAUGAAAAUUGUCAGUACGAUGUGGGUCAACUGACAGGCAAUAUAUAUCUGUCAUAAACAGAACAUGCAGAAAACCAUCAUUUCGGAUUCUGACAAUCACUUCUAAUAUUAAAUCUUAUAAGCAGGCAAUAAUAUAUGUAAUUAAGUUUUAUAUAACAACAGGAUGUGACACGUCAAUUACAAGCAUUGAACCACAUUUAAUUUGUUAUCAUAUGACUUGUUUCCUUUUCUCCAGGAAAGUUUCCAAGGAGAUCCUCAGGUAAGGUCCACAUCAAUACAGGAAUAUUACAAUUACUUGGUGGUCCAUGUUAUGGAAAGACAUUCUUAUCCUCGUAACAACAUAAUCCUUAAUCCACAAUUUUUUAUAAAGUUAAUGGUUUGUCUUAUGCAAACCAGCAUUCACAAAAUCAUGUUCCAUUCAGGAGAGCAUUAUCAUGGGGAAUCUUCACAGUGGUACAAGUCAAAUUUGAUCACGAGGGGUAUGAGUCAAAUUUGAUAAAUGAGGCAUAACAGAAUAGUCAACUUUGAGGAUACACAGGAAAACCACUGUGCAUUCAACAGGAUCAAACAUCAACUUUCUCAACGUUCACAAGGCCUUUGUGCAUUCAACACCAUUCUUUUUUUAUUUACGUUAUCCAAUCUUAAUCUAAAAUUCACUUCACAGAAUGUUGUCAUUGGGUAUAAGCAGUUAAACUUACUGUUCUCCCUAUGCAAAACAAAAGCAGUUGCUUGGUGUGAAACCGUCAAACCAACACCAGCAAAAGAUCAGCCACAAGAAAAAAAAAAAUGCUUCUCAAAGAAGCACUUGACAGGCGAAUAUUCUUUUGAGAAGGUGCUUAACUCCUUUGUCCUUUGAAGAAGCACCAAGUAAAAUAUUCGCCCUCCAAAAUUCCGAAUACUUCUCUUACAUUAUUAAAAAAAGGCAUGUUUGGAAUUGCAGUUGAUUCUUGAAUAAGAAUUUACUCCCGAUUAUGUUCGAAUUAUCAAAUAAUUUUUAUCAAAUAUAAACAAUUUAAGUUGUUCUUUUAGGGAUGUUACACUGACAAGUCAUCAAAGAAGUAAUAAUAACAAACAUAAUUUGGGUAUAGAUUUUCAAACGAGUGACCAUUUGAGAAUCCAUCACAAUUACAGAAACCAACGAAGUCAGAUUUAAAAAAGUAAAAUAAAAAAUUAUAAAUAAAUUAAAAAACAUAAACUAAUCAUAAAUUUACAAAUUUUUAAUUAAUUAAUUAAUUAAUUAACUGAAAAUAGUUUAUUAAUAGUGGCAGCGAAAGACUCAUAUAAAUUCAGGUAUACAGAUAUACCUCGAUUUGGGUGAAAAGGGCUUGAAGACCGCGAGAUUUGAAGAAGAAAUCAACGGCGUCGUUUUGUCCAGAAACAUUGUUCUGAUCAGCCGCGGUGGUGGGCCGAAGCUGGGCCCCACCUACGGCUUGUUUCCCUCCCCUCACAUCACUCCCAGACAAACAUAAUCCCAUCUGUUUUUUUUUUUCUCUCUCUCUGUCUUUAUUCUCAAGAGUACGGAGUCUCACUGUUCGGUCGAUGUUCUUUAAUCGCUCAAAUCCGUAGCCUCUGACAGAGAACUGGGGCGGGGCUUUACUUUUGCCCUCUAUUUAUAGGCUUCUGCGCUUGAGUCGUAUUUGAAUUUGACUCUGUUUCUGCUGCGAAAAUGUCAAGAAAAAAAAAAAAGUUUUUUUUUUUUUGUAUUUGAAUUUGAAUACUUCUAGGGGGAUUGAUGAUGGAUUGUUUUACUGUAUUUGGAAGUUGGAACGUUUAGGCCCACCUAAUUAUCAUUAAUAAUAGAUAGUUAUAUCAAAAUUUACCAACUUCAUUUUAGCUAUGAUAUUAGCUUGCGCACUAUGAAAUGAUUAGGUUUUGUAAAUUUUUUUUUUUUUUUUUACAGUAUCUUAGAGAAUAAGUUUCCAUUGUAUGUAACCGGCUAGAGCCCCUCCCUCACAAAUGUGAGGGAAGGGGUUCGAGCCUCCGCAGUCGCAUUGUAGGGGUUUAAUUUAAAUAUCCUUCCUUGUAGCCCUUGAGCUCGAGUGAAGGCAGUCUUUCUCCCAGGAUGGGAGUUUGACAUCCCUCGAAUAUUUGAGAGGGUUAAAAAAUCUUAGCGGUGCCAUAUCAGCAUUAAUGUCAACAGAGCUCAGUAUAAAUAUAUGAUUGUACAUAUCAAUUAUACUCUCAUGUAAUAUGAGUUAAGCCCUUGAGCUCGAGUGAAGGCAGUCUUUCUCCCAGGAUGGGAGUUUGACAUCCCUCGAAUAUUUGAGAGGGUUAAAAAAUCUGAGCGGUGCCAUAUCAGCAUUAAUGUUUAAGACAAAUUCUAGAAUCUAAAGUAAAGAAUCGGUAAAUUUAUAAAGAAAUAUGAAGAAACAGCAAGGUAUUGAAGAAUUCAAUUUCUCAUUAUAUUUGGACAUUUGGACGUCAUUAAUGUUAAUUGAUUUUUUUCCGCGUAAAAAAGUUUCGGAUUUAUUUUGUUCCUCCAAACGCCAUUCAUUGGAAAUAAGUUUAUUUUUCUGACAACUUCAACUCAUAAAUUUUAAUUAUUUUGUUAUAAUAAUAGUACGAACAAUUCUAUGUAUUACGAACAAAAAAAAAAAAGAAUCUUAAUUUUAUAUCAUAUAUAAUUAUAUAUAUAUAGACUCAAUAAGAGUAUUAUUUAUCAUGUAAUUUAUUAAACUAAUCUCACCUAAAAAGUUGUUGAGAAAAGACAGUAAGUUAAUAAAUAUUUCGUCUUCCCCAAGGUUUUUGAUUAGAAGAAUGACUUGAUAUGGCUGAUAUUGAUAAAUUAAAAAGGGAAAAAUAAUAAACAAUGGAGGAAUUUUCAAAUUAGGUCAACAAUCGUAGUCUAUUUUAUUUCGUAAUAAUGGCAAUGACGAAGCCCUUAUAACAUAAGCUUGCAAACGUAAUCAAGAUAUCCGUGGAAAACAAGCAACAAUUCCAAUGGGGUGGAAUAAAAUGUCUAAUAUUUAAAUUUUUUAUUUCAAUUUCUGUUUAUAUAAUUUAUUUAAUUUAUAAUAAAGAUGAAUAAUUAAAUAAAUUUUAAAAUAUCUUAAAAUAAGAAUAAUACUAUAAAAUUAUGAUAAAUGAAAGUUAUUGAUUAUUAUGAAAACAAUAAGAAGAGAAAUGGUAUGUAUUAAUUUCUACAUGAAGGAAACUGCCAACCUCCCUUUAAUAUGUUGUGACAAUCAUUAGAAUUUCAAUAAAAUGAUAAACUCCUCUACAUAAUCGAUAGUCAUUGAUCACGUACGUGUACAUUUAAGUUGGAAAAAAGAAGAAGAAGAUAAUUCAAGUAUAAUAAAAUCAGAAUGCGUAUGUCAUAACUAAUUUCACUAAAUGGUUAUAAUACGUUUUAUGCACUUGAGAUUUUCUCAAAAUGAGAAAAGAAAAAGGCUCAUUAGUCACUCCUAUAUAUAUGUGUGUGUGUGCGCGCGCGCUUAAACUUAACUCAGGAUAAUCUAUAUUAUAUAGAACGUAAAAUUGAGUUACGUAUAAAAACGUAACUCAAGUGUCACAUUAUACGGCGCGCUUAAACUUUGAUAAUCUAUAUUAUAUGCCCAUAAAAUCAAGAAUUUUACAAUACAUUAAAACCAAUACAAUCAUCUAAUGUAUAUAUAAUAUAUAUAGUUAAAUUUGAUAUAAUCAUCAAUUGCAUGAUAAUUUUACAAAAUAUAAAUAUUAUCUAUUUGUUGAAUGACUAACUUUGUAGUAUGAUGUUUAUAGAAUUUUUCCGUAAAAUCAUUAUUGUAAUGAGGAUUGUUGAGGGACGUGUUAUUAAUGAAAAGGACUGCACAUGUUAUCCAAUAAUUGAGACACUUGUCUUGUUAGAGGACAUUUUCAAAGAUUAAAGGUAUAGAAGCCAUUUGCAAAAUUUCCAAGCGUGGAGAACAUGCAUGCAUGCACGUGGAAUUCCAUGCAUAAAAUGAUAAAAUACUCGUCAAGUCUCACCUUAAAUUGUAGUUUCUAUCGUUUGCAAAGAAGUUUCAUUAUUUAGGUUGUGUUUGGGAUUGAAGUUGGGCAGCUGUAGCUUAAAAACUACAGUACUAAAGUGUUUGGUAAACACUAGCUGCUGUAACUUUUAAGCUAUAUUGAUAUGAUUUUUCACUUGUAUAAUACAAAAUCUAUUAUAUCUUUAAUAAUUUUAUCAAAAUUAUUAUUUAAAAUUUAUAUUUACUAUAUAUUAUUAACUUUUAUUUCAUAAUUACAGCUUGUUUUUCACAACAGCUGUAGCUUAAAAGCUACAGCACCUCAAUCCCAAACGCACCCUUAAUUUCCAAAUCUUGGGUCGUGCCGCCUCGUACAUGAAUAAGAUUACUUGCCACGAUUACCAAUUUUUUAUCACUUUAUUAAUUCCUUUUCUUCCUAUACAUGAAUCUUGUUAAAUUUUACUUGCUAUUUUACUUUUUUUUUUUAAUUUUAAAUUCUUUUCUAUAUCAUACUUUGAAUCUUGUUUAAGGAAUCUUUGUAUUCUUUUGUCCGCAUGUCAUGUGCAACACAAAUAAUAUUUUACGUUACACUUGAUAUUCAUUCAUAUAAAUUAAUCAAGGAUAAGAUAUAUAUUGCCAAAUUGAUUAAAAUAAUUAUUAAUUUAAAAUUAAUAAUUUUUUUAUCCAUAACACUGAUAAUAAAGUCCGAUUAUAUAUAGGCAUGCACACUUUUUCCAUGGGGGAUUGAUAAUAAAAUUUUAUAGUGGGUAAUUAGGUGCAACCGUGUUGGUAGAUCUACCUACCUAAUAUUAAUUAAUGAUUGAAAAGAAGAACAUUUAGUUCAUAAUUAAACCAAGAUUGAAUCUUUUUUUUUCUGUUUUUCUUUUUUAAAUGACAAAUGAGAGAUGAAUUCAAAUUAAUCAGGAAUUUUUAUCCGUUAUUUAUUAGAGUUGUGCUAGUAUUUUUUUUUUUUUAAAAAACUACUAAUUACAACAACCUUAAGUAAAACCAACAUAUAUUAUAUAGGUCAUCAUGUGAGCACAGAAUCCGACAUUCCUUUGAGACUUAUAUCUCUCUCAAAUUAAAAUACCGCAAACAAGAAUAUUAAACAAAGUAAUAAUCAAAAGGGAUAUUAUCAUUUUACUACUAAAGUUUUUCUGACAUAUCAAGUCAGUAUUAUGCUUUGGUAAAAACUACAUUUUACUACCAAACAUUUAAUUUAUUAUCACUUUACUACUUUUCCGUUAAAAAUAAGUUAAUAUUUAACGGAAUAUGAGUUAAAAGACUAUUUUAGCCAUGAAAAGAAAAGAAAUAACAAAAAAGAAAACUACAAAUUACUGUAGCACGCAUCCAUUGUAAUGUGUAACACCGUAUCACGUUUUUUGUCCUUAUUGUAAAGUGUCGUUAGAUGUAAAACGAUUGAAUCCAACGAUCAAAAUCGCUUAAUAGAUUAUUGAGGCAUGAACUGUCAACCGUUGAAGCCAGUUAUCAUCAGAACCUUUCUCCAACUCUUGAUCCUCAUUCUCCUCUCCCUGACCAUUAACUUUUUCUCCAGACCUCUCCUCUGACCUGGUCUCACCCUCAUUGCUAUCAGAUUUCUUCUUACCAUCAUCCGAAUCAGAUUUGUUGCAAGCAAUUAAUUUAUUCCCACAACUGGCUUUUGAGUGCGAAGUAGAAGAAAGCUAAGUACAAUCACACUCACAAGGCAAGCAUUUCUUCAAACCGAAUUAUUUCCCACAUCACACAUCCAAUGACAGAGUCCCCUGGUUUCUCUAUACGGCUUUCCCCUUAAUCAUUUUAACAAACAGCUUCAAUACACAAAGAUUAGAGCAAAAAAAGGAAAAAUAAUGGCUAUGUCAACGCUAGGUGAUGACGAAUUAAUGAAAACUAGUUGCCGAGGCAACUCUUGAGAGUCAAGAGUCGCCACGCAAACACAAUCGUGGUCCCUUUUUGCUGUAUAUGUAGAAAAAAAAAAAGAAGAAGCAAGCAGCACGUGGUGGGAGAAAAGAAAAGGUGGGAGAAAUCUUUUAUAAAAAAAAAAGAGAGAAAAGAAAAGUUAGAGAUUUGGCUUUGCAAAGAUGUAGGGUCCUGUGUGUGUUUGUGUUUUGUUUGUUGCUUCUUGUGCUUGGUUGACCGUGAGAGAGAGAGGGGCCGUGAGAGAGAGAGAGCGAUCGGAGAUGGAGGGUUACAAUUUGGGAAUAAAUUUUCAAACGAGCGACUAUUUAAGAAUACAUCACAAUUACAAACAUGAACGAAGUCACAUUUAAAAAAGUAAAAUAAAAAAUUAUAAAUAAAUUAAAAAACAUAAACUAAUCAUAAAUUUUUAAUUAAUUAAUUAACUGAAAAUAGUUUAUUAAUAGUGGCAGUGAAAGACUCAUAUAAUUCAGGUACACACAUAUACCUCGAUUUGGGUGAAAAGGGCAUGAAGGCCGCGAGAUUUGAAGAAGAAAUCAACGGCGUCAUUUUGACCAGAGACAUUGUGGUGAUAAGCCGCGCUGGUGGGCCGGAGGUGGGCCCCACCUACGGCUUGUUUCCCUCCCCUCACAUCACUCCCAGACAAACAUAAUCCCAUCUGUUUUUCUUUUUCUCUCUCUCUCUCUUUAUUCUCGAAAAUUAAAAAAUUAAUCGAAAAAAUUUACCUAAAAGUUUUUGCAAGUUUGUGUCAAGAGUACGGAGUCUCACUGUUCGGUUGAUGUUCUUUAAUCUCUCAAAUCCGUAGCCUCUGACAGGGAACUGGAGCGGGGCUUUAUUUAUAGGCUUUUUGCGCUUGAGUCGUCGUAUUUGAAUUUGACUCUGUUUCUCCGGCGAAAAUGUAAAGAAAUUUCUACUUUUUAAUUCAAUUGUUUUUUCAUGAGGAAAAAAAAAAGUUUUUUUUCUUAUCUAAAAGAUUUUGUCUUUUCCUUUUCCUCUCCAAAAUAUAGAAUAAUGUAGAUGAUGGAUUUUUUUACUGUAUUUGGAACGUUUAGGUCCACCUAAUUAUCAUUAAUAAUAGAUAAUUAUAUCAAAAUUUACCAACUGAUUAGGUUUUGUUAAUUUUUUUUUUACAGUAUCUUAGAGAAUAAGUUUCCAUUGUAUGAAGACAAAUUCUAGAAUUUAAAGUAAAGAAUUGGUAGAUUUGUAAAGAGAUAAAACAAAUUCUCCGGCGAAAAUGUAAAGAAAUUUCUACUUUUUAAUUCAAUUCCUUUUUAAUGAGGAAAAGAUUUUGUCUUUUCCUUUUUCUCUCCAAAAUAUAGAAUAAUGUAGAUGAUGGAUUGUUUUACUGUAUUUGGAACGUUUAGGCCCACCUAAUCAUUAAUAAUAGAUAAUAAUUAUAUCAGAAUUUACCAACUUCAUUUUAGCUAUGAUAUUAGUUUGCGCACUACCAAAUGAUUAGAUUUUAUUAAUUUUUUUUAACCAUAUCUUAGGGAAUAAGUUUAUAAAGAAAUAUGAAGAAACAGCAAGGUAUUGAAGAAUUCAAUUUCUCAUUAUAUUUGGACAUUUGGACGUCAUUAAUGUUAAUUGAUUUUUUUCCGCGUAAAAAAGUUUCGGAUUUAUUUUGUUCCUCCAAAUGCCAUUCAUUGGAUAUAAGUUUAUUUUUCUGACAACUUCAACUCAUAAAUUUUAAUUAUUUUGUUAUAAUAAUAGUACGAACAAUUCUAUGUAUUAUGACAAAAAAAAAUAAUUUAAAUUUAUAUCAUAUAUAAUUAUAUAUAGAGCUAAUGCUAAGUUACAUGCAUGUAACUUACAACCUUUUCACAUAAAUAGUGAGUGAGCUCACAUCACUCACUAUUAAUGUGAGAGGGUUAUAAGUUACAUGCAUGUAACAUAGGGGAUCCUUAUAUAUCGGCUCAAGAGUAUUAUUUAUCAUGUAAUUUAUUAAACUAAUCUCACCUAAAAAGUUGUUGAGAAAAGACAGUAAGUUAAUAUUUCUUCUUCCCCAAGGUUUUUGAUUAAAAGAAUGACUUGAUAUGGCUGAUAUUGAUAAAUUAAAAAGGGAAAAAUAAUAAACAAUGGAGGAAUUUUCAAAUUAGGUCAACAAGUAAUCUUAGUCUAUUUAAUUUCGUAAUAAUGGCAAUGACGAAGCCCUUAUAACAUAAGCUUGCAAACGUAAUCAAGAUAUCCGUGGAAAACAAGCAACAAUUGCAAUGGGGUGGAAUAAAAUGGCAUUCACAGUCAACUACUAAGAUACUGAAGGUUCAAUCGUUUAAGGGUAUUGAUAGUUUCUCCCCCGUCGAAAUUUUAUGUAAAAUAUGUACACCUCUAUUGUUUUCAUAAUAGCUAAUAAUCUUUUGGUAUGAAAAGUUUAAAGGAGAGUAAAGGUAAAUGGGUCAUUUGCUUAAUAUUUUAUUUUGAAAAUAUAAAAUAUAUAUUUACCAUAAAAAAAUAUGUUUAAAGAUAAAAAAAAAUAAGAAAACUAUAUUCAUACUAAUUUUUUAUCAACACUGAAAAUUAUAUUUCUUAUUUCUAAUCUUUAAAUUUUUUUAUUUCAAUUUCUGUUUAUAUAAUUUAUUUAAUUUAUAAUAAAGAUGAAUAAUUAAAUAAAUUUUAAAUAUCUUAAAAUAAGAAUAAUACUAUAAAAUUAUGAUGAAUGAAAGUUAUUGAUUAUUAAUUUCUACAUGAAGGAAACUGCCAACCUCCCUUUAAUAUGUUGUGACAAUCAUUAGAAUUUCAAUAAAAUGAUAAACUCCUCUACAUAAUCCAUAGUCAUUGAUCACGUACGUGUACAUUUAAGUUGGAAUAAAAAGAAGAAGAUAAUUAUAGUAUAAUAAAAUCAAAAUGCGUAAGUCAUAACUAAUUUCACUAAAUGGUUAUAAUACGUUUUAUGUACUCAAAAUGAGAAAAGAAAAAGGUUCAUUAGUCACUCCUAUAUUUAUGUGUGCGCGCGUGCGCUUAAACUUUGAUAAUUUAUAUUAUAUGCCCAUAAAAUCAAGAAUUUUAUAAUAUAUCAGAGACAAUACAAUCAUCUAAUGUAUAUAUAAUAUAUAUAGUUAAAUUUGAUAUAAUCAUCAAUUGCAUAAUAAUUUUACAAAAUAUAAAUAUUAUCUAUUUGUUGAAUGACUAUCUUUGUAGUUUGAUGUUUAUAGAAUUUUUCCGUAAAAUCUUUAUUGUAAUGAGGAUUGUUGGGGGACGUGUUAUUAAUGAAAAGGACUGCACAUGUUAUCCAAUAAUUGAGACACUUGUUAGAGGGAGAAGCCAUUUGCAAAAUUUCCAAGCGUGGGGAACAUGCAUGCAUGCACGUGGAAUUCCAUGCAUAAAAUGAUAAAAUACUCGUCAAGACUCUCCAUAAAUUGUAGUUUCUAUAGUUUGCAAAGAAGUUUCACUAUUUAAUUUCCAAGUCUUGGGUCGUGCCGCCGCGUACAUGAAUAAGAUUACUUGCCACGAUUACCAAUUUUUUAUCACUUUAUUAAUUCCUUUUCUUCCUGUACAUGAAUCUUGUUAAAUUCAACUUGCUAUUUUACUUUUUUUUUUUUUUAAAUUUUAAAUUCUUUUCUAUAUCAUACUUUGAAUCUUGUUUAAGGAAUCUUUGCAAGGAUAAGAUAUAUAUUGCCAAAUUGAUUAAAAUAAUUAUUAAUUUAAAAUUAAUAAUUCCUUUAUCCAUAACAGUACUGAUAAUAAAAUCCGAUUAUAUAUAGGCAUGCACACUUUUCCAUGGAGGAUUGAGAGUAAAAUUUUAUAGUGGGUAAUUAGGUGCAACCGUGUUGGUAGAUCUACCUACCUAAUAUUAAUUAAUGAUUGAAAAGAAGAACAUUUAGUUCAUAGUUAAACCAAGAUUGUUACAGAAAAGGGAAAAGACUAAGACAGUGCUCAUGAAGUGGAUAGAAAUAACAGAGAAAGAAAUAGCUAUAUACAAUAAAAUAUUUCUCCUAUAUAGCCAUAUAUACUUUAUAUACAAAUAAAAUAUUUCUCCUAUGUAGUCAUACUUUAUAUAGAAAUAAUUUUUAUUUAAUUAUAAAAAAGAUUUAAUCUCAAUUUAAGUUAGUUAUUAAUUUCAUACUCAAUUAAUGACACAUCAUUUGGAAUAACUUUUUGGGAUAAAAAAUUUGGGAUGUGUAGCACUACUGUCUAUGCUCUAUAUUAUAAUAAGUUAUAAUUUUUUAAGUCUUGUCUAAAAAGAAUUUGUCCCCGCAUAGUAAUUGUAUUUGUAUAUUGCAAAAAAGUAUAGACUCUUUUUUUUUAAUUAAGCCUACCUUUGCUAUCAAUUUCUGACAUAAUCCAGUAAUUAAUUAUUAAUAUAGUAAAUAUUUUACCUCUAAUUUAAUUACACGAAGGAUAACUAAGUGAAAACGAUAAUUUCUGUAACUAUAUCUUUACUAAGUUAAUUAUAAUAUUCUCGUAUUAAUAAAAUUAACUUACCCCAAUAUUAUGAUUAUAGAGAAAUUGGACUAUAUUUGCGAAUUUUGAAAAUGAUGGUCAUGACUUAUGUGCUCAAUCUGUGAUUUUACGUUGAGGUUGAUAGAGCUGAACCAUCAAAAACGUUUAAAGCAUAUUGUCGUUAGUCUUUGUUUCCGAAUAGACAAAAGUGUCAAAUACUAUGUUUAUCAAUAAGAACAUUAUUGAAUCUUUUUUUUUUUCUUUUUUAAAUGACAAAUGAGAGAUGAAUUCAAAUUAAUUAGGAAUUUUUAUCCGUUAUUUAUUAGAGUUGUGCUAGUUAUUUUUUUAAAAAAACUACUAAUUACAACAACCUUAAGUAAAACCAACAUAUAUUAUAUAGCUCAUCAUGUGAGCACAGAAUCCGACAUUCCUUUGAGACUUAUAUCUCUCUCAAAUUAAAAUGCCGCAAUCAAGAAUAUUAAACAAAGUAAUAAUCAAAAUAACAUUUUCCUUGCAACGACUCAUUAUGAUUCCUAGUGAAAUGGUUCGUUCGACCAAAAAAUGCUGGAAAAAAUGUAAUUCAAGUUGGCUUCCUCUUUCAUUCAGUUCAGAACUUUAGAUUAUUUGGUGUAAAUGAAGGGAAAAUGCCUACGAAUAUGUUUUCAGCUUGCCCGUCGUCUUUGGCCAGCUUCGAGUUGUUUUCGUAAUUACGUCGUCACAAAGACUGAUGCGGAGUAUGUAGAAAAUAGAAAAAGUCAUUCAAAGCCGUACAAAAGUGGAUAACCAAUCCAAUCCACUUUUGGCUCGUCAUUGAGUUCGAGGAUUUGACAAAUCACUUUUUGGUCUCCGGCGUGUGGUAUACACACUCCCUUUUAAUUACUAUUAACACCAUGUAUACAUAAAAGAUUUCAACCCUCCACAUGUAAGACCAUCGCUAAACCAAUAAGUUGUUCUCAGCACAAAAUGAAUAUUACUUAGUUAUGUCAUAAUUUUAUUAAUAAAGAAAGAAAUUAAUCUACAUCUUUUUUAAAAAUAAUUUUAAAAUUUGUUAAAUAGGCAAAUAUGGUUUUAAUCCCCAUAGUUUGAGUCAAUUAUUCAGUUUGGUCAAAUAUUAUAUUUUAAAAGAUUAUCUAAAUUAAGCAUCUCUUUACUUACUUUCUUAAUUAGUUGUUGGACAUAAAUUUUCAAAGCUAAAUUCUAUAUGAUAAAUUUUAAAACUCAAACUAAUUUAAUAUAUAGCAGAUAAAAGAUAAAAAAAUAAUUAAGUAAAUUUUAACCAAAAAAUAUAUAUAUCACGUAGAUUUUUUUGAGUAAAUUUCUAAAAAUAUAUUGACUCCUCCAUGGGUACGUAAACUACAGGGACAUUAUUGACUAUUCGUUGUGCGUGCACGUACAAUGACAUGUCAUGAGUUAUCCAUGGAGACUUUUCCAAGACAACAUUUUGUGAUGUACUAUAUGCAUACUUAAUUACAAGUGCAUUUGUUGGGUACAUGCAUGCAUGGACGUGGAAUUCCAUGCAUAAAAUGAUAAAAAUACUUUUUCAAUUUUUCUCAGUUUAAUUUGCAAAGAUGUUUCACCAUUAAUUUGAAGUCUUUAGGUCCGGAAAUCUCUAUUGAUCGUAUAUUUGUUCGUCUCUUGGCACACGCGCACACGCACACGCACAUCAAUAGAGUAAAACUAGUGCAAGAUAAAUCCACAUUAAUUUUAUUUUAUUUCUAAACAUUCUAUUAAAUUUCUCUAUUUUAGAGUCAAGUCAAAGUUGUACAAAAUGAAAAAGAGGGGGUUAAAAUGGAUGGAAAUGAGAAUAAAGAAAAUAGCUAGCUUUUUGAAGGAUCUUUUGAAGACGAUAGGCUUGUGCUCUUAUCACGAAGCUUUUACGUCUAAAACUGGUAGAAUUGACCCAGCAAAAAGGUUUAAUGAAUCCCCGUGAGAGUCUUUAAUGUGUUUCUGAGAAGAUAAUCAAUUAAUUAACAGCACCAAUUAAGUAGUUGAAUGAUCUACUAAGCAAGUUCAUAAAAUCUUAAUGUAUUCUAAUUGUUCGGAGAAAGUAUUUAAGAUCGAAUGAAAGAUGAAUUUCAAGAACUCUUCCAAUUGCAACCAGUCAUCAUGGAUAUUCCAAUCAGUGAAGGAUUCUUUCGACACAAGGAAAAAUAAAAGAUAAAAAAGGGUCAAUAAAGACGAUGGAGAAUAUUCGUAUAAAGUCUUUAACGUAUGUAAAUGUAAUGUAACUUUAAUUUGACAGCUGCCGCUGUGACGAAUCCCUUGCAACGUAAGCACAAUGACACAAAAGAGAGAGUGGAACACAAGCUAUCCAAAUUAAGUCAGUCAAGGUAGGUCAAACUAUCUUGCCAUUGUCGUUUUCGGGGAAAAAAUGUUAGAAUAAAAUGUUAAAAGAAAAUUUAGAAUGUCUGCUAACUACUAAUAUGAGAAGAGUAAUAAAGACUUUAGAAAAAAAAAAAAAACAGUUAGUGGCAGACAAUUAAUAGUUGUAAAAGGCUUAAAGUUGUUUCAUAUAACAUUUUAGAAUAAACUUCAAUUUGCACCUCACUUAAAAUGAUAGUCUUCGAUUUACUUCCAGGAGGAUAAGGCUCAAACUCACGUCUUUGGCCCUAAGAAGGCAAUGCUCGAGAUAAGUCUUUGGCUCUAUUAUCGACCAUACAAAGAACAUGCAUCUCUUUUUUAUUUUUCCCCCCCAAAAAAAAAGAAAUCCAUCACCGCAUCCUCAAUUUACUCUCACCUUAUUGAAUGAAAAUGAAGGCUAAAUUGAUAUUUUCACUCUUUUAGGUGAUAAAAUCAAGAUUGUUGUUCUAUCGGGAGAAUGAAUUAAAAUUUACCAACUUUUAAAAUUAGAUUUCUCCGGUAUGUCUCGAAAUGAUUGAGGCUAUAAUAAGUAUAGGUUUUAAUAAAAAGAAAUAUCGGUGGAUUGGUUGUCAAAUAUUCCCUUCACAAAGACAAAAUAUAGAUUUUAUUCUAAUUCUUCAUAGGCUUUAUUUGAUUAUUUCCAAUAACAAUCCAUUAUAACAGUGAAUAGCUUUCUGUCAAGAUUAAAAAAAAAAAUGGCAGCCGAAGUUAGUUAAGAUAUUGGAUUAGAAACACAGUUUGAGAAGCCAAACAAAAACGAUUCCUUGCAAGAAAUGUAUUAAAAACCUUGAAUCACUCAAUAUGUGUAACAAAUUUUCAAGUUACCUUCAAAAUUCCCAAAGCAAACUUGGCCAAAAUUUAAUUUUCCUCCCACAGAAACAAUUUUUUUUGCUUUGAGCAGGUAACUUUCACAGUAGGCUUUUCAACUCAAAAAAAGUCAUAUGCUAGUUAAAGACAAAUCCAGGUCUUCUAAAAGUAGCUUAGGAACCCUCGCUGCGAUAGGAAAUUCUUGUGCAUGAACAUGCAACUCAAGCAAGCACACAUUAUGACAUAAUGGAACCAAAUUAAGUGUCGAACAAAAUACAGAAUGAAAAGAGUUAUAUCAUUGGUAGAAAGUUGUAUUGCUAACUGCUUGACACCAUCAUUCAACUAAUUUUAUGGCCUGACCAUCAGUGACAAAAUGCAACAAAUAUUUUCUAUGAAGUCAUAAAGUUUCCCAAGAGAGCUAAUUGGUUUGACAGGUUUAAAAUAUACUUUCAACGCAAAAAAGCUGUCUACAAUUAAACUUUUAUUAAGACUCAUAUACAGAAAGAAAUUUGCUAACGAAGAAACAAACAGUACAAAGGAUGAAUAGUAAAAAUGUCAUCGGUAACACAUAGAUGGACCGGAAAAGGAGUACCUUGAUGAUACUGGUGCAGCUACCAAAUCUGGCUUGCGCCCUUCGUAUGGGUGUUGCCUGUUGUAGUUUGAUAAAGCACUUGUGGCAUACAAUGAGUAUAGCCUAUCAGCUUGAUCAGUUUCUCCCCUUCUUAAGGGAUCAGUUCCGACCAAAUAAUGUUCUCUCUGUCUAGCAGCGGAGUAGGAACCUGAGGUGAUGUCUUCUCUCCUCAAGAAGGGGAUCUGGCUUGGUCUUCUCGCUGCACAUAAACAUCAAACCAUCAAGCUUAUCUUUUCUCAUUUCCUUCUCUUGGCUCUUUCCUGCGUCUCCUUGUUUCUCUUUGUCCUUGUGAUGCUUCGAACUCGUCUGACACAGGAAUCUUCUCUACACAUCUUUGCUUCCAGUGAUUUUUAUCUGCCCCACCAAUCUCCUCUUCACAUCUUUGUUUCCGGUGAUUCUUAUCGGACCGACCAAUCUCCUCUUGCUUCUUUUUUAUUCUGCUGGCUUGUCUUGGGUCCUUUUCUUUAGAAAGGUUCUCAUUUAGGUUUUCUUCCCUUGCAUUUAGCUUCUUAGAACUCUCUCCUUCAAUGUUGUUAUUAUCUCAUUUAGGUUUCCCUCUCUUGAAUUUAGCUUCUUAGAACUCUCUCCUUCAAUGCUGUUAUUAUCAUUCUUCUCAUCUAAUAAAUUUUUGUUCUUCUUCCUUCUGAAUCUACUCCAAGCUCGUGCAGCAACUUUGGCGUUUUCGGUCUUCAAGUCAUUAACUGGUGACUUUGUUAAGCAAAUAAAAGCACCAGGUCGGCCAUGCUACUAUUUCCACCCCGGCACGAAUCACCUCAGCCAAAUGGUACGAGCAGAACAGGGGGCAACAUGAGCUGAUCAGAGACGAAUACUGACCAGAGGUAUAUACCGAGCCGAUACACGUCCCCCAAAAAGCGGAAACACGAUCUCACAGAAUCACGGUAGUUGCGCUUUCCCCAGAACCGUUGCGGGAGACGCGAGAUCCCACGUUUGCCCAUAAUGCAGCAGUUAGAGUCCCAUGAGGGGCUGCCACUACCCGAAAAAGGUGGGAUGAAGGGCAAACGAGAACGUGGGGACAGCGGCUAUAAAAGAAGAAGAAAUCGAUGAAGAAAGGGAUAGAAAAAUUGAGAGAAGGGAAAACUCUGCCAAAUUGCAACCAGGCCAUUUUCUUACAGAUUUCGAACAAACCUCUUGAAUCCAAAUUGUAUUGUUUUCCCGUAAACACCUUGUACUAACUUAGGCAUCGGAGGGUUUACGCCGGCAAAACCACCGGCGUCUCUGAUCCGUUUUUGGUGAACGCAGGUCUAGUAAGAGAAUGGAGGGUGAUUCCAACCUUAGUGGUUCGAGCAACAGUCGAUAACAUAAACGUUGGUGAAAGGAUUUGGUCGGUCAAAAGGGCGAGCAGAUUUCGGCAUCAACAUUUUGGCGCCGUCUGUGGGGAGCUGGAUAAAAAGCUACCACCGAAUUAGUAGUUACCGGAGAAACAACGAACGAUUAGACAUGGAUUUGCCAAGGAAGGACGCUUUGAGGGAGGAUAACGAAGCUGGGGAGACAAUCACUCUUCGGGAAAUUGCAAAUGAGGCCUGGGAGAGGAUGAUGCAAGAUCGAUUUGAGCGGAUGGAGAAACAAAUGGAAACUCUCGCAACCAUACUGCACGAGCUGAGAGAUGAGCGGAGAAGGGAUUGUGAAACCUCCGGGGGGAGAGAUGAUGUUGGAGCAGAACCCAGCCUCCAGAGUCGUAGAGUCGAGGAAAUUCCUCCGCCUGCAGACCAACCUAACGGGGUGCAUCCCCACAGAAGCGUUGGUCCGGUUUCAGGAGAACGAGUAGAUGAAGGAAGGGACCAGCCUCUCCCCGGACGGGUACUGGAAGUCAAUAGCCGAGGGGCCAUUGUUGAUGAAAGAGAGCUCAGACAUUGGUUGCACAAUGCCGAGCUAGAACGAGACCGGAUGGCUGUACGUGAUCCUGACCGUGCCGUAGAAUUAGAAGGGGAGGUGCGCAGAUUGGCGCAGGUGAUGGAGGAGAUACAAGGCAAGAGAAAGCCCCCGAGCUGGAGGAUAAUGCUGGAUGAAGAAUCCCUGUUAUCAACCGAGAUCAUGGGUACGGUAAUCCCAAGAGAUUUCCGCUUCCCCGACCUCAAAUACUCCGGUCGAAGUGACCCUCUGGUGCAUAUUGAGCGUUUCAACGAUAUGACGGGGGUGCAGGGGUUGACACCAGCUCAGAAGUGUAGGGUGUUCCCGUUGACUCUCGAGGGGCGAGCCCGAGAAUGGUACCGCAAGCUGCCCCGAUGAGGUAUAAAAGGGUACGAGCAGAUGUGCCAAGAGUUAGCCGAAUAGUUCCGAGGGGCGGUAACCUCAGAGGAUGACAUGAUGGAACUGAUGGGGAUGAAACAGGAGGAGCAUGAGUCCCUUCGGGAUUUUGUAAAGCGAUAUCACCGGGCCGUGCUAGAUUUGGGAGCCAUUAAUCACCCAUAGGCGCUGAUGGGAUUAAAAGAAGGUGUAAGAAUUGGCCGAUUGUGGUAUAACUUGAGAAGCCCCCUGGUGCAGAAUUAUUCGGCGGGGUAUGAACAGGAGAGGCGAGACAUAGAAUUCGAAGAGGAGAAAUCGGCAAGGAUAAAGAGUGAACAACUAGAAGAGUUGAGGCGAAAAGAACGGAGAGUCCCGAUCGGGAGCAGAUCGGGAAAGCGAGCUGGGGAAUCAUCAGUUAUGGGCGGAAUAUCAGCUCGGUCCCGCCCUUACCCCAUAGCUCAGAGGCCACAACAGUUCCAACACAGCCGAGCCCAACCUCCGCGCACCCCGUUCCCGGAGCGGCAACGAGAAUUCAGGCAGAUGACUGCCCACCCUUAUCACAACACUCCCAGAGGGUUACAUGCAACUGGUUCCAGGGCUGGACGACCAGAUCAACUAGCGACUGUACCAGCCCGAGAUGACAUUCAUGAUAGCCGAGUAGUUCAGCUAGUAGACCAGCGCUUGGCAUAUAGACAGUACACUCCAUUAAAGAUCUCCAUGGAGGAAUUGUAUGAGAGGAUCGAGGGAUGAAGCCUGCUGUACCCUCCAGUCCCUAUAACAAAACCGGCUCACCGACGGGAUAAGAGCAGAUUCUACAAAUUUCACAACACUCACGGUCACACUGUCAGCCAAUGUCGUGACCUGAAGACUCAGGUGGAGGAUUUAGUGAGGAACCGAUACUUGGAUGAGUAUGUAGAUGGAAUGUCCCCCGUCAUUGAAUCACAGUACACGCGGGAUGAAGAAAAUGAGAGGGGCCUGGAACGUGAACAGCCAACUAUCCACGUGAUAGCAGGAGGGCCAACCUUGGCUGGGGAUUCGAACAGGGCACGGAAGAACCAUGGGAGAUACGCCCUGACUAGCAAAGAAGUGCUUUUCAAUCUGCCAGCAACCAAGAAGGCAAAAGUGCGGCAAGUUCCUAUUAUGUGGACAGAUGACGAUGAAGAGGGUAUCUUAUAUCCUCAUGAAGAUGCAUUGGUGAUUAAGGCAAUGGUGGCCGGUACAGAAUUGCGACGAAUACUAGUAGACACAGGCAGCUCGGUUGACAUCCUGUUUAAGUCGGCUCUAGAUGAUAUGGGGAUUGCAGACUUGAAAUUGGAGCGGACAAAUACAUCCUUAAAGGGAUUUGGAGGGGGACGGCUAACUCCCAUGGGGAUCAUCGAACUCCCAGUUACUAUGGAGACAAAGCCAUUUGAAAGAACGAUGAUGCUGGACUUUGUCGUGGUAGAGGAAAGAAGCCCUUACCAGAUGAUACUGGGGAGACCAUUCAUGAGGAUAAGCCAAUGCGUUGUAUCCACGCAUUACUUGGCACUGAAGUACAGAGUAAAUGGGGUGGUUGGUGUAGUAAAAGGUGACCAGAGAAUGGCAAGGAGCUGUUAUGCUACAGCAGCCAAGGAGACACUACAGGUUACUUCUCUAGAUAAUCGAGGAGAUUCUAAAAAGGGUCGCCAAGAGCCUGUCGAGAAACUAGAAGAGAUUUUGAUAAGCAAAAACAAUCCGAGCAGAGUGGUUAGGAUCGGAUCAGGUUUGGUCGGGGCAGUGAAAGGCGAGUUGGUGAAGUGCUUACAGUCUCACGCAGACAUAUUCGCCUGGUCUCACGAGGACAUACCAGGAAUUGAUCGUGAGGUAGCUUGCCAUAAAUUGGCAAUCAAGAAGGGGGCGAGGCCGGUGAGGCAGAAAAGAAGAUGCUUUAACCAAGAAAGGUACGAAGCCAUAAAUGCCGAGGUGGAGAAGCUGUUAAAAGCAGGAUUUAUAAGGGAGGCCAAAUACCCGGAGUGGAUUUCCAACGUAGUACUGGUAAAGAAGGCCAACGGGAAAUAGAGAAUGUGUGUGGAUUUCACAAACCUUAAUAAGGCAUGCCCGAAGGACAAUUUUCCCUUACCAAAGAUAGAUCAAUUGGUAGACUCCAUAGCGGGUCACAGUCUGCUCAGCUUCAUGGAUGCCUUUUCAGGAUACAACCAGAUACCCAUGGACGAGCAGGAUAAGGAGAACACCACCUUUAUAACUAACAUGGGUUUGUUUUGCUACAUGGUGAUGCCUUUCGGCCUGAAAAAUACAGGAGCUACCUAUCAAAGGUUGGUGAACCAGAUCUUCAAGCCCUUGAUCGAUCAUACAAUGGAGGUAUAUGUGGACGAUAUGAUCACAAAGUCUAAAGAACCGAGGGAUCACGUGAAGCACCUUGAAGAAACCUUUGAGUUACUGAGGAAGUAUGAAAUGAAGCUAAACCCGGAGAAAUGUGCAUUUGGGGUCAGCUCGGGCAAAUUUUUGGGAUUCCUGGUGAGUCACCAAGGGAUUGAGGCCAACCCAGAAAAAAUACGGGCGGUUACGGAGAUGAGGUCUCCACGGACAGUUAAGGAGGUGCAGAGCCUUACAGGGAAGUUGGCAACACUGAACCGAUUCAUCUCGAGGGCCACAGAUAAAUGCCACCCUUUCUUCCAAACCAUAAAGAAAUGGAGAAAGAUGGAGUGGACAUCAGAGUGCGAAGAAGCAUUUGGGCAGCUGAAGGAAUAUCUGACCCGCGCCCCGUUGCUAUCAACUCCAAGAGCGGGUGACCAGCUGUUUCUGUACUUAGCAAUCUCUAAAUGGGCUACCAGCUCGGUUUUGGUCAGGGAAGAAGAAGGAAAGCAACACCCGGUAUACUACACAAGCAAGGCCCUGGUAGACGCAGAAACCAGAUAUCCAUUGCUGGAGAGAUGGGCGUUGGCUCUAAUAAUGGCAGCACGAAAACUCCGACCAUAUUUUCAGGCCCACCAGAUUGUUGUGAUGACUGACCAGUCCCUUCGUCAAACGCUUCAAAAAACAGAUGCAUCCGGUCGGUUAGUAAAAUGGUCCGUGGAGCUAAGCGAAUUUGACCUAUCCUACAGGCCCCGAGGAGCAAUCAAAGCUCAAGCUUUGGCAGAAUUUAUGGUAGACCGAGCUGAGCCAGGGGAAGAAAUUCGGGAGGAGCAACCGAUAGAGCAGGAGAAACCAGAGGGGGUGUGGCUAGUAAUGGUUGACGGAUCAUGUAGUGAGCAAGGGUCAGGAGCAGGAGUUGUAAUACGAAGCCCAGAAGGAACCGAAAUAAUGUAUGCAGUGAAGUUCGAAUUUCAGUUCACGAACAACCAAGCUGAAUAUGAAGCCUUUAUCACCGGGCUCGGACUGGCACACGCUUUAAGAGCAGAGAUGGUAGAAAUUCGAGCGGACUCCCAAUUAGUAUGUAAUCAGCUCAAUGACCAGUUCCAAGCAAGGGGAGAGAAGAUGGGUCUUUAUCUGAAGAAAGCAAAGCAGAUGGUUGGGCUUUUCCAAGAGGUGGAGGUAAACCAGAUAUAUCGGAAUGAGAAUUACCGAGCAGAUAUGUUGGCUAGGAUGGCUGCAAUUGCAGAUCCGAAAUUACCUAAGUCGGUUCCACUAGAGGUAAAGACCUCACCAAGUAUAGGAGAGGAGGUAGAGGUGAUGAGAGUAAGCAUUGGAGAGUCAUGGAUGGACCCGAUUCGCGCAUAUGUCCGGGAUGGAAUCUUACCAGAGGACAAAAGGCAAGCAAGGAUAUUAAAAUGCCGAGCAGCGAGGUACACGCUACUAGAUGGAGUGCUGUAUCGCCGAGGAUUCACCUUGCCCCUUUUGAGAUGUGUGGAUGAUGAGGAGGCAGAUUAUGUACUGAGGGAGAUUCAUGAAGGAAUAUGCGGCAAUCACUCGGGAGCAAGAACUUUAGCCUUCAAGGCACUCCGACAAGGAUACUUCUGGCCAACCAUGCACCAGGAUGCGAAAAGGAUGGCAAAGAACUGUAAAACCUGCCAAAGCUUCUCUGAGGUUCCUGCACAACCCCCAGAAAAGCUGACCACUAUGACAUCCCCGUGGCCUUUCGCUCAAUGGGGAAUCAACUUGAUUGGUCCGUUGCCUAAAGGCCGAGGAGCGGCGACACAUGCAAUUGUGGUAAUAGACUACUUCACCAAGUGGGUAGAAGUGGGAGUCCUCAGCCAAAUCACGGAGAGGAAGACAACAGAUUUUAUUUGGAGGAAUAUCAUCUGCAGAUACGGGAUCUCCUAUGCUAUCAUUACAGACAAUGGGAGACAAUUUGACAACAGCAACUUCAGGAAAUUUUGCCGAAAUUUGGGGGUGGACCUGAAGUUCUGCACCCCCGCACACCCCCAGGCAAACGGACAAGUGGAAGCAGCCAACAAAGUAAUAAAGAAGCUCUUGAAAACUAGAUUGGGAGAGAAGAAGGGAGCCUGGGUUGACGAACUACCAGGAGUAUUAUGGGCUUACCGGACAACUCACAAAACCGCCACAGGGGAAACCCCGUUCGCUUUAGCUUUUGGUCAUGAGGCGGUAGUCCCAGCAGAAAUCGGAGUGGGGACACAUCGAACGAAAUAUUUCGCUGAGGAGCAAAACGACGAGCAGAUCUGCUUAAGCCUGGACCUGCUUGAGGAGAAAAGGGAAGGGGCCUCGCAGAAAGUGGCCCAGUGUCAGCAACGGGUCAUGCGCUAUUACAACAAGAACGUACGCAUGAGGCAGUUCCGAGCAGGAGAUUGGGCACUUAGGAAGGUGGACCAAAACACCAGGGAUCCUAACCAUGGCGCUCUUGGCCCAAAAUGGGAAGGCCUGUACAGAGUGAUACGAGCCACUGGACCAGGAGCUUAUAAGUUAGCGUACCAAGAUGGACGAGACGUGAAGAGGUCAUGGAACGCCGAGCACUUGAAGAAGUAUUUCCAGUAAGCAAAGUGCUCUCCUAAAUCCUCAUUUUGACAAAUUGUUUGUGUUAACUGCAUGAUGACUUGAUGCAUAUGUAUGUAUUCAGUAUUUUUGUAAUACAUUCAAGUUUCAAAUAAAGAUGAAUUCAGCAUGAAAUCCCCCUGCUAGCAAGCCAAAUAAAAAUUUUACUAAGGCAAAUAAGUGCCUAUUUCUGCUCGGUCAACGAAAGAUCAGCAGCUAAUUUUACGAGAAUUUUUACUAAGGCAAGCAAGUGCAUGUUUCUGCUCGGUCAACGAAAGAUCAGCAGCUAAUUCUACAAAAAUUCUACUAAGGCAAGCAAGUGCCUGUUUCUGCUCGGUCAACGAAAGACCAGCAGCUAAUUCUACAAAAAUUCUACUAAGGCAAAUAAGUGCCUGUUUAUGCUCGGUCAGCGAAAGAUCAGCAGCUAAUUUUACGAGAAUUUUUACUAAGGCAAGCAAGUGCCUGUUUCUGCUCGGUCAACGAAAGACCAGCAACUAAUUCUACAAAAAUUCUACUAAGGCAAAUAAGUGCCUGCUUCUGUUCGGUCAGCGAAAGAUCAGCAGCUAAUUUUACGGAAUUUUUACUAAGGCAAGCAAGUGCCUGUUUCUGCUCAGUCAGCGAAAGAUCAGCAGUUAAUUUUACAAGAAUUUUAACUAAGGCAAGCAAGUGCCUGUUUCUGCUCGGUCAAAGAAAGACCAGCAACUAAUUCCACAAAAUUCUACUAAGGCAAAUAAGUGCCUAUUUCUACUCGGUCAACGAAAGACCAGCAGCUAUUUUAACGAAAGUUUUACUAAGGCAAGUAAAUGCCUAUUCCUGCUCGGUCCACUAAAGAACCAACAGGAAAAAUCAAAUAAAUUAUCAAAUUAGUUUGCAGAAACAAUCCAGAAGCAAAAAUGAGAAAAGAAGGCCAGUAAAGAACAUCCAAAAAUUUAUAAACAUUUAAAUGUUUACAAAACUAAUGAAAAUCUAAAGUCUAUACAAAAAUAGACCUAAGGAUUAGGAGGGUCAACGGCUUCAGCCGGUGAAGGAUCAGCUAUCUCUAGAGGUGGAAGAUCAGCAAUACCGGGAGGAGGCGGCAUGGACCCUUGUCCCACUUCCAAGGCACGUCCCCCAGCUUCCCCCUCCUACACCCCAUCUAAAGGAGCCUCCACCUAAUCCUGCUCACCCUGCUCCUUAUCUGCUUGGCCGAUCUCCGCCAUAUAUCGCUGCACUCCGGCCUCCAGCUUGCUAAUGUCCAGCUCGGGAUAUUCUUCCUUAAGCACAGACAUGAUGCACUUAUAGGAGAAGGCAACCCCAGAAUCAUACUCGGCAUCCAGCCGAUCGUUCACAUCAGCGGAUUUGCCUUUCUCCUCAGCCAGCUGCUCACCCAAGGAUUUGAUUUCCCCCUCAAGGGCGGCCCUCAGAGUAUCCCUUUCACUUUGAGUAGCCUGAAGAUCAGAUCUCAGGUCACCCAACUCACCCUCGAGUUUGGAGGAAGUGGAUUCAGCAACCGCAACUUUCUCCUCUAGCUCCGUAAUCUGCUUGUUCAGCUCAGCCAGCUUCUCCUUGGAGCGAUCAACAGAUUCAGCUUUCUUCUUCAAUUCCUGAUUGUCAGCUUGAAGCUUCCUCUCAUGGCGCGCGGACCCAGUCUUGUAGCACGAAACCAUGGUGGCCAGCCUGAAGGACACUCUCUGAACAUAAGCAGCUAACUCGGAGAGGUUCAUACUCUCGAUGUCCUUCACCAUCUUGGGCCCCACCGAUUUUUUGUAAUCCUUCUGAUACGGGCUCAGGUAGUCACCUUGAUCCCGAGAUGGUAGAGGAGAAGAUCGGUCCCCAGACUGGAAGCUGACCUCAGGACUCUUGUCAGAAGUUUUCUCCCCACCACUCUUACGGGGUGGGGGAGGGGGCAGAGCAGGGACAUGAGCCUUGGAAGGGCCGACGCUGGUUUUCUUUGGAGGAGGAGGAGGGUUGCUGGAGCUGCUUGGAGCCCGACCACGCUUCCUGCUCAUCGCGCUGAGGAUCUUGUUAUCCAUUCCAGCGGCUAUGUCCACUAGGCCCGAACCGACCAGGUUUGUUGGUGACAGGAGGUCUUGGCAGGUAGACGCGUUCACCAGAGUAGUUUCCACCUGAAGCAAAGGUCGAUCUUCAAGCCCCCCGAUCAAACCCCACAACUCUGAAAUAGCAAAAGAGGUUAAAGAACUCGAUAAGUGACAAUUUGACUAAGAACAUAGGCAAAAAUAAACGACAUGGGGUGACAAAAUGUAUGGGAAGAUAAAUGUCCCCACCAAGCGACCGAACUGCUGGACACCAGUUCCCUCCAGCAAAGAAGAAUUUGUUCUUAUAAUUUUUACAUGAAGAGGGAAACCCAGUGAUCGGUUUCCUCUUUGCAAAACUGGACAUAAAGUAGUACCAGCCCGCUUCCCUCGGGCUACUCCGCAGCUGGUACAGAUGUUUCACUUCAACAAGGGAAGGCUCCUCCGACCCGCACCUCUCCCACAACACAAACAUUGCCGAGAGAACCCUCCACCCAUUUGGGUGUAGCUGACCUGGGGCUAGGUGCAUACCGCCCAGUAUCUUGGCAAAAUAACGUUGAAGGGGCAGCCGAGCUCCUAGUCUGAAACUCUCCAAGUGCAUCGUCACAUACCCUUUCGGAGGCCGACUAGGGACAUCAUCUUUUCCAGGAACUACAAGAAGAACCUCGUUGGGGAUAUUGUAGAGGUUCCUAAGCUUAAAUAGAUCAGUGGGGGUGGUGGCGCAAGCUAUGAAAUCAAUAGGGUAGGAAUCAGCCUCCACAGUAUGGCCAAGAUUCCUUUUCUUAGCAGGUCCGCUCGGUCUGGAACUGCUCCCCUCACCAUCACCAACUCCUUCAGGGAUCCCAACCCCACCGAAGCUGUGGUUCUCACCAGAGCCCGACGUAGGUCCACCUCUAUUCCCUACAAGCUCUAGUUCGGGGGAGGGAGAGACAACCAAGGGGCGUGGGUACUCAAGGGUAUCCAUGCCAUGGGAAUGACCUACACUACUGGAGGGACCUAAGAAAUCGGUCGGUAUUGACACGUUGAGGCCUGAAUCCCCUGAUUCUUUAUCACCCUCAUCAACAAUUAACUUUCUUUUCCUAUUUGACAUAUCGGAAUCCCAAAAGAAAACAAAGAAAACUCGAAUAUACGGAUACAAAAGGGGGCAACACGGAACCCAAUCAACAACAACCAGAGAAGAGAUUAAAAGUAGUACCUGAAAUGAACUGGCCCUGAUAGCGCUGCCGUGACAGAGAAAAAACCAGCAAGUAGAAACUCUGGACGCAGGAAGUGUGAGUAAAGUUCAGAAAGGGGGUAGGUUAACGACGGAGAGACGAGUAACAAAACGAUGACGAUGUAAAUCUAGGUAUUUGAAACGAAAAGGGGGAAAUGAAAGCAUUUAAGUGAUGGAGAUGCCAGCUCACUCAUCGUACAUCGAGGACAGAUAGCCCGUCGUUUCAAAUUUCAAAUACGAAGAGUCUGGAGAUGUCACGUCACUAACCGCUACAAGGGGCCAGGCUAGAUGUGAGCCCAAAUACGCAAUGGACAUGCUCAGGUCAAAAUCUCCCCUGAAGAAAAAUGAUACCUCAGGUCCGUCCCGGUAGACAGAAGACCAGAGGAGAAGCCCCCGGAUUGGUAAGAUUUGACUAUCAGUUUCUACUCUUGACUCAUUUCACUCACAAGACCAGAAACUGGGGGACUGGUGUUAAGCAAAUAAAAGCACCAGGUCGGCCAUGCUACUAUUUCCACCCCGGCACGAAUCACCUCAGCCAAAUGGUACGAGCAGAACAGGGGGCAACAUGAGCUGAUCAGAGACGAAUACUGACCAGAGGUAUAUACCGAGCCGAUACCCGUCCCCCAAAAAGCGGAAACACGAUCUCACAGAAUCACGAUAGUUGCGCUUUCCCCAGAACCGUUGCGGGAGACGCGAGAUCCCACGUUUGCCCAUAAUGCAGCAGUUAGAGUCCUAUGAGGGGCUGCCACUACCCGAAAAAGGUGGGAUGAAGGGCAAACGGGAACGUGGGGACAACGGCUAUAAAAGAAGAAGAAAUCGAUGAAGAAAGGGAUAGAAAAAUUGAGAGAAGGGAAAACUCUGCCAAAUUGCAACCAGGCCAUUUUCUUACAGAUUUCGAACAAACCUCUUGAAUCCAAAUUGUAUUGUUUUCCCGUAAACACCUUGUAAUAACUUAGGCAUCGGAGGGUUUACGCCGGCAAAACCACCGGCGUCUAUGAUCCGUUUUUGGUGAACGCAGGUCUAGUAAGAGAAUGGAGGGUGAUUCCAACCUUAGUGGUUCGAGCAACAGUCGAUAACAUAAACGUUGGUGAAAGGAUUUGGUCAGUCAAAAGGGCGAGCAGAUUUCGGCAUCAACAGACUUCUUUGCAAUUUUAGAUCUGGCCUUCAAUGAUUUAUGGAUUUUAUUUUCAGAUGAUUUUGCUUCGGUUGAGGCUUCCCCAGCAUUCCCAUCUUCCUUCUUCUCUUCAUUUUCUUGUGCCAUAGUCUACCCAAAUAACCAGGCUCCCAACAGACCAUAAUUUAGGGAUUAUUCUGUUGUUCACUAUUUAAAAUAUGAAAUACAAAACUCAAAAGCCCGGCAAAGGAAUGAAAGAAGCUGAAGAAGUGAAAAUGCAUCAAAAUUUGCAAGAAAAUAAUAAAUAUACAAUGCCUUCAUAAUGCAUAUAGCAGAUGGUGGCUAAUUGCCAAUUACUUGACAAUGAUAGGCAAAUUCUUCUGUCAGAAAGCGGGGUGAAAAAGGUCAGAAUCUUGAGACCUGCUCAAUCACAAGAUUGCAACAAAAAGGAGUCUGAUAAUAUACAAUGGGCAAUAAGAGAGAUUGGGUGUAUUGAAAUUAUGGUAGUGAGCUAAAAUAUUAUAAUAUUUGUAAUUCGCAUAUCACUAGAAAAAUAUUUUUCUUAUGUUUUCGCCCAUGAAUCUAGAUUAAAAGUUGAACCACCUAAAUUUUGAUGUCCCUAUGUGAUUUUGUUGUCUCAUGAUUUUUUAAUUUCACUUUAAUUGCAUAUCUGCUUCACCAAUCAAUAUGCAUUGAAGAAUGCUUACAUUAGUUUGUGUUUGGCUCAUCAUCACAACCAUUUCAUUCAAGAAAUCUCCUAUUCCCUCAAAACAAAACUAAAAAGUCUCAUGUAAUAAAAUCCUCCCCCGUUCCCCCCUCCCCUCUUCUUGUGGGAGUUAAUUUUGCUGUAUCUUCAAAGCAACAAAAGCGCAUUAAAAAGUUAAAGAUGAAAUGAAAUCAAUAUAUAUAUAUAUAUAGAGGGAGAGAGAGAGAGACACACACACACACACAAAAUUGGAGCUCAUAUUAUUUUAUUCAUCAUCACUAUCAUGGACUCCUACAUAGUACAAGAACCUCUUGUUGGCAACAAAUAGAACUUGAAGAGAGAAGAAGGAAAACAACAUCUCGUGAAUCCGAUAAUUAUCCGUCAUUAUAAAAAGGAUUACAAUUUUAUUUCUUAUUGUAUACUACAAAUUACAUGCAUAAUAAAUAAAUAAAUAAGAAUUAAAAAUUUUGGAAUUUAGUAAGGUUAACAGCAGAAUAGGCAUGUUGAAUGGCGUAAAAUCUCUUCGUGGCUUCUUUCACAAAAUUUGAAUCUCUUGAAGUUGAACAACGGCUUGGAUAUAUAGAGCCACAAUCACCUUGUAAAAAAAAAUUCAUACAGAUGUUGCAUGAGAAGAUUGGUUGUAUAAAACUAUUAUAGACCCACAUAAUUUACAAAAAUAAUAGUUAUCGCUUUUUAACUAAUGUCUUUAUGCCACAUUAGUUUGUUUACACAAGUUCAUAUAAAAAUGUUUGUGGUUACAUCAUUAUUGAUUUUGAAAAUAAUAUUUUAAUAUUUUUAUCUCAAAUGAUAGGAUAUUUUUUGACACAUUGGAUGCUUUUGGAUUUAAUGAUACCUUUGUAUAUUUUAUUUAUUAUUUCAUCUAACAUUGUUUGAUGAGUGAUGAUAGAGUUAAAAGCUCUUGUAUAAACUUAUUUUAUAUAUAUUGAUGAAAUUUAAAUUUAUUGGUUGAAUAAAAUUACCAAAUAAUAAAAAUAAAUAAUAUGAGCCAAGAGUUAGGGUUAGCCAAACUCAAUCCAACCCGAUGAACACAAUCCAACUCAAUCUAAUCUAAUCAAAUUUUGAUGGGUUGAGUGAAUUAUUAUAAGGUUAAUUAGGUAAAUUUUUUCGAAUCCAAUUAAUAAUUGAGUUGAGUUAGGUUUGGUUAAUUAUGAUGAACCUGUCUUACCCAACCCCAUCCAUGUAAAUAAUAGUAAUAGUAAUAAUAGUUAGGCAUCCAGUACUGCUUACCAAAUAGAAGCUAAUUCCUGCAAUUUACAUGAAAAUUGCACGAAAUAUCACUAUCCUUAUUUUCUUGAUUUCACCUUCAUUGUGUAUUUUUCUCCAGAAAUUCCAAACUUACGAAGAGGAUUCGGGCCACGUUCUAUGCAUCAUAUGGAAUGCGGCCAUUUUUCUGUGUAAUUUGUGAGGCGUUAUAUUACAUGGAGCUUGACUUCUUUCUUUCUAUGAAUGGUCAGAUGGCAUUGGUGAGAGGUUCUUCUGCUUCUUUGUUGAUUGUUCUGCUUUUGGCUUUUUUAUUAAAGUUAUUUUGAAUCCGCUUUCAGAUUGUGUGUUUAAUGAUUUGAUUAAAUUUGUGUUUAGUUAAAUGUAUUUGGAUUUCUGGAGUAUUUCAGCAGUUAAUGAUGAAAUUCAGCAUUAAAUUAACUUAUAAUCAUUCUAAUUAUCGAUUUUUUUUGUCAUGAAACAUCAUUAAGCACCUGCCAAAGACUGAAAGACACCAGUUUAAGGGUGCAUUUGUGAUUGAAGUUGGGCAGCUAUAGUUUAAAAGUUACAGCACUAAAGUGUUUGAUAAACACUAACUGAUGUAGCUUUGAAGAUAUGUUGAUAUGAUUUUUCACUUAUAUAAUAAAAAAUAUAUUAUAUCUUUAAUAAUUUUAUCAAAAUUAUUAUUUAAAAUUUAUAUUUAUUAUAUAUUACUAACUUUUAUUUCAUAAUUAUAAUUUUUUUUCACAGCAGCUGUAGCCCAGUCCCAAACGCACUCUAAUUUUUAUCUCUCAACACUCUGUUUUGCACCAAGGUAUCCAAUAUAUACUAGUUUAUUAAAUAAUUUUGAUUAGUGCUGAUUGCUAGUGUAUCAGUCUCCUAAUUAAUUAAAUGUGAAAACAUUCUAUUAUAUACUAGUCGAUUGAUUUUUCUUUUAAUCUUCCUGUUAUAUUCCACGACAGAGCUGAUUUAAAGACUUGGCCCAACUCUUCCCUCUAUGUUCAUUAAAUGUUAAUAUUUUUCUGCACCAAGGUUGACUUGAUGGUGCGUUAUUUUCAAUUUUUUUCAUUGACUUGUAUUUUUGUUUAAAUAUUGACAAAAAAUUAAGAAAGCAAUCAGCUCUUGUAACGUGCUCUGUUCUGUUUUCCACCAAAAAUAUAAUCAUUUAUUACCUCUAUCUUAUCAAAUAAUCAUGAUUAAUGCUGCUGGGAAAGUUCUAUUAGUCUUUCUUUUGAUAUAUCUUUACCAAUCUCAUCAGCUUUUGCCUCUUUUAUGAUGUGUUUUUUUAUUUUUUAACUCUUCUCAACCUUGGACGUGAGCCUGAUUCAAGCAGUAUUAUCACUCGUGUAAUUUAUUAAUGAGCUCUUUUCCCGUCAUAUAAUGCCGAUGCUUAUAUAUUCUACUCUUACCAUUCGAUUUUUGUACGCCUAGUACUUGUAGAUCAUUUUAAUUAUAUAUAUACUUCAUACUUGAUGGAGUGAAUAUAAUGCAUAAGAUAUUCAUUCAGUUAUAUGUAGAUAUAUUAAACUUUAGUUUAUGUACUAGACUAACUAAUGGACUUCUAACCUAAAUCAUCGAUAGAUUCUUAAGAUAAUUAGGCUUAAAUACGCAAUCGUCACUAAUUAUUAAUAAUUCAUGAAACCUCUAUUGCAACAGUGAUGAGAAUUGAAGUAUUAGUUGCUCUGGUUAUUCACAUCAUGACAAAUAAAUAGAGAGAUUUUGGCGGUUUCCUCCAUAAAUUUAUCACCUCAUCAUCCUCAAUUAUAUCCGAAACUCUUUACAAUCCCUAAUAUAUUUUAAAAGGUUUACUUUUGACAUUUUAAUAACUUCAAUUAGAUUCUCAAAAAAAAAAUUAAUAAUAAUAACUUCAAUUAGACCAAGCAUAUUUAGUUUCUUGAAGAUUUAUUCCUGAAAAAUCCAACCUGAUUUUUUUUAACUUUUUUUUUUAUAUUUUAUUAACAACUACUUUCUAAUAUUUGUUUAUUAAUCAAGAUAGAAUUGGAGUUUAAUGAUAAAAUGAUCACGAUUUUAAUUUAAAGAUUUGAGCCCAAAAUCACUUGGCUAUCAUAUAUACUCAAUAAUCACUUGAUUAUCAUACUCAUAUAUUACUCAAUAAUCAAAGCUAAUUAUUACUGAAUAAUCACUUGAUUAUUUGAAAAAUGCUGGCAGCACUUGCAACUCCCUGGAACCCUCGUGUAAGUGUAGAUUCCGAGUACAUCAACUGUUCGAAAAAAUGCCCAUUUGAAGAAGUUGAGGACCCGGGGACCCGCCACUGGUACUAUAAGUCUCAUCUUUUGUCUUUUUAUUUGUAUAUCUAUUUUUUUUAUUAAAAAAAAUUGAUAAUAAAGUCCGCAAAAAGUUUGUAGGAGGGUAAUUAGAAAAGCACAUGGGUCACUUCACUUUGGGUCUCUUGGCCUUCAUCAGUUCAUUGUAAUUAUCAACAGUAAAAGACAAUACAACUGUGAUGCAUUUUCACAAAAAGUUUGCAAAGUCUUCAUUUUCACAAAAAGUUUGCUAAUAGAAAAUUUUUAAGUAAUAUUGUUGUUAUUGAAUGUAACUGCCAUGUAAUCAUUCUAAGUAAUAUUGUUAUUUAUGUAGAAGGUUUUUCCCGUAACGUUCUUGACAAAGCGCUUGUGUUUGUUGGUUAAUCGGAUUAGCAUUUUGAUUGUUCGUAAAGCACUGGAAAACUCGCCCUGAAUCAAAAAUCAUUCUCAAUCUAUUUAAUUCCCUCUGGUAUUAUUGCUUAUGAACUGUACCUUUUAAAUUACAGUAGUUAAAUAUUUAAUAAACACUUAAAAUUAAUAAAAGUUACCAUAAAAAUUACUUGAGAAGCCUUACAACUACAAGUUGAAAAAUAUCGGCAACACAGCAGUAACUGGUAACAAGAAAAUUCAAUGAGACGCCAAAAUGCCACCUAGCGCUAUCCAAUUAACCUGUGGGUGAGGGUAUUUCCACCCUACUAUUUGUGUAAAUCCACCCCACUUCUAAAAAUAUUUAUAAUAAAUACACUUUUUUUUAAUAAAUACAAAUCAACAGAAAAAAUUAUAUAAUUAAUCAAUUAAAUCAUUCUUAUAUUUUUUUUUCUUAAGUUAUUUACUUGCGCUGUAAGAAUCGGAAUUGGAAUGAACAACAUUCUCAUUGAUGUGUUUACUUUAUUUUAUAAUUGGAAUAACUAUUUCAAGUUAUUAAAAUGCCCUAAUAUUAUUUGUAUAUAUUAUAACUAAAACAACAAUAAUAAUAAAACUAAAAAUAAUACUUCUGACAAUAAUGUUAAUUAAAACAAAAAAUUAAUAAAAUUUAACAAUAAUAAUAAUAACAAAAACAAAAAAAUUAACUGAAAUAAUAAUAUUAAUAAUGAUAAUAAUUAAAAUAAUAAAAAUCAUUAAUAGUUUUAAUACUAUUAUUAAUAAAAAUAAUAACAACAAUAACUAAUAAUAAUUAAAAUAACAAAGUUAAUAUAAUAAUAACAUUAAUUUUAAUCAUAACAAGAUAAAUAUUAAUAAUAAUGAAUUAAUUACGGUAUAAUAACAAUUAAAAUAAUAAAAGUAAUAAAUUUUAAUAAUAAUAAUGACAAUAAUAAUCAUAAAUAAUAAUAAUAAUUAAAAUAAAUAAAAAUAAUAAAAUUUAAUAGAAAUAAUCUUAUAUAAUAAUAAUAAUGAUAAUAAUAAUAAAAAUAAAUUAAAAUUAUUUUCAAAUGUCAUUUUAUCAUAAAAAUGGACUUAUAUGUAAAAAUUUGUAACAUUUAGUGUCUAUUGAAUUUUACAAAAAAUAUAAGGUGGUGUGGUGUAAUCAACUACAAAAGAAUAAAAGUUGUUGUAUAUUACAACUGUUGCAACAUAGGCGGACCCUAUAUAUAUGUAUUUUAAAAAAUAAUGAAACCGUAAUAACCCUUAUAACUAUGUAUCUCAAUCAUUGAGAAUCUAGUUGACUUGGAAGCACGAGUCUUCACCUCAUAUGAAUUUAGUUCGACAUUUUUGCAUUAUUUGGAUUACCCAUUGAGUCUUGAGAUCAAACUUGUGCCCCUGCAUUUUCUUUUAGUCUAAUCGCUUAGCAUACCUUAUUAUUCGUGUAUUAUCGUUUUUUUUUAUGUUUAUUAACAUCUAAUCACUAAUCUUUGUUUGCUUCGGUGAAAACUUUGAUCAAGAUAGAGUUGUAGUUUACUGAUAAAAUGAUCACGAUUUUUAAUUUAAAGAUUUGAUUCCAAGAUCCUAACAUUCACAUUUUUAAUUAUAUUUGUUGAUAAACAAGAAAAAAAUUGAUUAGAAGAAUACGACAAUAAGAAGAUAAAAAUACUUGCUCAAAUACUCUGCCGUGUGCUUACAUACAAAUCCACUCUCUUAGCUUUUUAAUCACAUAUAUAAAUCAUCAUCAUCACUAGAUGAUCAUAUAUUUACUCAAUAAUCAAAGCUAGUUAGUGAAAGCUUUGAAUGGUCUUCCAAGAUUGAAGAUGAGGGCAGCACUAGGAACUUCCAGGAACCUUCUCGUAAAUUUAGAUAGAUGCCGAGUGUAUGGACUGUUCGAUGAAAUGCCUCUAUGAAGUUGAGGAAUGGAGAGAUUGCAUAACGACCACAUGUUUGGAACUUGAAUUCAGACUGUUAUUAUUAGAAGCACAUGUCAUGGGGUCUCUUCACUUUAACCUUUGGUCCCAUCCUCUGGCCUUCUGCCACCUGGAUCUUCGCAGCAACUUUGCUGAGUAAGAUUGACGAUUGCAGUGCUACGCUAUUUGUCACUUUAGUCUAGAUAUAAAGCUUAAAAUCUUAUCACAGGGUAAUAAUAUCAGUAAACAUUUGACAAAUCACUGAUCAAUUGAUCUUUUCAAGUCACUUGUAUCGUUUCCAUCGGAUUUGACGCCAUCAAACUACAAAAAUUUAUGUAAAAUUUUUGAAGUAACAAAAUUGUCUUACCCAUUAUACACGAUAGAAUCUCGGAUCAUGAAUGAAGUGAUGUCAAUUUCAAUUAAAAAGAUUUCAGUCUCAAGACCCUAACCCGUUUAGGUUAUUGAGCGAACGACUUAUCAAAAUGAGAAAGCUACAAAAUAUGUGACAAUACGAGGACAGCAAAGAAAUUAAGCCAUCAGCUCUUGGAGUGUAUUCUGUUUUGCACAAAAAAUAUAAAUCAGUGAUCACCUCUAGUUUAUCAAAGUAAUCAUGAUUAAUGCUGUAAGGAAAGCUUUAGUAGUCUUUCUUUAUGAAUCUCGCCCGCUUUUGCUUUUCUUUUAGCAUAGUCUUUCUUUGUAUCCCCAGUCAACCCAAAGCCUUUAACUAUGAUCUUCUCUUGAAUAGAUCUUGUCUAAUAAAAAAUUGAGAUCCUCUCUUGAAUAGAGUUUACCCUUGAAAAAUAAGUAUACAUUAUCAUUCAUGUACUGUCAAAAUUUGAGCUUAAGUUCCAACUAUUUAAAAAUUAUUGUUUAUUUUUGUUGGUGAAAGCAAAUCGAUUAGAAGAAUGUGGUACUGGUAAUAAGAAGAUAAAAAUGCUUGCUCAAUACUUUGCCGUGUGUGCUUUCUUACAAAUCCACUAGCUUAGCUUUUAAUCACAUAGAUAAGUCGUCAUAUUCACAUAUAUAAGUCGUCAUAUUAUCAUAUAUUACACAAUAAUCAAAGCUAAUUAUUGAAACCUUUCGAGUUUGAAAAUGCCGGCAGCACUUGCAACUUCCAGGAACCUUCGUGGAAGUGCAGAUGCUGAGUGCAUCCAUCUGUUCGAUUAAAUGCCGAAAUGAUUUCGAGGACCCACACGACCACGCAACAUUUUUUUUUUGUUCAUUUUAUUUGUAUAUCUAUUUGUGGGAAAAAAAAAAGAAUCAUAAGGUCCGCAAACUUUGGCUUUAUAGCAGAGUAAUUAAUUUUUUAUUUAUUACUCAUCAACUUAGAUUUUUAAAUUACAACAGUAAUAAAAUAUUUAAUAAACAAUUACAAAUAAUUAAAGCUGCCAUUAAAAAUGUUUGAAAAGUCUUACGAUUACAUGCUGAAAAAUGUCCGCAUCGGCAUCAUAGCACUUACUAGUAACAAGAAAAUUCAAUGAAAUGCCAAAAUGAUACCUUGCGCUGUCCAAUUAACCUAUAACUUUAACACUAUUUACAUGCAAUUAUAACCAUCUAUCUCAGUUAUUAAGAAUCUAUAGUUGACUUGGAAGCACGAGUCUUCUCCUUGUAUGAAUUUAGUUUGGCAUUUUCCUAAUCAUCCCUCUUCUCUAAUCUCUAGAGUUCUCUGAAAUCUCUUCUUCAUUUUCUGUCUCCCUUUUCUUAAUAAUCCUUGUCCUCGAUCCUAUACAUUCUUUAAAAACCUUCCAUUGCACUCGCUUUUCAAUUUGUCUUGGCAGAAAAAGGAUCCCCCUUUGUUUCAUCUCUAGAUCCGUCACUCUUUUUCUCUCCUCCUCCCUUAAAUCUAUUCAACCUCUUAUUUUAGCAAUUUAUCCAAACUUCUUAUUUCCCUUUCCCAGCUGAUUGAUUAGUUCUGCUUAGUUUGAUUAGUUUUGCUUUCCCCUGUUUUCUGAAAGCGAAAAAUAAAAAAGAAAGGGAUAAUGGAAAUUGUUAUCUCCGUUGCUGCAAAAGUUGCAGAGUACUUGGUUGCUCCCAUUGUUCAUCCAUUUACUUACUGCUGCAGCUACAACACCAACUUGGAGAAGCUGAAGAAUGAAUUUGAGAAGCUAAAGAUUGCUAGAGCCAGUCUGCAGUACAAGGUUGAAGAUUCCAGAAAUAAAGGGAACGGAAUUCAGCAGCACGUUGAGGAGUGGCUGAUUAGUGCGGACAAGGUGAUCAAUGAAGUCGAAACACUUAUUGAAGACAAAGAGAAUUCAAACAACCGGUGUUUGAAGGGGUUGUGUCCUAAUUUGAGGACUCGGUACCAGCUUAGCAAGAAAGCAGAAAGAGAGGCGAAUGCUAUUAUUGGACUCCAUGAAAAAGGGGGAUUCGACAGUGUUUCUUUCCGUAUCAUUCCAGAGGAGCCAUGGCUUAACUCUACCCAGGGUUUCAUGCACUUUGAAUCGAGAAAGUUCACUUUGAAUGAGAUACUAGACGCACUGAGCAACCGUAACUUCAACAUGAUCGGGGUGUACGGGAUGGGCGGCAUUGGAAAGACCACUCUGGUGAAAGAAGUUGGCAGGCAGGUCAAGGAAAAUAAUCUCUGCGAGAAGGUCAUUUCUGCACAUGUAUCCCGAACACCGCAAAUAAAAGAAAUACAAAGAGAAAUUGCAGAGAAGCUGGGCCUGAAAAUAGAUGAAGAGAGUGAAACUGCAAGAGCAGGGAGGCUGCUUGAAAGAUUGAAGAAAGAGAAGAAGAUCCUCAUAAUCUUGGAUGAUAUUUGGGGGAGUCUUGAUUUGGAGGCGAUUGGAAUUCCAUUGGCGGAUGAUAACAGCGGACGUAAAGUUCUGCUGACAUCAAGAAGUGUAGAUGUGUUGUCUUGUAAGAUGGAUUGUCAACAGAAUUUUCGUGUUGAUGUUUUGAAUGGAGGAGAAGCUUGGAGUCUUUUUACGAAGACGACAGGUGAUUGCAUAGAAAAUGAUGAAUUGAGAUCGGUAGCAAAAGAUAUAGUCAAGGAAUGUGCUGGUUUGCCCAUUGCCAUUGUACCCGUAGCAAGGGCAUUGAGAAACAAGAGAUUGUGUGAAUGGAAGGAUGCUUUGCUAGAAUUAAGAAGGCCCUCCUUGAGGAACUUCAGUGGAACACUGGAGGUGGCAUAUAAAAGUAUAGAGCUAAGUUACAGUCAUUUAAACGAGGAGCUCAAGAGUACAUUUUUGCUAAUAAGUUGCGCGUUCAUCUCUUGCGUUGAAGACGUGCGCUUUUAUGGAAUGGGUUUGGGUCUGUUUCAAAACAUCAACACGUUGGAAGAGGCGCGGGAUAGAGCACAUACAUUGGUUGACAAACUCAAAAAAUCUUGUUUGUUGCUUGAUGGCAAUACAAGUGAACGAUUCUAUGCACGAUGUUGUUCGUGAUGUAGCCAUAUCAAUUGCAUCUAGAGACCAACAUGUGUUUGCGGUGGAAAAUGAGGUUAUUCCGCUGACCAGCUGGCCACAUAAGGAGAGACUGAAGGUUUGCAGGGGGAGGUGCGCAGGUUGGCGCAGGUGAUAGAGGAGAUACAGGGCAAGAGAAAGCCCCCGAGCUGGAGGAUAAUGUUAGAUGAAGAAUCUCCGUUAUCAAUCGAGAUCAUGGGUACCAUAAUCCCAAGAGAUUUCCGCUUCCCCGACCUCAAAUACUCCGGGCGAAGUGACCCACUGGUGCACAUUGAGCGUUUCAACGAUAUGACGGGUGUGCAGGGGCUGACAUCAGCUCAGAGGUGCAGGGCGUUCCUGUUGACACUAGAGGGACGAGCUCGAGAAUGGUACCGCAAGCUGCCCCGAGGAAGUAUAAAAGGGUAUGAGCAGAUGUGCCAGGAGUUGGCCGAGCAGUUCCGAGGGGUAGUAGCCCCAGAGGACGACAUGAUGGAACUGAUGGGGAUGAAACAGGAGGAGCACGAGUCCCUACGGGAUUUUGUAAAGCGAUACCACCGAGCCGUACUUGAUUUGGGAGCUUUCAAUCACCCGCAGGCGUUGAGGGGUUUAAAGGAGGGUGUGAGGAUAGGCCGGCUAUGGUAUAACCUGAGAAGCCCCCUAGUGCAGAAUUAUUCAGCAGGAUAUGAGCAGGCAAAGAGAGAUAUCGAAAUCGAAGAAGAAAAAUCGGCAAAGAUAAAGAGUGAACAGCUGGAAGAGCUGAGACGAAAGGAAAGGAGAACUCCAAAUGGGAGCGGGUCGGGAAAGCGAGCUGGGGAACCCUCAGUAAGGGGCGGAACAUCAGCUCGAUCCCGCCCUUACCCCAUAGCUCCGAGAUCACAACAGUUCCAGCACAACCGGGCUCAACCUCCACGUCCCCCAUUCCCGGAUCGGCAGCGAGAAUUCCGGCAGAUGGCUGCCGACCCCUAUCAUAACACUCCCAGAGCAUUACAUGCAACCAAUUCCAGGGCUAGACGACCAGAUCAGUCAGCGACUAUGCCAGCCCGAGGUGACGUUCAUGAUAGCCGAGCAGUUCAGCUGGUAGACCAGAGCUUGGCAUAUAGACAAUACACUCCACUAAAGAUCUCCAUGGAGGAAUUGUAUGAGAGGAUCGAGGGACGAGGCCUGCUGUACCCUCCAGCCCCAAUAACAAAACCGACUCACCGACGGGAUAAGAGCCGAUUCUGCAAGUUCCACAACACUCACGGUCACACUAUCAGCCAAUGUCGUGACCUGAAGAUUCAGGUGGAGGAUUUAGUGAGGAACCGAUACUUGGACGAGUAUGUAGAUGGAAUAUCCCCUGUCAUGGAAUCAUAGUACACACGGGAUGAAGGAGUUGAGAGGGAUUUGGAACGUGAACAGCCGACCAUCCGUGUGAUAGCAGGAGGGCCAACAUUGGCCGGAGAUUCGAACAGGGCACGGAAGAACUAUGGGAGAUACGCCCUGACUAGCAAAGAAGUGCUUUUCAAUUUGCCAGCAACCAAGAAGGCAAAAGUGCGACAAGUUCCCAUUAUGUGGACAGAUGAGGAUGAAGAGGGUAUUUUAUAUCCUCACGAGGAUGCACUAGUGUUUAAAGCAUCGGUGGCUAGCACAGAAUUGCGGCGAAUACUGGUGGACACGGGCAGUUCAGUUGACAUUCUAUUUAAGUCAGCCCUAGAUGAUAUGGGGAUUUCAGAUUUAAAGCUGGAGCGGACAAAUACUUCCUUAAAAGGAUUUGGAGGGGGACGGUUAACUCCCUUGGGGAUCAUUGAACUCCCGAUUACUGUGGGGACAAAGCCGUUUGAACGAACGAUGAUGCUGGACUUCGUCGUGGUAGAGGAAAGAAGCCCUUACCAGAUGAUACUGGGGAGACCAUUCAUGAAGAUAAGUCAAUGCGUUGUAUCCACGCAUUACUUGGCGCUGAAAUACAGAAUAAAUGGGGUGGUUGGCGUAGUAAAAGGCGACCAGAGGAUGGCAAGGAGUUGUUAUGCUACGGCGGCCAAGGAGACACUACAGGUUACUUCUCUAGAUAAUCGAGGAGAGUCUAAAAAGGGCCGCCAAGAGCAUGUUGAGAAACUGGAGGAAGUUGCAGUAAGCAAAAGCAACCCGAGCAGAGUAAUGAAGAUCGGGUCAGGAUUGAUUGGGGCAGUAAAAGGCGAGCUGGUAAAUUGCCUACAGUCUCAUGCGGAUAUAUUCGCCUGGUCUCAUGAAGAUAUGCCCGGAAUUGAUCGCGGGGUAGCUUACCACAAGUUGGCAAUCAAGAAGGGGGCAAGGCCGGUGAGACAGAAGAGGAGAUGCUGCAACCAGGAAAGGUACGAGGCCAUAAACGCCGAGGUGGAGAAGUUGUUGAAAGCAGGAUUUAUAAGGGAAGCCAAGUACCCAGAAUGGAUUUCAAAUGUAGUCCUGGUAAAAAAGGCCAACGGGAAGUGGAGAAUGUGUGUGGACUUCACGGACCUCAAUAAGGCAUGCCCAAAGGACAAUUUUCCCCUACCCAAAAUAGAUCAGCUGGUGGACUCAACAGCAGGUCACAGUCUGCUCAGUUUCAUGGAUGCCUUUUCUGGAUACAACCAGAUACCCAUGGACGAGCAGGAUGAGGAAAGCACUGCCUUUAGAACUAACAUGGGUUUGUUUUGUUACAGGGUAAUGCCUUUCGGCCUAAAAAAUGCAGGAGCCACCUAUCAAAGGUUGGUAAACAAGAUCUUCAAACCGUUGAUUGGAUACACUAUGGAGGUAUAUGUGGAUGAUAUGAUUACAAAGUCCAAAGAGCCGACGGAUCAUGUGAAGCAUCUAGAAGAGACCUUUGAAUUACUGAGGAAGUAUGAGAUGAAACUAAACCCGGAGAAAUGUGCAUUUGGGGUCAGCUCGGACAAAUUUUUAGGAUUCCUGGUAAGCCACCGAGGGAUCGAGGCCAACCCGGAGAAAAUACGGGCGGUGACUGAAAUGAGGUCACCACGAACAGUUAAGGAGGUGCAAAGCCUUACAGGGAAGUUGGCAGCAUUAAACCGAUUCAUCUCGCGGGCCACAGAUAAAUGCCACCCUUUCUUCCAAACCAUAAAGAAAGGGAAAAAGAUGGAGUGGACAUCGGAAUGUGAGGAAGCAUUUGGGCAGCUGAAGGAAUACCUAACCCGGGUCCCAUUGUUAUUGACUCCGAGAGAGGGUGACCAGCUGUUGCUGUACUUAGCAAUCUCUAAAUGGGCUACCAGCUCGGUAUUGGUCAGGGAAGAGGAAGGAAAGCAACACCCGGUAUACUACACAAGCAAGGCCUUGGUAGAGGCGGAAACCAGAUACCCAUUGAUGGAGAAGUGGGCGCUAGCUCUAAUAACAGCAGCACGAAAACUCCGACCAUAUUUUCAGGCCCAUCAGGUUAUAGUUAUGACCGACCAGCCCCUUCGGCAAACACUUCAAAAACCAGAUGCAUCGGGUCGACUAGUAAAAUGGUCCGUAGAGCUAAGUGAAUUCGACCUCUCUUACAGGCCCCGAGGAGCAAUCAAGGCCCAAGCUCUGGCUGAAUUUAUGGUUGACCGAGCCGAUACAGGGAAAGAAAUUCGGGAGGAGCAAGUAGCAGAGCAGGAGAAACCAGAAGGGUUGUGGUUGGUAAUGGUUGACGGAUCAUGUAGUGAGCAAGGAUCCAGAGCAGGAGUUGUAAUACAGAGCCCAGAAGGAACCGAAAUAACGUAUGCAGUGAAGUUUGACUUUCAGCUCACAAACAACCAAGCUGAAUAUGAGGCCUUUAUCACCGGGCUCGGACUUACACACGCUCUAAGAGCAGAGAGGGUAGAAAUUCGAGCAGAUUCCCAACUGGUGUGUAAUCAGCUCAAUGAUCAGUUCCAAGCAAGGGGAGAGAAGAUGGGUCUUUAUUUAAAGAAGGCAAAGCAGAUGGUUGGGCUUUUCCAAGCAGUGGAGGUAAAGCAGAUAUCCCGGAAUGAGAAUUUCCGAGCAGAUAUGCUGGCUAGGAUGACAGCCAUUGCAGAUCCGAAAUUACCGAAGUCAGUUCCACUAGAGGUAAGGACCUCACCGAGUAUUGAGGAAGAAGCAGAGGUGAUGAGAGUAAGUAUUGGAGAAUCCUGGAUGGACCUGAUUCGCGCAUAUGUCCGCGAUGGAGUUUUACCAGAAGACAAAAGGCAAGUAAGAAAAUUAAAAUGCCGAGCAGCAAGGUAUACGCUACUGGAUGGAGUGCUGUACCGUCGAGGGUUCACCUUGUCCCUUUUGAGAUGUUUGGAUGAUGAGGAGGCGGAUUAUGUGCUGAGAGAGAUUCAUGAGGGAAUAUGCAGCAAUCACUCGGGAGCAAGAACUUUAGCCUUCAAGGCACUCCGGCAAGGAUACUUCUGGCCAACCAUGCACCAGGAUGCCAAAAGGAUGGCAAAGAAUUGUAAAACAUGCCAAAGCUUCUCCGAGGUUCCUGCACAACCCCCGGAAAAGCUGACGGCUAUGACAUCCCCAUGGCCUUUCGCUCAAUGGGGAGUCGACUUGAUUGGUCCAUUGCCUAAGGGACGAGGAGCGGCGACACAUGCAAUUGUGGCAAUAGACUACUUUACCAAGUGGGUGGAAGUAGGAGUCCUCAGCCAGAUUACGGAGAGGAAGACAACAGAUUUUAUUUGGAAGAAUAUCAUCUGCAGAUAUGGGAUCCCCUACGCCAUCAUCACAGACAAUGGGAGGCAAUUUGACAACGGCAACUUCAGGGAAUUUUGCCGAAACCUGGGGGUGGACCUGAAGUUCUGCACCCCCGCACACCCCCAGGCAAACGGACAAGUGGAAGCAUCCAACAAGGUGAUAAAGAAGCUCCUAAAGACUAGAUUGGGAGAGAAGAAGGGAGCUUGGGUUGACGAGCUACCAGGAGUACUGUGGGCCUACAGGACAACUCACAAAACCGCCACAGGGGAAACACCGUUCGCUUUAGCCUUUGGUCAUGAGGCAGUAAUCCCAGCAGAGGUUGGAGUGGGAACACAUCGGACGGAAUAUUUCACUGAGGAGCAAAAUGACGAGCAGAUUUGCUUAAGUCUGGACCUGCUGGAGGAGAAAAGAGAAGGGGCAGUGCAGAAAGUGGCCCAGUGCCAACAAAGGGUCAUGCGUUAUUACAACAAGAACGUACGCGUGAGGCAGUUCCGAGCAGGAGAUUGGGUACUUAGGAAGGUGAACCAGAACACCAGGGAUCCUAACCAUGGCGCUCUUGGCCCAAAGUGGGAAGGCCCGUACCGGGUGAUACGAGCCACUGGACCAGGAGCCUAUAAAUUAGCGCACCAAGAUGGACGAGAAGUGAAGAGGUCAUGGAACGCCGAACACCUGAAGAAGUAUUUCCAGUAAGCAAAGUGCUCUACUAAAUCCCCAUUUUGACAAGAUAUCUAUGUUAACUGCAUCAUGGCUUUGCUGCACAUAUAUGUAUCCAGUAUUCUUGUAAUGCUUUCAAAUUUCAAAUAAAGAUGAGUUCAGCAUGAAAUCCCCCUGCUAGUCUAAUCAAUAAAAGUUUCUACUAAGGCAAGUAAGUGCCUACUUCUGCUCGGUCAACAAAAGACCAGCAGCUAAAUUUACGAAGUUUCUACUAAGGCAAGUAAGUGCAUACUUCUGCUCGGUCAACGAAAGACCAGCAGCUAAAUUUACGAAGUCUCUACUAAGGCAAGUAAGUGCCUACUUCUGCUCGGUCAACGAAAGACCAGCAGCUAAAUUUACGAAGUUUUUACUAAGGCAAGUAAGUGCCUACUUCUGCUCGGUCAACGAAAGACCAGCAGCUAAAUCUACGAAGAUUCUACUAAGGCAAGUAAGUGCCUACUUUUGCUCGGUCCACGAAAGACCAGCAGCUAAUUCUGCAAAAAAUCCUACUAAGGCAAUAAAGUGCCUGUUUCUGCUCGGUCAACGAAAGACCAACAGCUAAAGCUUCGACAAUUCUACUAAGGCAACAAAGUGCCUGUUUCUGCUCGGUCAACGAAAGACCAGCAGCUAAAGCUUCGAAAAUUUUACUAAGGCAAACGGAUGCCUAUUCCUGUUCGAUGCACCAAAGAACCAACAGGCAAAACCAGACAAGAAAGCCAAUAGAGAGCAUUCAAGAAUUUUUAUAAACGUUCAAAUGUUUACAAAGCAAAUGAAAAUCUAGAGUCUUUUACAAAAAUAGACCUAAGGAUUAGGAAGGUCAACGGCCUCAGCAGGAGAAGGGUCGGCUGUCUUGGGAGGUGGAAGAUCAGCAAUAACGGGAGGAGGAGGCGCGGACCCUUGUCCCACUUCAAAAACACACUGACCAGCACCUCCCUCCCGCACCUCAUCAAAAGGAACCUCCACCUGCUCCUUAUCUCCCUGGCCGGCCCCAGCCAUAUACCUCUCCACCCCAGAUUCCAGCUUGCUCAUGUCGAGCUCAUGGUAUUCUUCCUUAAGCACAGACAUGAUGCACUUAUAGCUGAAAGCAACCCCGGAGUCAUACUCGGCAUCCAGCCGAUCAUCCACGUCAGCGGAUUUGCUUUUCUCCUCAGCCAGCUGGUCCUUCAGGGAUUUGAUCUCUCCUUCAAGGGCGACCCUCAGAGUAUCCCUUUCACUUUGGGUAGCCUGAAGAUCGGACUUCAGAUCACCCAACUCAUCCUCAAGCUUGGAGGAAGUGGACUCAGCAACAGCAACUUUCUCCUAAAGCUCCGUAAGCUGCUUGUUCAGCUCGGCCAGUUUCUCCUUGGAACGGUCAGCAGAUUCGACUUUCUUUUUCAACUCCUGGUUAUCAGCUUGGAGCUUCCUCUCAUGACGCACGGACCCGGUCUUGUAGCACGAGACCAUUGUGGCCAGCCUGAAGGAAACUCUUUGAACAGAAGCAGCUAACUCGGAGAGGCUCAUGCUCUCGAUGUCCUUCACCAUCUUGGGCCCAACCGAUUUUCUGUAAUCCUUCUGAUAUGGGCUCAGGUAGUCACCUUGAUCCCGAGAUGGAAGAGGAGAAGAGCGGUCCCCAGACUGCAAGCUGACCUCAGGACUUUUGUCGGAGGUUUUAUCCCCACCACUCUUACGAGGUGGAGGAGGGGGCAGAGCAGGAACUGGCGCCUUGGAAGGACCGACGCUGGGUUUCUUUGGAGGAGGAGGAGGGUUGUUGGAGCUACUCGGAGCCCGACCACGCUUUCUGCUCAACGCGCUGAGGAUCUUGUUAUCCAUUCCAGUGGCAAUAUCUACUAAGCGGGAACCGACCAAGUUUGUUGGCGACAGGAGGUCUUGGCAAGUAGACGCGUUCAACAGAGCAGUUUCCACCUGAAGCAAAGGUCGGUCUUCAAGAUCCUUCACCAAACCCCACGAUUCUGAAAAAAUAAACAAGGUUAAAGAACCCAAUGAGUGGCAAUUUAAGAAAGAAUAUAGGCAAAAAAUGAACGACCUGGGGUGACAAAAUGGGUGGGAAGAUAAAUGUCCCCACCAAGCGACUGAACCGCUGGACACCAGUUCCCUCCAGCAAAGAAGAAUUUGUUCUUCCAAUUUUUACAUGAAGAUGGAAACCCAGUGAUCGGUUUCCUCUUUGCGGAACUGGACAUGAAAUAGUACCAGCCUGCCUCCUUCGGGCUACUCCGCAGCUGGUACAGAUGUUUCACUUCAACAAGAGAAGGCUCCUCCGACCCGCACCUCUCCCACAACAUAAACAUUGCCGAGAGAACCCUCCACCCAUUUGGGUGUAGCUGACCUGGGGCCAGGUGCAUACCGCCCAGUAUCUUGGCAAAGUAAGGUUGAAGGGGCAGCCGAGCUCCUAGUCUGAAACUCUCCAAGUGCAUCAUCACAUACCCUUUCGGAGGCCGACUAGGGACAUCACCUUUUCCAGGAACUACAAGAAGAACCUCGUUGGGGAUGUUGUAGAGAUUCCUAAGUUUAAAUAGAUCGGUGGGGGUGGUGGCACAAGCCAUGAAAUCAAUAGGGUAGGAAUCAGCCUCCACCCUAUGGCCUAGGUUCCUUUUCUGAGCAGGUCUGCUCGGUCCGGAACUGCUCCCCUCACCAUCACCAACUCCUUCAGGGAUCCCAACCCCACCAAAGCUGUGGUUCUCGCCAGAGCCCGACGCAGGUCCACCCCUAUUUCCUACAAGCUCUAAUUCGGGAGAGGGAGAGACAACCAGGGGGCGUGGGUACUCAAGGGUACCCCUACCAUGAGGAGGACCUACACUACUGGAGGGACCUAAAAAAUCGGUGGGUAUUGGCACGUUGAGGCCUGAAUCCCCUGAUUCGUCAUCACCCUCAUCAACAAUUAACUUCCUCUUCCGAUUUGACAUACCGGAAUCCCAAAAGAAGACAGAGAAAACUCGAGUAUAUGGACACAAAGGGGCAACACAGAACCCAAUCAACAACAACCGAAGAAAAGGUUAAAGGCUAUACCUGGAAUAGACUGACACUGAUAGCGCCGCCAUGACAGAGAAAACACCCAGCAAAUGGAUACUCCGGACGCUGGAAGUGUGAGCAAAGUGCAGAGAAAAUUUGGUUAACGGCGGAGAAACGAGUAACAAGAUGGUGAAGACUCCAGUCUAGGGAUUUAAAACGAAAAGGGGGAAAUGGAAGCAUUUAAGUGAUGGGGACGCCAGCUCACUCACCGUACAUCGAGGACAGAUAGCCCGUCGUUUCAAAUUUCAAAUACGAAGAAUCGGGAGAUGCCACGUCACCAACCGUUACAAGAGGCCGGGCUAGAUGCAAGCCCAGGUGCGCAGUGGACAUGCUCAUUUAGGCCCACGCCCAGAUCAAAAUCUCACCUGAAGAAAAAUGAAUUGCUCAGGUCCGUCCCGGUAGACAGAAGACCAGAGGAGAAACCCCGGAUUGGUAAGAGUCGACUAUCAGUUUCUACUCUUGACUCAUUUCACUCACAAGACCAGAAACUGGGGGACUGGUGUUAAGCAAAUAAAAGCACCAGGUCGUCCAGGAUACUACUUCCACCCCGGCAUGAAUCACCUCAGCCAAAUGGUACGAGCAGAACAGGGGUAACAUGAGUCGAUCAGAGACGAAUACUGACCAGAGCCACAUACCGAGCCGGUACUCGUCCCCCGAAAAGCGGAAACACGAUCUCACAGAAUCACGGUAGUUGUGCUUUCCCAGAACCGUUGCGGGAGACGCGAGAUCCCACGUUUGCCCAUAAUGCAGCAGUUAGAGCCCCAUGAGAGGCUACCACUACCCGAAAAAGGUGGGAUGAAGGGCAAGCGGGAACGUGGGGACAGCGGCUAUAAAAGAAGGAGAAAUCGAUGAAGAAGGAGAUAGAAAAAAUUGAGAGAGGGAAAACGCUGCCAAAUUGAAACCAGGCUAUUUUCUUAUAAAACUCCGAAUAAUUUAGAAACCAUUUUGAGAUCUAAAUUGCACUGUUUUCCCGUAAACACCUUGAGCUAACUUAGGCAUCGGAGGGUUUACGCCGGCAAAACCACCGGCGUCUCUGAUCCGUUUUUGGUGAGCGCAGGUCUAUUGUGAGAAAGGAGGACGAUUCCAAUCCCAGUGAACGAGCAACAGUAGAUAACACAAACGUUGGUGAAAGAAUCUGGUCGGUCCAAAGGUGAGCAGAUUUAAGCAUCAACAAUAAUGAUUUGAAGCAAGUCAGCUAAGGCCAAGUGUUUUUAUUAUUUAGGCAAUUAGAUCAUGAAUGGUAAUCUUUCAUUUGAUCAAUUACCUCAAAAUACUCUCAUUUUACGAAGAACGUCAAAUAAUCAAAACUAAUCGUCAUUAAUUAAAAGCUACUGUAGAAAGCCAGAACGGUCUUCCAAAUUGCAAGUUGGAAGAUGUGGGCGGCAUUAGCAACUGUCAGGAAUCUUCAUCCAAGUUGCGAGCCACCCGACCCGAGUCUCAUCAUUUACUUUUGUUUACUUUUAUUUCAUUUUCGUUUACUUUUGAGAAAAGGAAAAUGUAAAGAUUGAAUAAGAAUCACUUGUUUGAAAAUUGAAAAAUGAUCGGAGGACUAAAAUAAGACACAAAAUUGAUUUUUUUUUUAAAUAUAUAUAUUCAAAAUGAUAUCGUUCUUGUUUUAUUUAAAGAAAAAAAUUCGCCUAAAAUGACAUUAUUUUAAAUAUAUUUUUUUGGCAAUUUUUAAUCAAAUUUUAUUUCAAAUAUCAAUCUUGAAAAUUAGUUUAAGAUUUUAUAAUUAGAAGCACACGGGGAUGGGGAUCUCUUCGUUUUAACUUUUGGCCUUAAUCAGUUUUCUGUGAUAUUUUGUUGACUGAAACGCCAAAGAGUUUCGGAGUGGACCAACUAUUCAAAUGUGAGAGAAACUUGCGUGGGAGCUGAGGUGGUGGCUGGUGGGAUAAUCUAUUGGUGCUCGGCUCCGUGAUGGAAUAAACGAAUCCCAUCAUGAAAUCUAUGGCUGGUGGGAUAAUCUAUUGGUCUACUUAUGAUCCGAUUUUGGGAGAAUCUCACUCUUAUCAUCACCUCACAUUUCGCACAAUUUUUUUCAAUUCUUCGUCCACUCUUCGUUCAUUUCAAUGAAAAAGAAAAAGAAAUUAAUAUAAUCGAAUACACUACCUCAGUUAAUUUAGUUCUGCUGACUUAAUUUUUUUAAAAUAUAAAGUCAGUGAAUGCCGCUGUAAAAAUCAAAUAAUUGGUUACCAUUGGGCCGACGCACAUCUCCCAACUCUGCAAGUCUUUCUCCUUCUCAAUCAACAUACUCAAUCGUCUUUGUUUGGGUGAUUAUACUACCAGCCACACAUGCUUUCAUCUGGUCGAGUUAAGAAUCUCCUCAGGUCGGUGUAUUAUGAGCAGACACAAUAGUACCAGGGUCCUAUUCGGCGUAUGGCUAAAAGUCGACAAGAGAACUGUUCCUUAAAGAUCAGACACGACACCACAUCUAGGCGAUGGUUUCGCCAUUUCCCAACCGUACGGGGAAAGGUACAAUAACUUAUGCACGAUUUUUACAAAUCCUCAAAACCCACGAAGGCCCGAAUAUGUAGGACCUGGGGAUGUUCUAGAUACAUGGGGAGGCUGCCUAUAAAAACCCCGAAAAAAACAACAAAAGGAAAAAAAGAAAAAAGAGGACGUAGGGAUGUUAUGAUGGAAUGUAUCUCCUCACCCACUAUGCAGCUCUUGUGGAAUGGGGAACUUACGGAAUCGUUCAUCCCUUCGAGAGGAAUUCGGCAAGGCGACCCAAUUUCACCCUAGAUAUUUGUGAUUUGCAUUGGGAGGCUGAGCCAUGGUAUUAAUCAAGUUGUUCGGGAAGGUAGAUGGAAACCAAUUAAGCUUGCUUGUCAAGGUAUCCCUAUCACUCAUGUUUUCUUUGCUGAUGACCUUCUGUUGUUGACAAAAGCCUCUGUUUCUCAGGCGCAUGUAAUCAAGGAUGUUCUCAACGUUUUUUGCACGAGUUCUAGGGAAAAAGUUAGCAAUGGCAAAACGUGGACUUUUUUCUCCCAUAAUGUGAAGGCUUCUGAUGCUAAAAAUAUUGGAGAAAAGCUCAGUUUCACCACAACAAAGGACCUUGGUAAUUACCUAGGUAUGCCUUUGUUGCACAAGAGGAUUAGAAAGCAAACUUAUCAAAGCCUGAUUGACCGAGUUCAACAAAGACUCUCGGGUUGGACGGCCAAGCAUCUUUCUCUUUCCGGUCGGAUAACUUUAACACAAUUGGUCAUUCAAGCCCUACCCAUCUAUUCCAUGUAGACUGUCAUGCUACCUGCAAGUAUUCGAAAUAAAAUCGAUCAGAUUUGCACACUUUUUAUCUGGAGCGGGAUUGAAGAGGCCAAGCGCAUGCAUCUUAUUAAGUGGGAUAAGGUACAGCUUCCUAAAUGUUGUGGGGGUCUUGGAAUUAAAAAUCUUAAUCUCAUGAAUAAGGCUUUGCUGAUGAAAAUUGGUUGGAAUCUAUUUGGCUCUCCUCACAGUUUUCUGGAUCCAGGUGUUAAGUAAUAAAAAGUACUAGCUCGGCCAUGCCCUCAUCUCUUACCCUGAGGCGAAUCUCCUCAGUUGAAAGACACGAGAAGAGUUCGGGUAAAACAUCUUAUACGGGUAUGUGCCAACUAGAGACGAGCACCAACUAGAGAAAUAUACUGACCAGAGAGGAGCACUGACCAGAUGCUCGUCACCCAAAGAAAGGGCAUACGAUCUCACGAAAUCGCGACAGUUUCGCUAUGCCCCGAACCGUUGGGAAAGACGUGGCAUCCUACGUUUACCCACAAUCUAGUGGUUGGAGACCCAUGAGGGUUUGCCAUCACCCGAAAAAGGGGGACAUGAAGAGUAUGCAGAAACGUGGGACAACGACUAUAAGAAUCCAGGAAACCGAUGAAAAAAGGGGGAGAAAAAUCGAGAAAAAAAGGAAAACUCUGCCAAAUUAAAACCCGAUGGUAUUCCAUACAAGUUUUUGAGAGCAUUACAAGAAAUCACACAAUCUAAUUUACAUAGUUUUCUUGUAAACACCUUGUGCUAACUUAAGCAUCAGAGAGUUUAUGCCGGUAAAACUACUGGUGACUCUUAUCCAUUUUUGUGAACGCCGGCUUAGGAAGAGGAAAAAUGGUGAUUCCAACCCCAGGGACUCAAGCAAUCGUUGAAACAGAAAGAAGGUGACAUCUUCUCUAUCGACCAUAUAAACGUUGGUGAAAAGAUCUGGUCGGGCAAAGGGCGAGCAAAUUUCAACAUCAACAUUUUGGCGCCGUCUGUGGGGAGCUGGAUAAAAAUCUACCACCAAGUUAGUAGUCAUUAAAGGAGCAGCGAACGAUCGGUUAUGGAUGUGUCAAGGAAGGAUGCCCUAGGGGGCGACAAUGAAACUGGUGAAACAAUCACUCUCCGAGAGAUCGCAAAUGAAGCUAGAGAGAGGGUGAUGCAAGACCGAAUGGAACAGAUGGAGAAGCAAAUGGAGACUCUCACGGCUAUAUUACAUGAGCUGAGGGAUGAGCAGAGAAGGGAUUGUGAAACCACCGUGGCGAGGGAUGAAGCCGUGGCAAAACCCAGCCUGCGAAGGCAUAGAAUUGAGGAGAUCCCUCCGCUGGUACACCAACCCUAUGGGGUGCAUUCCCAUAGAAGUGCAAGUCGGAUCCCAAGAGAGCGCGUAGGUGAAGGGAGAGACCAAUCUCGCUUCGGACGAGUUCUGGAAAUUGAUGGCUGAGGAGCGAAUAUUGAUGAAGGAGAGCUCAGACAGUGGCUGCAUAAUGCCGAGCAGGAGCGAGAUCAAAUAGCUGCGCGCGAUCCUAACUGCGCUUUAGAAUUGGAGGGUGAGGUACGCAGGUUGGCUCAGGUGAUGGAUGAGAUUUAAAGCAAGAGAAAGCCCCCGAGCUGGAGGAUAAUGUUGGAUGAAGAAUCUCCGCUAUCAGCCGAGAUCAUGGGUACUGUAAUCCCAAGAGAUUUCCGCUUUCCCGACCUCAAAUACUCCGAGAGAAGUGACCCGCUGGUGCAUAUUGAGCAUUUCAACGACAUGACGAGUGUACAGGGGCUGACACUAGCUCAAAAGUGCAGGGUGUUUCCAUUGACACUAGAGGGGCGAGCCCGAGAAUGGUACCGUAAGCUGCCACGAGGAAGUAUAGGGGGAUAUGAGCAGAUAUGCCAAGAGUUGGCCGAGCAGUUCCGAGGAACGGUAGCUCCAGAGGACGAUAUGAUGGAAUUGAUGGGGAUGAAGCAGGAGGAACACGAAUCCCUUCGGGAUUUUGUGAAAAGAUAUCAUUGGGUCGUGCUUGAUCUGGGAGCUUUCAAUCACCCGCAGGCAUUGAGGGGAUUAAAAGAGGGAGUGAGGAUAGGCUGAUUGUGGUACAACUUGAGAAGUCCCAUCGUUCAGAACUAUUCGACGGGGUAUGAGCAGGCGAAGAGAGACAUAAAAAUUGAAGAAGAAAAAACGGCAAGGAUAAAGAGUGAGCAGCUAGAGGAGCUGAGGCGAAAGGAAAAGAGAACCCUGAGUGGGAGCGGGUCGGGAAAGCGAGCUGGGGAAUCAUCAGUGAUGGGUGGAAUAUCAGCUCGGUCUCGCCCUUAUCCCAUGACUCAGAGACCGCAACAAUUUCAACACAGCCGAGCUCAGCCUCAACGCCCCUCAUUCGCAGAGCGGCAACAAGAAUUCCGGCAGGUGGCUGCCCAUCCUUAUCAUAAUGCUCCCAGGGCAUUACAUGCAGUUAAUUCCAGGAUUGGUCGACCAAACCAGCUACCUACAGUGCCAGCCCGGGAUGAUAUCUACGAUAGCCGAGCGGUCCAACUGAUUGAUCAGAGCUCAGCGUAUAAACAGUACACCCCAUUGAAAGUCUCUAUGUAGGAGUUGUAUGAGAGGAUCGAGGGACGAGGCCUGCUAUACCCUCCUGCCCCUAUAACCAAACCCGCUCACAAAUGGGAUAAAAGCAGAUUCUGUAAAUUCUACGAUACUCAUGGCCACACUAUCAGCCAGUGUCGUGACCUGAAGACUCAGGUGGAGGAUUUGGUGAGAAACCGAUACUUGGAUGAGUAUGUAGAUGGGGCAUUCUCUAUCCUUGAGUCACAAUAUACUCAGAGGGAUGGAGACGAGAGGAGUCUGGAGCAUGAGCAGCCAACCAUUCGGGUGAUCGCAGGAGGGCCAACAUUGGCUGGGGAUUCAAACAUGGCACGGAAGAAUUACGGGAGAUAUGCCAUGACCAGCAAAGAGGUGCUUUUCAAAUUGCCAACAGCCAAGAGGGCGAAAGUGAGGCAAGUUCUCAUUAUGUAGACAGAUGAUGACAAAGAGGGUGUUUUAUAUCCUCAUGAGGAUGCACUGGUGAUUAAGGCAAUGAUGGCUGGUAAAGAAUUACGGCGAAUAAUGGUGGACACAGGCAGCUCGGUUGAUAUACUGUUUAAGUUGGCCUUAGAUGAUAUGAGAAUUGCGGACUUAAAAUUGGAGCGGACGAAUACAUCCUUGAAGGGAUUUGAAGGAGGACAGUUAAACCCCAUGGGGAUCAUCGAGCUCCCGAUUACUGUAGGGUCGAAGCCGUUUGAAAGAACAAUGAUGUUGGACUUUGUCGUGGUAGAAGAGAAAAGCUCUUACCAGAUGAUACUAGGACGACCUUUCAUGAGGGUAAGCCAAUGUGUCAUAUCCACGCAUUAUCUGGCAUUGAAAUACAGAGUGAAUGGAGUCGUGGGCGUAGUAAAAGGUGAUCAGAGAAUGACGAUGAGUUGUUACGCUACAACGGCCAAGGAAACACUACAAGUUACCACUCUGGAUAACCGAGGAGAUUCUAAAAAGGGUCGCCAGGAACUAGCUGAGAAAUUGGAAGAGGUUUUGGUGAGCAAGAGUAACUCGAGCAGAGUGGUAAGGAUCGGGUCAGGAUUGGGCGAGGCAAUAAAAGGCGAGCUGGUAAAGUGCCUACAGUCCCACGCAGAUAUAUUUGUCUGGUCGCAUGAAGACAUGCCAGGAAUUGAUCCCGGGGUAGCUUGCCACAAGUUGGCAAUUAGGAAAGGGGCAAGACCGGUGAGGCAGAAAAGGAGGUUUUUUAACCAGGAAAGGUACGAGGCCAUGCUGAGGUGGAGAAGUUGUUGAGAGCAGGAUUUAUAAAGGAGGCUAAAUACCCAUAGUGGAUUUCCAAUGUAGUGUUGGUAAAGAAGGCCAACAGGAAAUGAAGAAUGUGUAUGGAUUUCACGGACCUGAACAAGGCAUGCCCAAAGGAUAGUUUUUCCCUACCUAAAAUAGAUCAAUUGGUUGACUCAACAGCGGGUCACAGUCUGCUUAGCUUCAUGGAUGCCUUCUCGGGAUACAACCAGAUACCCAUGGACAAGCAGGAUGAGGAGUGUACCACCUUUAUAACUAACAUGGGUUUGUUUUGCUACAGGGUGAUGCCCUUUGGCCUAAAAAAUGCAGGGGCUACCUAUCAAAGGUUGGUGAAUAAGAUUUUCAAACCAUUGAUCGGUCACACUAUAGAGGUAUACGUGGACGAUAUGAUCAUGAAGUCUAAAAGACCAAUGGAUUAUGUGAAGCACUUGGAAGAGACCUUUGAACUACUGAGGAAAUACCAAAUGAAGUUGAAUCCGGAGAAAUGUGCGUUUGGAGUUAGCUCGGGCAAGUUUUUGGGAUUCCUGGUGAGCCACCGAGGGAUCGAGGCCAACCCGGAAAAAAUACGAGCAGUAAUAGAAAUGAAGUCCCUCCAAACAGUUAAGAAGGUGCAAAGUCUUACGGGGAAAUUGGCAGCAUUGAACCGGUUCAUCUCGCGGGCCACGAAUAAAUGUCACCCUUUCUUCCAAACCAUAAAGAAAGGGAGGAAAAUUGAGUGGACAUCAGAAUGUGAGGAGGCAUUCGGGCAGUUGAAGGAAUAUCUUGCCCGUGCCCCGUUACUAUCGACUCCGAGAGAAGGUGACAAGCUGUAUUUGUACUUGGUUGUCUCUAAAUGGGCUACCAGCUCGGUAUUAGUUAGAGAAGAAGAAGGAAAGCAACACCCCAUGUAAUACAAUAGCAAGGCCCUUGUGGACGCAGAAACUAGAUAUCCACUGAUGGAGAAAUGGGUGUUAGCUUUAAUAACGGUAGCGUACAAGCUCAGACCGUACAUUCAGGCCCACUCGAUAGUAGUGAUGACUGACCAACCUCUUUGGCAAAUGCUCCAAAAACCAGAUGCUUUUGGUCGGCUAGUAAAAUGGUCUGUAGAGCUGAGCGAAUUUGAUCUAUCUUAUAAACCACGAGGAGCAAUCAAAGCCCAAGCCCUGGCCGAUUUUAUGGUUGAUCAUGUUGAACCAGGGGAAGAAGUUCAGGAGGAGCAACCAGCUGAACAGGAGAAACCAAAGAGGGUGUGGCUGGUAAUAGUUGAUGGGUUGCGUAGUGAACAGAGAUCCGAAGCAGGAGUGGUAAUACGAAGCCUAGAAGGGGCCGAGGUAUCCUAUGCAGUAAAAUUUGAAUUCCAGCUCACGAAUAACUAAGCCGAAUAUAAAGCCUUCAUCACUGGGCUCGGGCUUGCACACACAUUACGAGCAGAGAGGGUAGAAAUCCGAGCAGACUCCCAAUUAGUCUGUAAUCAGCUCAGUGACUAAUUCCAAGCGAGGGAAGAGAAGAUGGGACUUUAUUUGAAGAAGGCAAAGCAGAUGGUUGGGCUUUUCCAAAAAGUAGAAAUAAAGCAGAUAUCCCGAAAUGAAAAUUACCGAGCAGAUAUAUUGGCCAAAAUGGCCAUAAUUACGGAUCCAAAGUUACCCAAGUCAGUUCCAUUGGAAGUGAGGACCUCGCCAAGUAUAGGGGAGGAGGUAGAAGUAAUGCGGGUGAACACUAAAAAAUCCUGGAUGGACCCGAUUCUCUCAUACAUCCGCGAUGACAUUUUACCAUAAGACAGGAAGCAAGUAAGAAAGUUAAAAUGUCGGGCAGCAAGGUAUAUGCUACUCGAUGGGGUACUCUACCGUCGAGAAUUCACUUUGCCCCUUUUGAGAUGUUUGGAUGACGAGGAAGAAAAUUAUGUGCUGAGGGAGGUUCAUGAAGGAAUAUGCGGCAACCACUCGGGGGUAUGGACUUUGGUCUUCAAGGCACUCCGGUAAGGGUACUUCUGGCCGACUAUGCACCAGGAUGCGAAGGGGAUGGCAAAAAACUAUAAAGUCUGCCAAAGCUUCUCGGAGGUUCCUACUCAACCCCUAGAAAAGCUAACCGCUAUGUCAUCCCCAUGGCCUUUUGCCCAGUGGGGAAUUGACCUGAUUGGCCCAUUACCCAAAGGCCGAUGAGGCGCAACACAUGCAAUUGUGGCUAUAGAUUACUUUACUAAAUGGGUAGAAGUGGGAGUCCUCAAUCAAAUUACGGAGAGAAAGACAACAGAUUUUAUCUGGAAGAAUAUCAUCUGCAGAUACGGAAUCCCUAUGCAAUCAUAACAGACAAUGAGAGGCAGUUUGACAACCACAACUUUUGAGAAUUUUGCCAAAACUUGGGUGUCGAUCUGAAGUUUUGUACCCCGGCACACCCCUAGGCAAACGGGCAAGUAGAAGCAGCCAACAAAGUAAUAAAGAAACUUCUGAAAACCAAGCUAGGAGAGAAGAAGGGAGCUUAGUUCGACGAGCUACCAAGAGUGUUAUGGGCCUACCGAACAACCCAUAAAACUGCCACAGGAGAAACCCCGUUUGCCUUAGCUUUCGGUCAUGAGGCAGUAAUCCCAGUAGAAAUGGGGGUGGGAACACAUCGGACAGAGUAUUUCAACGAGGAACAAAAUGACAAGCAGAUUUGCAUGAGCCUGGACCUGCUGGAAGAAAAAAGAGAAGGGGCAUCGCAGAGAGUGGCCAAAUGCCAGCAAAGAAUCAUGCGCUAUUACAACAAGAAUGUACGCAUGAGACAAUUUCGAGCAGGAGAUUGGGUACUUAGAAAAGUGAACCAAAACACAAGAGAUUCUAAUCAUGGCGUUCUUGGCCCGAAAUGGGAGGGCCUGUACAGAGUAGUACAAACAACUAGCCCAGGAGCUUACAAGCUGACUUACCCAGAUGGACGAGAUGUGAAGAGGUCGUGGAACGCCGAGCACUUGAAGAAAUACUUCCAGUAAGCAAAGUGCUUUACCAAGUUUUUAUUUUGAUAAGCUAUUUCUGUUAAAUGCAUGAUGAUGAAUUGUGACACAUGCAUGUAUUUCGCCUUUUGUAAUCUAUGCAAAGUUCAAUAAAGAUGAAUUCAGCAUAAAGUUCCCUUGCUAGACAAAUUUUACUAAGACAAGCAAGUGCCUAUUCCUGCUCGGUCGCCUAAAGGGCCAGCAGGCAAAAUCCAUUAAAUUUACUAAGGCAAGCAAGUGUCUAUUCCUGCUCGGUCGCCUAAAGGGCCAGCAGGCAAAAUCCAUUAAAUUUACUAAGGCAAGUAAGUGCCUAUUCCUGUUCGGUCGCCUAAAGGACCAGCGAGCAAAAUCCAUUAAAUUUACUAAGGCAAGCAAGUGCCUAUUCUUGCUCGGUCGCCUAAAGGGCCAGCAGGCAAAAUCCAUUAAAUUUACUAAGGCAAGCAAGUGCCUAUUCCUACUCGGUCGCCUAUAGGACCAGCAGGCAAAAUUCAUUAAAUUUACUAAGGCAAGCAAGUGUCUAUUACUGCUCGAUCGCCUAAAGGACCAGCAGGCAAAAUCCAUUAAAUUUAUUAAGGCAAGCAAGUGCCUAUUCCUGCUCAGUCGCCUAAAGGACCAGCAGGCAAAAUCCAUCAAAUUUACUAAGGCAAGCAAGUGUCUAUUCCUGCUCGGUCACCUAAAGGACCAGCAGGCAAAAUCCAUUAAAUUUACUAAGGUAAGCAAGUGCCUAUUCCUUCUCGGUCAUUGAAGGACCAGUAUGCAAAAUUCUACGAAACCGUUAAAGCAAGGAAUCGUCUAUUUUUCCUCAGUCACCCAGAGACAAGCAAACAUAUUUUUUAAAGUAAUUUGCAAAAACAACUCGUAAGCAAAAUCAUGGCAAGAAAGCAACCAAAAAGUGUCAAACAUUUAUAAACAUCCAAGCGUUUGUAAACAAAUGAAAAUUCAGAAUUUACAUAAAAAGCAAGCCUAAGGAUUAUGAGGUUCAGCGGCCUCAGUAGGAGAAGGAUCAGUAGUCUCGAAAAGAGGAGGACUAGCGACUUCUGGAGGAGCAGACGUUGACCCAUGGCCUACUUCCAGGGCGUGAUCCCCUGCUUCCUCCUCCUGCACCCCACCUGGAGGUGCCUCAACCUGAUCCUGGUCCCCUUGGUCCUUAUUUUCCUGAUCUAACUCGGCCAUAUACUUCUGCACUCCUGCCUCCAGCUUGCUCAUGUUAAGUUCUAGAUAUUCCUUCUUAAGCACAAACAUGAUGCACUUGUAGCUAAAGGCGAGCCCAAAGUUAUACUCUGCAUCCAGCCAAUCGUCCACCUCAGCAGAUUUACCUUUCAGUUCGGCUACCUGCUCAUUCAAGGACUUGAUUUGCUCCUCGAGGGUCGUCCUCAAGGUAUCUCGUUCACUUUGAGUAGCCUGGAGAUUAGACUUCAGGUCACCUAACUUGCUCUUAAGCUUGGAGGAGUUGGACUCAACAAUGGCCACUUUCUCCUCCAGGUCCAUGAGCUGCUUGUGCAAAUCAACCAGCUUCUCCUUCGAGCGAUCAGCAAAAUCAGCCUUUUUCUUCAAGUCCUGGUUGUCAGCUUGAAGCCUCCUCUCAUGGCGUGUGGAUUUGUUCUUGUAGCAAGAAACCAAAGUAGCCAACUUAAAGGAGACCCUCUGAACGGAUCCAGCUAACUCGCUAAGGUUCAUGCUCUCAAUAUCUUUGACCAUUUUGGGUCCCACCGACUUGCCAUAGUCCCUCUGGUAUGGGGUCAGAUAGUCACUCUGGUCCCGAGGCGGAAGAGGAGAUGAUCGGUCUCCAGAUUGAAUAUUGACCUCAGGACUCUUGUCGCUAACCUUCUCCCCCCCUCCCCCCCCAUUGUUUCGAGGUGGAGGAGGAGGCAGAGCAGGAGCAGAAGCCUUGGAAGAACCAAUAUUGGUUUUCUUCAGGGGAGGGGGAGUUACUGGAGCCACCUGAACCCCGAGCACGUUUCCUUGACAUAGCGCUAAGGAUCUUAUUAUCCAUCCCGACAGCUACGUCCACUAAGCGUGACCCAACGAGAUUUAUUGACGACAGGAGAUCUUGAUAGGUAGACAUAUUCACCAGAGCAGUUUCCACCUUGAGCAAUGGUUUGUCGUCAAGUUUCUUGAUCAGGCCCCACGACUCUGAAAGAAUAAACAAGGUUAAGGAACCCAAUAAGUAACGAUCAGAGAAGUGAAAUAUGCAGAAAAAAUAAACGACCUGGGGUGACAAAAUACGUUGGAAGGUGAAUAUCACCACCAAGCGAAUGGAUUGCUGGACACCAAUUUCCCCCAGCAAAGAAGAAUUUAUUUUUCCAAUUUUUACAUGAGGAAGGAAAGCCGAUGAUAGGCUUCUUUUUUACAGAGCUUGACAUGAAGUAGUACCAGCCUGCUUCCUUUGGGCUGCUCCUCAGCUGAUACAAAUGCUUUACUUCCACAAGGGAAGGCUCUCCGAGCCCACACCUUUCCCAUAGCACAUACAAGGCUGAAAGAACCCCCUAUCUGUUCGGGUGAAGCUGACUUGGAGCCAGGUGCAUACCACCCAAUAUCCUGGCAAAGUAAGGUUGAAGGGGCAACCAAGCUCCUAACUUGAAACUCUCCAGAUGCAUCGUUACAUACCCCCUUGGAGGCCGACUGAGGACGUCACUUUUCUCAGGGAUUACAAGGAGAACCUCUUCAAGGAUAUUGUAAAGAUUUCUAAGCUUGAAUAGGUCAGUGUGGGUAGUAGCACAGGUAAUAUAGUCAAUGGGGUAAGCUUCUGCCUCCAUCCUAUGACCAAGGUUUCUCUUCUUAGAGGGUCUGCUCGGCUCGAAACUGUUAUCCUCACCGUCACCCACUUCCUCAGAGACCCCAGCCCCCCCAGAACUGUGAUUUUCACCAGAGCCCAAAGCUGGUCCACCGCGGUUUCCCACGGGUUCUAAAUCAAGGGAAGGCAAAGUGGUCAUGGGGCGAGGGUAUUCAAGGGUAUCCCUAUGAUAGGAGGGACCUACACAACAAGAAGAGCAUAGGGGAUCAUUGGGUCCAAAUAGGUUGGGGUAUGAAUCCUCUACCUCUUCGUCACUCUCAUCUACAAUUAUUUUUCCCUUUCGGUUUGACAUAUCGAAAUCUUAAAAGGGAAAACACAGCAAAUCCAAGUAUAUGGGUACAAAAAAAGGACAAUACAGAACCCAAGCAACAACAACCUGAGAAGAAGUUAAAUGCGAUACCUGGAAUAGAUUGGCACUGGUAGCGUUGCCGUGACGGAGAAAGGGCCCAGCAAACAGAGGUUUCUAACGCGGAAAGUGCGAUUAAAGUCCAAAGAGGGAGUUGGCUUACGGUAGAAUGGCAGAUAGCGAAACGCGAUGGUAGUUUCAAUUUAGGGAUUUGAAAUGAAAAUGGGGAAUGAAGGCGUUUAAGUUACGCGGAGGCCAGUUCAAUUGCCGUAUAUCGAAGACAGAUAAGCCAUCAUUUCAAAUUUCAAAUGCAAAAGGACAAGAAGCGACACGUCACUGGCCGUUAGAAAAGGCCUGAUGAGAUGUUAGCCCAGUUAUAUAUUGGACACGCUCACGAAGGUCCAUACUCAGGCCGAAGUCUCCUUAAACAAAAGAAGGAACCUCAGAUCCAUCACAAUAACACGAAGACCAUAGAGAUAUUUCCCGAGGUCGGUAAGAUAUAAUUCUCAGUUUCUAAUCUCAACUCAUUUCACUCGCAAGACUAGAAACUGGGGGACUGGUGUUAAGUAAUAAAAAGUACCAGCUCGGCCAUGCCCUCAUUUUUUACCUCGAGGCAAAUCUCCUCAGCUGAAUGACACGAGAAGAGUUUGGGUAAAACAUCUUAUACGAGUAUGUGCCAACUAGAGACGAGCAUCAACUAGAGAAAUAUACCAACCAGAGAGGAACACCGACCAUAUGCUCGUCACCCAAAGAAAAUGCACACAAUCUCACGAAAUCGCGACAGUUUCGGUAUGCCCCGAACCGUUGGGAAGGACGUGGCAUCCCACGUUUACCCACAAUCCAGUGGUUGGAGACCCAUGAGGGUCUGCCAUCACCCGAAAAAGAGGGACAUAAAGAGUACGCAGAAACGUAAGACAACAGCUAUAAAAAGCCAGGAAACCGAUGAAAAAAUGGGGAGAAAAAUAAAAAAAAAAAAAGAAAAACUCUGCUAAAUUAAAACCCGAUGGUAUUCCAUACAAGUUUUUGAGAGCAUUACAAGAAAUCACACAAUCUAAAUUAUAUAGUUUUUCCGUAAAUACCUUGUGCUAACUUAAGCAUCGGAGGGUUUACGCCAGUAAAACUACCGGCGUCUCUGAUCCAUUUUUGUGAACGCAGGCUUAGGAAGAGGAAAAAGGGUGAUUCAAACCCCAGGGACUCAAGCAAUCGUUGAAACAGAAAGAAGGUGACAUCUUCUCUAUCGACCAUAUAAACGUUGGUGAAAAGAUCUGGUCGGGCAAAGGGCGAGCAGAUUUCAGCAUCAACACCAGGUAUUGAUGUCUAAAUAUAUGGUUGAUAAGGACAAUCUCCCUCUUGCACUUCCACCCCGAUAUGGAUCUCCAUUAUGGAAGGCUGUGGGAAAUGUCUUGAAUGAGGUUGUCCAAGGGACUCGUUGGGUUAUUGCGAAUCGGAGGCUAGCUAAAUUUUGGAAGGAAUCUUGGCUGGAGGUCAGAAUUUGUUUGCAAUAUUACGCUCUCGGAUCGAUCCAUGGGAACAUCCUAAAUGAGUGUAUGGCUAAUUUCGUUGAUGUUAUUGGUACUUGGAAAUGGGACCAUUUUUCUUCUUUGUUGCCACACUAUAUUCUCCUCAAAAUAGCUGGCACUAUGCCCCCUUCUACCAAUGGGGAAGAUGAUUGCCGUUAUUGGGGACCAGCGAGGUCGGGUUCGUUUAGUGUGAAAUCUACUUACUUAUCCCUCCUCAAGCCAUUGCCAAGUACGAAUAACUCCUUUUGGAGUUUGAUAUGGAAAUGGCAAGGCCCCCAAAGUAUCCAUUGUUUUCUGUGGCUACUGAUGCAUAAUCGUUUGAAAACCAAUGAGGAAUUAUCACGAAGACAUAUGCUUAAUAAUAGUAUUUGUAUGCGGUGUGGGCAUAUCAGGGAGGAUGCCCUUCAUACAGUCAGGGAUUGUGUGGACUCCAAAUGUAUUUAGUUAGCACUUCUUCCAGAACACACAAGGCAUACCUUUUUUGUGUUGGAUCUACGUGCAUGGAUUGUUUGUAAUCUGAAAAACCUAUUGAAGAUCACUAAGGAGACGGAUUGGCCAGUGUUGUUUGGUGUCACUGUGUGCAGAAUGUGAUAUUGGCAUAAUCAAUUUGUUCAUGCACAUAGGACGAGCAGCCUUUUCAACGUAAUCAUGGACCUGAAGAAUCGUUCGGAAGAGUCAUUGUUGUUUCUAAGUCUUUAUGUAAUCAAAGAAGGCCAAAAACCGUGCAUUGGAUCUCAUGGCAGCCCCCAACAUGGCCAUUUCUAAAACUCAAUAUGGAUGGAGCUUUGAAGAGAUCGGGUUUGGCAAGUGAUGGUGGCUUGGUAAGGAAUUAUUGUGGGGAAUGGAUUUGUGGUUUCAACAUGAAUUUGGGUAGUUGUUCCAUUAUGGAAGCUGAGUUGUGGAGGUUGUACCAAGGCUUAAAAAUUGCUUGGGACUAUGGUUUUCACUUACUGCAGGUUGAGGUGGAUAAUUUGGGAAUCACGCAACUCCUGACUACCUCUAGUGGUAACCAUAAUAGCAUAUCCUCGUUGUUAUAGGGCACCAAGAUUUACUUAACAGAGAUUGGCAUGUAUCAGUGAAGCAUGUGUAUAGAGAGGCGAAUUUUGCUGCCGAUUUCCUUGCAGGGAUGGCUCUCACCCUCCCCUUGGGUGCCAUACUCUUCAUUCACCUCCUAUAGGCGUGCAUUAUUGUUUGUUCAAUGAUGGACUAGGGACUGCUUUUUCUCGUUUUGUUUAGCGUAGCGGCAAUCUAGGCUCCUCUUGUACCCAAAAAAAAAAAAGGGGAAAACUCUGCCAUUUUGGAUCUAGAACUUAUUUCCAAAAAGCUUUCUAAAAAACUUCCUUCAUUUAAGAAUUGUUGGUUUUGAUAAUUCAAUGUUUUUUUCAAAAACCCUGCAUACUGACUUAAGUAUCGGAGGGUUCUCGUAGGAGAAACCACUGGCAUCCCUGAUCCAUUUGUGUGAGUGCAGGUCAGAAGAGAAGGAGCAAGGUUAGUUGAGGUCAUUAAACCUAGGGAUGGGCAAAAUACCCGAUCCGACCCGAUCCGAAAAUUUUCGGGUUCGGAUCGGGUUGUGAAUAAAACUCGAUCGGGUGCAAUUGUGUCAACCCGAUCGGGUCGUGUUUGGAUCGGUUAAAACCCGAUCCAAUCCGAAAACCCGAUCAAGUUGACAUAAAAUCAAAAAUCAUAACCCAAAGGCCCAAACCUUAUCCUAAUUCCUAAACACUCACUAUCACACACACCACUCAACACACGACACACACAACCCUUACAAACAAAAGCCUAACCACUGUAUAUGGCACAACUGCACAAGCACUAAGCAGCAGUGAGCAACCCACUGCCAACUAGUGCGUCAUCCACCCACAGGCGACGGCCUCCCUCGCUUGCAACUUGGAACCCACCACCGACAGCCACAUAGCCCGUCGCCUACAACAUCCUCCCUCAAACAAACAAAACACACACAUACACCCCCACACACGCACACACACAAAGUUAAUGCCUUAACAGAGCAAGCUGUAGCAGACCACCAUGCAGCAACCACCGAGCCUCCACGAGGAUCGUGAUCUGAUUCCGAUCGACCGAUCUACUGCUACAAAGUAUCGGAUCUACUGUGCCACCUCAAAGCCUCCAUUCCUCCACCAUCACCCGAUCCGAUUCAAGCUCCAUUAACCCAGCAAGCAGCAACCCGAAUUUUGGUUGUUGAGUCGAGUUUUGGAAGCUUUGAGUUUGAGCUUUGAAACUUGAUGGUGAUGAUAUUUGUGAAAGUAAAGUGUUAAAUGUUAAUAAGCAUUUUCCUAAUCCGACCUGUCUCGAACCAGAAUCCGAACCGAUCCAAACUCAACCCGAACUUAUAACCCGAUCUAAUCCGAUCCAAAGUUACUUUGGAUCGGAUCGGAUCGGGUUAUAAAUUCGGGUUGAAUUCGGAUGAAUUUUUAUUCAAUCCGACCAACCCGAAAUCCGAUUGGAUUGAUACGAACCCGACCCUAACCUGAUUUUGCCCAGCCUUAGUUAAACCAACUUGAUUAGAGAGAGAACGAGCAGCUUUGCGCCUCACCCAGAGAAAACUUAAGCGUUGACGAGAAAACCUUGUCGGUCCUCCACGUACGACCAUAUUUAUGCAUCAAUAUUUUGGCGCCGUCUGUGGGGAGCUGAACAAAAAGCUACCACUAGCAAAGCAACUCAUAGGGAGAAUUAGGCAUGUGGACAUGAAUAUGGGAAAGAGUGAUGCAUGAGCAAAUGAAGCUGAUGGAAAAGUAGAUGGAGACCCUCACCGCCAUCUUACAUGAGCUGAAGAACAAGCAAAGAAAGGCUUAUGAUGCAAAUGCAACAAGGGAUGAUGUUGCCAUAGAGCCCAGUCACCGAAGGAAUAGAAAUAAAGAGAUCCCUUCAAUAGGGGGAUAACUCAACGGGGUGCCUAACAAUGGAGUAGGAACUCAGACUUUGAGAGAAUGUGAGCACGAAGGGAGAGAUCAAUUCCACAAAUGGACAAAUCUUGAGAAGUUGUAGUAGAGGAGCGAAUGCCGAAGAAAGCAAGCUAAGGCAGCACCUACACAACAUCGAACAAGAAUGUGACUAGGUUGCAACACGUGAUCCUGGUUAAGCCUUGGAACUGGAGGGAGAAGUACGACGAUUGACACAAAUAAUAGACGAAAUGCAGGGCAGGAGAAAGCCCUUCAGUUGGAGAAUAAUGUUGGAUGACGAAUCUUGGCUUUCAGUUGAGAUUAUGGGCACUAUGAUAUUAAGAGAUUUUCGUUUUCCCAACCUCAAAUACUAAGGAAAAGUGACCCGCUGGUGCACGUCGAGCACUUCAAUGACAUGAUUGGAGUGCAGGGGCUAACACCAGCGCAGAGCUGCAGAGUAUUCUCUUUGACAUUGGAAGGACGAGCACGAGAUUGGUACCUUCCCUUUGACACCGGUAGGGACUUGCAACUUCCAAAAACCUUUGAUUAACCCAAAAAAAAAAAAAAUACAUAUAGUUUGAAAUUAUAUGAUGAUCGAUAGGUAUGUAAUUUUGUAGUAAUAUUUUAUUUGAUCAUUUAUUUUUUGGUAUUCCGUGAAAGGUGUGCAAAAUUAGAUAAUAUUUCUCUGAAACUUGUAUUCCUUCUGCGAAACAUCACAUGCUGAGAGCUUCGACUAAACUAGUUUCAAUUGUACGUCGACUAAACUAUCUGCUUAUUCUACGAUUAAUGCCAACUUUGAUGAUAUCAAGGCAGAAACAGAGAAGUGAAAGAGUGAAAGUACAGCCAUUCAGCGCAGAGUUUCUGAGACGAAAGCAAAGUGUAAGAGAUUGAAGAGAAGGCUGAGACCAGUGCGAAACUAGAUCAUUACUCAAGUCUCAUCACUAACCUCUUAGAUGUUUUGUUUCUGUAGGCUACACUGGUUGGUUCUAAUCACAAAACUUAGGAUUCUACUGGAAACAUGUUGUUCAAAAAAUUGCACAAUUCAAUCUUUAUUGUGGCUACCCAGACCGAAAUAAAUGCUCUAUUUGGUUUCACUUUGAAUUCUGCAAAUUUGUGAACAACAAUUUCCAGCAAGAUCCUCAAUUUGUGAUUAUAACUGAUGACGGUAAUCUAUAGAAGGAGAAAUCAUUUAGGACAUCAGUGAAAGAUUUGAGUAAUGAUUAUUCUUACCAACAAAUUCAUCAAUUUGUCAUGCAGACAGUAGACUCAAUUUACAAAAUUAUUUGUGGAUUGCUACAUCAAUUAUGUUGACAGAAAAGUUGAAGUUUGUUGGAAAACAAAGAGCAUUGUUAUUUGAACAGCUGCAAGAUAUUCGGAAGACAUGCAGAAAUAUGGGUAUUGCUUAUGCUAUAGUGCCAUUGCAGCAUAAAAUUGACAGCAAUGUUUAUGCAACAGUACUGUCUUUUUUUGUCUUCUUAGUGUUUUGCUGAUACACAAAUAUCAUUUUCCACAAACAAAACAUGUAAUAGCAUGCUCCAGGAGCAGUUUCUUACACUCUUGAAGUAGCCUACAAUAAGAUCAAAUCGAACAUUCUCCCUCAAUUUAGUGUUCUAAAACUGAUUUAUAUCUUAACAUAGAAAUGCAAUCUAAAAGCACUAUUAACGAAAGCUCUUCUUGUUUGCAUUAAAAACCAAGAAGAGCUUAUUGUGGUGGGGGGUGGGGGGGUGUGGGGGGGAAAGAGAACCUCAGUCAAAUAAGAUAAAAUUACUUUGGAUGGGUUAUUUACUGUCUAAAAAAAAUUCUAAACACUAUUAUAUUUUAUUGGCUCAUCUAGUAAAUUUAAAAUUUUUAUUUUGCAUACUCUAUUAAAUGUAAAAAACAAAUAUCAUCACACAAAACGACAUGAAACCAUCUAUGUAGCAUCUGAAAUGAGGCCAUUUUUCUGUAUAAUUUUUGAGGCAUUGUAUUAUAUGGAGCUUGAUUUCUUUCUCUUUAUCAAGGGUAAGAUGGCGUUGGCGAUCAAUAGGGUCCCCCUGUUUCUUUGUUUUCAUUAAUAUUACUUCGAAUCCGCUUUCAGGUUGAGUGUCUAAAGAUUUUAUUAAACUUGUGUUUAGUUAAAUGUAUUGAAUUUCUGGAGUAUUUGGUAGUUAAUGAUGAAACUCGGCAUUAGAUGAACUUACAAUCAUUCUAAUGAUAAAUGUUUUUGUCAUCGAAAGUCAUUGAGUAUUAUUGCGGCAGUAAGCUACGUUGAACUAGCAUUCAAGAUAUAACUAUCAAAACAUGUACGUGAUUGCCACUGGUAUUAAAAUCAAAACAUUCAUGCAAUGAUUAAUGAUCUUAAAUUUAAGGUUAAAAAUGACCUAAUCAAUUUCAGCAACUACAUCCAAAUGAUUUUGGUUUUGAUGUUUACAAAUACAUGUAACAUAUAUGUAUUUCUUUUAAAAAUUAUCAUAUGAUUAAUACUUAUAUUUAAUUCACACACACAUCAUUCAGCUUUUGGAAUUCGUCAUUUGGGUCCUCACGUGUAAGCAUCACGUGCACCACUCAUUCUGAGUUUCUAACCAAGUCAAAGUUCAGUUAAAAUUCUUUGCAGCAGGAAGGUGGUGUGGUUUGGUGACUGGUGAAUAGCUCACUCAACUUGUGAACCGUGAUUAGUCAAAUAAUCAAGUACACGUUUCGAAGAAUAACCUCGGAAGGUCUGUCCAGUGUCCACUGUCCAGUAUGAUGACAUGUCAGCAACGUUUUACAACAGGAUCAAGAAGCAGCUAUGGUGUAAGCAUGGUAGUGACAGCGUAGAAGCUGUGUAUGCAUAUCACCCGUCUGUUGAAAUGCUCGCAGUAAUCAAACCUCUUAUAACACUGCUUCAUCUGUCAAGUCAAAUUUUCCUCGGAGUCAAGAAAUGGAGAACUAACAGGUAUGCAUUUCUUAAACCAUUAUUAUAUUCAAACACAAGGAUUCGUAUAAAAGCAUAUCGUUAUUAUAUUCAAACACAGGGAUUCGUGUAAAAGCAUAUUAAUGAAUAUGAAUCUGAUCGCUUUAAACUUUAAUUAACAUGAAACUAAGCAUGACGGAAUCAGCAUUUCUUGAUUUUCUUCAAUUAGCAGAUGCGUGAAUAUGCUCGUGUUUGUGCCUUGUAUUCAUAUAAACGAAAACCUGGUCUAUAAUUCAAUAGUUUAUUAUAUUAUUGGAAUUAAAUAAGUAUAAAAGUGUCCCGGAUGCAUGAUCAGUGAUCACAUCACAAGCCUUGUUGUGCUUCAUCUCACGACGGCUGCUUUAUGUUUGCUUGAGUUGCUUCAUAUAUAGCAGUUAGCAGAUGGCCAAAGUUGGCAAUGGCAUGUGGCAAGCUUAGCAAUUAUAUUAAGCACCUGCCAAGGACACCAGGUUAAUUUUUAUCUCUCAACACUCUGUUUUGCACCGAGAUAUCCAAUAUAUACUGGUUUAUCAAAUAAUUGAUUAAUGCUGAUUGUAUCAGUCUCCUAAUUAGUUAAAUGUUGUUGAAGAUAUAGUUGCUGCUGAGCUGGACAGAGCUGCUGAGCUGGACAAGAUUGAAUGUAACUGAAUGACAUGUUUCAAGAGCUCAAUGGCUAAACUAAAUCUGAAGUUGUUAUUAGUUGUUUUGCAGUUGUUUAAUUAGUUAGAAUAAUUGUAUAUAAGCUUAGCUAAGUAAGCUUAAUAAGCAUUGAAUAUUCUGGUUAAUAAAAUCGUGAAGUUUCCUUUUUCAUUUUCUCUGUUUUUCUUUGUUUCCAAACAUCUUAUUAUGAAUUCUAAUAUGGUAUCAGAGCCACGAAACAUGACGAAUCAAAGCAAUUCAGGAUCGUCUUCACUUUCUUUUUCUUUUAUUCAACCAACAAAACUUGAUCGAACAAAUUAUCUGGUGUGGAGAGCUCAAAUUCAAGCUUCGAUUAUUGCCAAUGGACUUGAAGGUUUUAUCAAUGGAGAAUCUCCUUGUCCAGAUCGUUUUCUUUCCUCAUAUGAGAAUGCUGCCAGUAGAUCAGAAGCUCCUAGCUCAAGCAGACGUGAGAAUUCUGACUAUAUUGACUGGAAGAAAGCUGACAAGCUUCUACAGAGCUGGAUGCUGUCAUCUAUGGUAGACAAUGUACUUAUCAUGGUUGUGGAUUGUGAUACUUCACUUGAGAUCUGGGAGAAACUUGCCGAGAUGUUCAUGUCACAGUCAAAGGCUAGAUACAUGCCUCUGAAAAUACAGAUUCAAACCACAAAGAAAGGAGCUAUGUUAGUAAGUGAUUACUUCAAUAAGAUGAAAAAAAAAUUGCAGACAGCUUAGCUAUUGGUGGUAAUCCUCUUGCUUCAACAGAUUUUAUAAUGCAUUUGCUCACUGGUUUAGAUGACAACUAUGAGUCAUUAGUGACAACUAUACUUGCUAGGCUGGAAAAAGAUAAUCUCACUAUUGAAGAAGUGUAUUCCUUAAUGCUUAGUCAUGAAACUAGGGUUGAGAUGAGUAAGGGAAAGGUGCAAAAUGAAUUGUUGCAUGAUAUGUCAGCUAAUUUUGCUCAGAAAGGACAGAAUUACAAUAAGUUCAAUAAUGCUAAUCAGAGAGGUUUUAAUGGUGGAAAUUUUGAUAAUGGCAAAGGAGGAUAUAAUGUUGAUAAGGAAGUAAUUUGUCAAAUAUGCUUCAUACCUGGUCAUGGAGCAUACAAAUGCAGGAACAGAUUUAAUCAGAACUUUAUUCCUAGACAAGGAAGAGGUGGCUUUAGGCCUAGAGGUGGAUUCAAUUUUAGAGGCUUUCCUGGUCAGCCUCAGAACAUGUUUGGAAGAGGUUAUGGAAAUUUUUAUGGAACUGCAACUGGUGCUCCUAGAUAUAAUGCACCCAUGUUUCAAGGGAAUGUUGCAUAUCAGAAUGCAAAUGUUAUGUAUCCUCAAGGGUUUCCUGUGUUUCAAGGAUUACAAGGUCAAUACAAUGGUGCAAUUGCUACUCCAUUUGCUAACUAUGGAGUUGCUCCUUCUGCUAUUCCCACUGCACAAUUUGCUCCCACUGGUCCAGUUGCUGAUUAUGGAGUUGUAGCUGAUCCUGCUUGGUAUAUUGACUCCGGGGCAACCAAUCAUGUGACUAAGGAAGCAGGUAUCUUUUCUUCUUACUCAGUUUAUCAUGGUUUUGAUAAGCUACAUGUACGAAAUGGCAUGGGAUUACAUAUUAAACAUGUUGGGUGCACACGAUUGAAUACACUUGCUGCAACAUCUAUCUAUCUUAAUAAUAUUUUGCAUGUCCCAACUAUAACCAAAAACCUUUUAAGUGUAUCUAAAUUACUUGCUGACAAUGAUGUUGUUGUUGAAUUCCAUAAAACCUCAUGUUUUGUCAAGGACAAGAAAUCAGGGAUCAUCUUGCUCAAGGGGAUUGCUAGAGGAGGAUUAUAUCAAGUUGAAGGUCCUGUUGUAGUGUCUCAUGCUGCAGUUUCAAAUAGAGUUCCGUCUAAUGUUUUCUGUGUCAUCUCAAAUUCCAGUUCUGUGUCAAAUGUCUGUUCCUCUCCAGUGUCAAUGAUUAGUCAUUCCAAUGUUUCAAACUCUGUACAUUCUGGAGAAAUUUUGACAGAUGUAAAUAUUUCUCAAUUCAAUAAUGAUGCCUCAAUGGCCUUGUCUGUUACUCAUUCAAAAUCAGUUGAUUACAAUGUUUUACAUAAAAGAAUGGGUCAUCCAACUGUGCAUGCUCUUAAACAAAUUGUGAAGCAUUUGCAUCCUUCUCUCGAUAUCAAUAGAGCCCUGAAACCAAUUUUUUGUAAUGCUUGCCAAUUUGGAAAGUGUCACAUGCAGCAUUUUCCUUCUAUAGACACCACUACCAUUCAACCACUGGAGCUGUUGCAUGCUGAUCUAUGGGGUCCAGCUCCUUUGCUGUCCUCUCAAGGCUAUCACUACUAUCUUUCUAUCUUAGAUGAUUUCACUAGGUUCACCUGGAUAUUCCCUCUUGUUACCAAAUCUCAAGCCUUACAAACCUUUAUUGAAUUCCAGCAUAUGAUAGAAAAAUGCCUAAAUAGGAAAAUCAAGUGUCUUCAAACAGAUUGGGGAGGUGAAUUUAGGCCAUUUCUUCCUUAUCUUGCUGAGCAGGGAAUCCAAUUUAGACAUCCUUGUCCUUAUAUUCACCAUCAAAAUGGAAAGAUUGAACGCAAACAUAGACAUAUAGUGGAAACAGGCCUUACCCUUCUUGCUCAAGCACAUUUACCACUGAAAUUUUGGUGGAAUGCUUUCCAUACUGCCACAUUUCUCAUAAAUAGGCUCCCUACACCCAUUCUAGAUAACAAAUCACCUUUUGAAAAAUUAUUCAACAAAAGACCAGAUUAUUCUGUUAUGAGCGUUUUUGGAUGUGCUUGUUUCCCAUAUCUGAGGCCUUAUAAUCAUCAUAAGUUAGAGUUUCGAACUGCUAGAUGUAUUUUUCUUGGUUACAGCUCCCUUCACAAAGGCUACUUGUGUCUUCAUUCCUCUGGUAGAAUCUAUGUCAGUAACCAUGUUACAUUUGAUGAGUCAUGUUUUCCUUUUCAGUCAGGAGUUGAUUUUUCCUCUGUCAGUCACUCUUGCUCUUCUUCAGAUCAUUCAUCUCAGUCUUCUUCACAUUGUUCAUCUUCUGUUUGUCCUUUGAUUCAACUUGAUAUAACCAAGUCUUCAUCCUCUACAGCAGCUGAUCUCAGGUUCUCUCAAUCCUCUCCAGACUCUCCUUCUCAAUCUUCUAUACAAUCACACUCAGAACCAUCUACCUCACCUGUUCAUCAUUUAACUCCACCAUUGCAGUCAUCUACUGGUCAUCCAAUGCUCACUCGAUCAAAGGCUGGUAUCUUCAAACCUAAAGCCUAUAUUACAGCCAAUCCUACCAAACCUACAGAACCUGCUACUACCUCAAAAGCCCUUCAAGAUUCAGCUUGGCAUAAAGCAAUGACAGAUGAAUAUCAAGCCUUAGUCAAUAAUCAUACCUGGACUCUUGUCAAACCUACACAUCCCAUUAAAGUAAUUGGGAAUAAGUGGGUAUUUCGGAUUAAAUAUAAUCCUGAUGGCAGUGUCUCUAGAUACAAAGCUAGACUUGUUGCUAAGGGAUUUCACCAAACUCAAGGGCUGGAUUUUCAUGAAACAUUCAGUCCUGUCAUUAAGUCUUCAACCAUCAGAAUUAUCUUGAGUAUGGCUGUCAUGAAUCAUUGGGUACUGAGGCAAAUAGACAUUAAUAAUGCCUUCCUUAAUGGCUACCUCACUGAAGAAGUUUAUAUGCAACAGCCUGAGGGGUUUAUAGAUAGUUCCAGGCCUGAUUAUGUCUGUAAGCUGCACAAAGCCCUUUAUGGCCUUAAACAGGCUCCAAGGGCAUGGUUUGACAGACUCAAACUAGUUCUUACAACUCAGUGGGGCUUUACAAAUUCUAUUUCAGACACUUCACUCUUCUUUAAGAGCACACAAGGUCAUCUGCUACUUGUCUUGGUGUAUGUAGAUGAUAUUAUUAUUACAGGCUCCAAUCCUCAGCUUGUUCAGCAGACCAUCACCAACUUCCAGUCUGUUUUUGCACUUAAAGAUCUUGGUGCAUUGAAUUAUUUUCUGGGAGUUCAGGUCAUUUACAAUAAAUCUGGUAUUCAUCUUUCUCAAUCCAAGUAUAUCACUGAUUUGCUUGCCAAGGUGCACAUGCAGGAUAGUACUCCUUGUUCUACUCCUAUGCUUUCUGGAGUGGCUUUUACUAAAGCUGAUAGUGAACCCUUUUCUGAUGUUACUCUAUACAGAAGCACCAUAGGUGCUCUUCAGUAUGCAACAUUGACCAGACCAGAGAUUGCUUUCUCUGUCAACAAGCUCAGUCAGUUUCUAUCUUCUCCAACUGUCAAUCAUUGGCAGGCUUGUAAAAGGGUUUUACGUUAUCUGAAGGGUACUGUUAAUCUUGGUUUACAGUUCUACAAUCAUGGCAGCAUACAGAUUGAUUGUUUCAGUGAUGCUGAUUGGGCUGGAGACAGAGAUGAUAGGAGGUCAGUGGCUGGUUAUUGUGUCUAUAUGGGUCCAAAUCUAGUGUCUUGGUGCUCUAAGAAACAGGCAGUGGUCUCUCGAUCUAGUGCUGAGUCUGAAUAUCGAGCACUAGCAAUGGCAGCAGCUGAAGUCUUGUGGAUUCGUUCUCUUCUUGCUGAGAUUGGUCUUACUCUUCCCUCCAUUCCAAUCAUAUGGUGUGAUAAUCAAAGUGCAGCUGCUUUAGCCUCUAAUCCUAAGUUUCAUUCCAGAACAAAACACAUUGAAUUAGAUGUUCAUUUUGUUCGAGAGAAAGUUGCUGCUCAAUGUCUUAAGGUUCAAUAUAUUUCUAGCUCAGAACAAACUGCUGAUAUUCUCACCAAAGCUCUUUCUUAUCACCCUUUUCUCUACUUACGUGACAAGCUCAACCUUACUUCCUCGGUUGAGCUUGAGGGGGGAUGUUGAAGAUAUAGUUGCUGCUGAGCUGGACAGAGCUGCUGAGCUGGACAAGAUUGAAUGUAACUGAAUGACAUGUGGCAAGAGCUCAAUGGCUAAACUAAAUCUGAAGUUGUUAUUAGUUGUUUUGCAGUUGUUUAAUUAGUUAGAAUAAUUGUAUAUAAGCUUAGCUAAGUAAGCUUAAUAAGCAUUGAAUAUUCUGGUUAAUAAAAUCGUGAAGUUUCCUUUUUCAUUUUCUCUGUUUUUCUUUGUUUCCAAACAUCUUAUUACGAAUUCUAAUAAAUGUGAAAACAUUAUAUUAUAUACUAGUUGUAGUUGGUUGAUUUUUCUUUUAAUCUUCAUGUGAUACCAGAAUUAUACCAGUAGUCCGCAAGCUCGGGUUUCCAGCCGAUAUACCUCUGUAAUCAAAAACCUUUAAAACAUUUUUCUCAGGUUAUACAACCCAAAACAGACUUUCCUUUAGUCUAAAACAGGGUACCAAACCAGAUAAGAAAUGGUCAAAAGUUUUCUGAUGCACAGGAUCCUUACUAGAAGGCAAGUGCAGAGCAUACUUCCUUAGGUUUUCAAAAUGAACAAAUUUAAUCCUUUAUUCUUUUUCUUUCUUAGAACUUCAUUUGCAGAGAGAGAGAGGAGAGUUUAGAAAUUCAUGGAAGAAAGCACACGAGUUGUUAUUUCUGGAAAACUUCUAUAUUUUUCUAUCUCUUACAAGCAAGGGGAGAAUCCUUUAUAUAGAGGAGGAUUCUUGAGAAGAUAGGACAUGACCCCUAUCUUUUACAAAAGUAAAAGCAAAAGAUAAGAUAAGAUAGGAUAGGACCCCUAUCUUUUACAUAAUGGCACAACUUUAAUUAUUACAAAAGACAAAAGUGCUUUAAUAAUUAAAGCAUGACUUUGACAAAAGCAAAAGCAAAAGCUUAAAGUAAAAGCAAACUUUAAUAAUUAUGCAAGCAUAAAGCGAAACAUCAUUAUGACAAUAAGACAAACUACUUUAUGGAAAGCAAUAAGACAAACAACUUUAUGGAGAGCGGAGGUUCAUGUACUCGUCUUCGGAUGAGCUUUCGGUCUCAUCUGGGUUGUCAGGGUUGCCUUUUGGGAAAAAGAUCUUGGAGAGCUUUGGAUGCUUGCAGGAGGGACCACGGCAUGGUGGAUAAGGGCAAUUAUAGUCUCUGGGAGUACACUUUGGAGUAUACUUAGGGGAAGUUUGGGUGGCUUUGUCAACUUUGGAUGGUUGAGCGGGUCGUUUGGAGGAUUGAGUUGAGGGUCCUGGUUCAGAGGGGCCAGGUUCAUCCAUUGUCGGUUGGGGAAACUGGUGAAGGUGUUGGCUCAGAGGGAGAAAUGCAUCCCAUGGGUCUUGGGAAUCCUGGAACAGGAAAUCAGUGUAGUCUGGUUUUUCUUCUUUGAUGAUGAUACCUGUGGACUUUGGUUUGGAUAUGGCAGAUGGAGUGGGGAUCAUGAGGAGGUCAUGCUGUGGACCUAAGGAGGUGUGGGAGAUAUCUUUAAGUGGCGGAGGUUGGUGGUUCAAUUGGCAAAGGUAGUUGUGCAGGACAUCUUGUAUGUCAUUUUCAAUUACAGCUAUAUGUGGUGCAGUGAACCAUUCAUAUACCUGGUCUUGAGUCCAAAAGAGUUUGGUGUCUGGAUGUUGAAAGUAUGGCCUGUGAAUAAUAAAGACUGAUGUGAACAGUGGUGCUUCAAGGGCAGGCAUACGAUCAAGGUUGUAAAUUUCUGACAGUUGUUGGAGCUUCCUUCUCCACCAUGGUAUGGGGGAGAACCAUUCAAGUAAUGUCCAGGUAAGAGAGGUGGCUUUGUCUGGGUCAAGGAGAUGCUCCAAAGUGGGAGUAAUUGGUAGGACUAACUUAGUGGCAUAAAGGACUGUUAGGCACCAGAUGUACCAUAACACAUCUUCAGUGGUUUCUCUGGUUGGAUCAAGGGUUAAACCUGUAAGGAACAGAUUUUCUGGGUGGAAAGUGGAAAAAGGAAAAGGGUCUGUGACAAGGUAGGCUUUCAUGAAGAAGCGAAAAAGAGCUUUUCUUGCAAACUCUUGGAUGGCGAAGACAGAAGAAAAGGUUUUAUUAAAGGGAAAAGUUUUCUUGGUGAGAGCUUGUGGGGGUAGUGAAGUAGCCAUGGAGAUAAUUGGAAAAUGGUAGGUGGUGGAAAACAGGAUGAGAGGGUUUUCUGGUUUGGAGAGUCUGGAGAGCAUAUCAGGGAUGAGGUUCUGGGAUCCCUUUAUAUGCUUGACUGAAAAGUCAUAUUUAGAAAACCAAUCUUUUAAUCUGAGUAACAUUUUUUCGGGAACAGUUUUACCUUUGAAAUGAAAGAUAUUGGGGAAGGCUGAGCUGUCCAUUCGGAUGAGAAAAUGGUGUCCAAUCAAAUGAUACUCAAACUUUUUGAUGCCAUUCUUGACCGCUAAGAUUUCUUUGAACACGCUAUGGUAGUGCUUCUGUGUAUCAGAAAAAUGUCCACUAGCGUAAGCGAUAAAGUGUUCUUUUCCGUUGAUUUCUUCAAGGAGUAUGGCACCCCAUGAUUCAUCACUUGCGUCUGUUUGUAAGAUGCGCUUGCCAUCUGUAAUCAACUUUAAAGGAGGCGGAUUUUGCGCAAUCUGCUUUAGGGUAGUGACAGCAAAUGUGUGGUCAGCAUUCCAUUCUGGGGGCUUCUUUUUCAAUAAAGCCGAGAGAUGGUGAGUGUAAUGAUCCACGUGGGGGAUGAAAUCACGGAUGUAGUUGAUGAUGCCGAGAAACUGUUGAAUUUGCCUUUUGGAAAGUUGCUGAUCUGGAAAGUGAAGCAAUUCUUGGGCAAUGUGCUUUCCUGGCUGGUAGUGUCCAUCUUUUAUGAUCAUACCAAGGAAUUCAACAUUAUCUGUAGCAAUGAUGCUUUUCUUGGCCGAUAACAUGAUUCCAUGACUUUGGAGAAUAUCAUAGAAUUGAGUUAACAGCUGGCGAUGUUCAUCAUGUGAGCCUGAAAAAAGCAAGAUAUCAUCAAUAUAAAUCAAUGCAUGAUGCAAAAUGGGUUGGAAGAUUUGGACCAUGGAUUUUUGGAAAAUGGAUGGGGCAGUUUUGAGACCAAAGGGUAAGACGGUCCAUUGAAAGUGGGCAUUGGGAAUACAAAAAGCGGUUUUGUAGCGUUCGGAGGGUUCAAUGCCUAGUUGCCAAAAACCUGAUUUUAAAUCAAAUUUUGAAAAGAUCUGGGCAUUUUUGAGAAAAGUGAACAUGCUUUGUCGGCGAGGUAAAGGGAAUUUGUCAUCUUGUAAAAACAUGUUUAAUGGCUGGUAGUCAAUGACUAGGCGUUUCUUUCCUCGGACAAUUUCAGAAUGCUUUUCAACAUAAAAGGCUUGGCAAGCCCAUUGAGAACUUGUGGGCUCAAUUAAACCUUGGGCUAACAAUUGUGAACAUUCUUGUUGGGCUAGGAGUAAGUCAGAAGGACUCAUUCCUGGAUGGGUAGCUUUAGUUGGGUUAAUGUCUUCAUUGAGUUUGAAGGGUAACUUAAUGAAGAAAGACUUAUUUUUCCACAAAGGAUUUGGAUGGGUGAACUCGGAAUGGGACUCUGGACAGAAACUCAAAAGUUUGGUUGAGAUAUCCUGGUAAGACUGGGGAGUUUCAGACAAAUUGUAGAGUUUCAGAAUGUCUGUGAAUGGUUUGAACAUGGACUUGACACGGAUUCCAGUGGGAAUGAUUUGGAGGUGUUUGAUUUGGUGAAGGACUUCAAAUCCUAACAAGAUAUCCUUAUUAGGAAGAGUUGAACCAAUAACCUUGGUCCAAAUGACACAAUUGGGGAAGAUUUGAAUACCAACGGGUUUCUUGGUAAUCAAAGAGGUGGUAAAGAGUUUGCCAUUGAUAGCUUUGAAAUGUUCUUCAGAUUGGGUCCAAUAUUCGGAUGGAAGAAUAUGGGGGUUUAACAUGCUGCGUUGGGCGCCAGUAUCUAUAAGACCAAUUGCUGGAAUGGGCCUUUGGAAUUUUGAGGGUAAGAUCUGGAGUUUGAUGGAUGGGAUAGGAACUGUAGUAUCAAGGGAGAGUGACUGUUGAUGGAAAAUCACUUGAGACUGGUCACUGUCUGAAUCAGAGGAAUUCUGUAGUGCGAACACUGUUUCAUCAUUGGGUUCAUCUUGUUCAGAGAAAUAGAAUUCCAGCUCAUCUUUGGCAGGAGAGUAGUCGGUAGUUGCUUGAAGAUGCUCAACUAACCGGAUGGAUUUUUCUCUGUUGUUGGGGCAAUCUUUGGCAUAGUGGCCUUUUCUCUUGCAGAUGAAACAUCUGCUUGAUUGCUUUCGUUUGAAUUCUCUAGAGGAGGAAGAUUUCUUUCUGAAGAACCGGUAGGGCUUUCGGGAUCUGCGAGGCUUGGAGGAAAAUUCUGGAGGUUUGAAUUUCCGAAAAUGCCGUUUUUUCUUUGAACUGCAAUCGCAAUCUUUUUUCUUGUGGCAUUUGAUCUGCAAAUAAGGCUUUUUGCAAGCACUUCGGAAAGGUUCUUUGUCUUUCAACAGUUCUUUGAAAAACUGUUUUUGCUCGCAAAGUUUGUCAAGACAAGUUUUGGCAAGCUGAAAGAUUUUGCCAAGAGAGAUGUUGUCUAGGGAAAGAUUGGAUGCUGUGAGUUGUCUCUGGAUGUUGGGUUGGAGUUCUUCGGGGAGGGAAGCCAGAAAGACAUGCUUUAAUGUCGGCUCGUUGAAUCCAUUAAGCUUAUAGAACAGCAGGGACAUCCGCUUAUAAUGGAAGUCAAGAUCCUUAGCAUUGAGGGAGCAGCAUUUCAUGUUGAGAUAAUCUCGUCUGGCAGCUUCAAAGACUGCAGAAGGGUCUCCAAGGAAUUGAUCAUGAAGUACAGCAAGAGCACUUGAGACUUCUGGGAGAUCAACAAACUGUAGUUGGCGGUAUUGUCCUAACGAAUCAAACCAAUCUCUUAGAGCACCCGUGAAACGAGUAGCAAAUUCUCUAAGGACUGAUUGAGUUGUUGCUCCUGGUCUUAGCAUCUGGAGGUCAAUCCAGGCAGACAUUUCAUUGAGUCGGUCACGCCAUUUAUGAGAUGGAAGAUCAUCAAAUGUGAACCAUGGACCAUUUGACGAUUUGUGGCUCGAUGGAUUGGUCUGGGUUGGAGGAGGUUGGUUUGUGGCAGAAGAUUCAGGCAUUUCUUCUUCAAGUUCGGAGGGAAUAUCAACAUAUGGUUCUGUAUGAGAGGUUUGGCCUUGGGUAGGUUGAUCAGGUUGAGCCAUCAGGAUUUUGGUGAUAUCAGCAUAGGACUUUUCAGAGUCACUGGUGGAUACUGAAGAUUCUGUAUCAGUUUCGGUAGGGCUAUCUGAAACAGCUGGAUUUGAAUCAGAAGUGUGAUCGACUGUAGUAGAUGAAUGGGUGACUGUGUGAGCAGUAAACUGGUGCAUGGGUUCUUUAUCUUUUGAUUGGGUAGGGACGAAUAAAGGAGCUGGUGGUAAUGUUGGUGCAGAAGUAGGAGAUGGUUGGCCAGGGAUGGUCAGUGAGGAGGGAUGAAGAGGUGCAGGGCGAGGCUGCGGUCUAGGUUUGGGUUUAGGUUUAGGUGGUGGCGGCAAAGGAUUGUCUCUGAAAAGAGUAUGAGUCAUACCAAAUAACUUGGAAGGGUCAUACUGUUUAAUAGGAGAAAGCAUAGAGGCAAAAGGAUGAUAAGUUGGACCGAUGAAAGGGAUAGGAGGUGAAGUGGUGAAAAGGGUAGGUCUCUGUUUUUCAGAUUCAAUCUGAGCAAGUUCAGCUUUUAAGCGUCUGAUUUCCCUUUCUUUUUGGUCAAAUUCGGGGCCUGAGUAACGAUGGGCAAGCAUGGCUUGUAACUCAGAGUCAAGUUGAGAAAUUCUGGACUGGAGGUUUUGGUAUAUCUGCUGCAUCUGUGCAGUGAUGGAGUCAACUUUUGUCUCAAUCUCCACGACAGAGCUGAUUUAAAGACUUGGCCCAACUCAUCCCUCUAUGUUCAUUAAAUGUUAAUAUUUUUCUGCACCAAGGUUGACUUGAUGGUGCUUUAUUUUCAAUUUUUUCAUUGAAUUGUAUUUUUGGUUAAAUAUUGACAAAAAAAAUUAAGAAAGCAAUCAGCUCUUGUAACGUACUCUGUUCUGUCUUCCACCAAAAAUAUAAUCAUUUAUUACCUCUAUUUUAUCAAAUAAUCAUGAUUAAUGCUGCUGGGAAAGCUCUAUUAGUCUUUCUUUUGAUAUAUCUUUACCAAUCUCGUCAGCUGUUGCUUUUCUUUUAACGUGGUGGUUGUUUGUAUUUGAUGAUCCCAAAAUAUACGCAACGCAAUAUAGCAAUUGCCGCUUUCCAUGAUUUGUCUUUUUGGUUGACUUUAACAUGAUUUAGAAUUGUCGAUUCCGCAUUAAUGCGUAUAAAUUAUUAAGUAGGUUAUGUGAUCUUUCAUUAUCAUCGCCUAGUCUCCAAUUGUGUGCGUUAUUUUCUUUUUGAAAAUGAUUCACGAAAUCAAAUUACUGAUAGAGGUCAUGAAUGUCCUGCUCCUGCAUUUUCUUAAUCAUCCCACUUCUCUCAAAUUCUCCGAAAUCCCUUAUACGUCUUCUGGUCCCGUUUUCAUAAUAAUCGUUGUCCUAAACCUUCUUUGCAGAUCUUUCACUGUGCUCCCUUUUUCUUAUUUCUAGCUUUUUGCUUUUCUUUUUCACAUGGUCUUUGUUUAUAUUUGAUGUCCCAAAUAUACACGUUAACGCAACCAUUUGUGACAGCGAAUAUUUUUACCUAGUUGUUGGAUUGUGGCUUUCUAUGUUUUGUCUUUUUGGUCGACUUUAACAUGAUUUAGAGCUUUUGAACGCGUCUUCCAAGUGCACAUGCCGAGUAUAUCCACUGUUCGAUGAAAUGCCCAUUUGAAUAAUUUGAGGACCCACGAGGCCACGCCACUGGUAUUAGACUAAUUGGAAAAGAAAAAAAGAAAAAAGAUAAUAAGUACAACUGUGAUGCAUUUUCACAUUAACUUUACAAAGUCUGGUUAUAAAUUUAUAAUUUUACGCACAUGAAAUCACCAAAGUAUUAUUUAAUUUAACUCUUCUCAACUGGGGACGUGAGUUUGAUUCAAGUAGUAUUAUCACUCAUAUAAUUUAUUAAUGAGCUCUUUUCCUGUCAUCUAAUGCUGAUGCUUGUAUAUUCUAUUCUACCAUUCGAUUUUUUUAUGUCUAGUGCUUGUAGAUCAAUUGAUUAUAUGCUUCAUACUUGAUGGAGUGAAUAUAAUACAUAAGAUUUUCAUUCAGUUAUAUGCAGAUAUGUUAAACUUUGGUUUAUAGGCUAGAUCGUCACUAAUUAUUCAUAGUACGUGAAGCCUCUAAUACAACAGUGAUAAGAUUUGAAGUAUUAGUUGCUCUGCUUAAUCAAAUCAUGACAAAUAAAUACGGUUGCAGGGCUGGGUACUUGUUGGUUGUUCCGUUGAGUCAACACAAAACAAAAAAAAAAAAAUCAUAAAAAUGAAUGGCAAGAAUAGGAAUGAAAUCAUCCACAGAAAUAAACACAAAUGUAAUCAAAUCAUUGAACACUCUUGCUCUAAGUUUUCUUCUUUACUGAUUCUUUGUUUUGUUCAUUGUUUGAUCAUUGAUUCUUGUUAAGCUUUCUGUCACUUCUUGUUUGGGAUCUGCUCUUGGGUCCUUCAAGAUUGUGUUCUUGGUUCAAUUGAGCUUUGGGAAUAGCCAUUACAUCCACGACAUGGAAGUAAUAGUAAAUAUAUAACAUCAUUUUUAUCUUCCAAUCACAAGUUACAAGAUAUAAAAUUCCCAAGGAAAAUUAAAAAGGUAAAAUUAUCUUACAUCACCUGUUGAAAAAUGAAAUAUUUUAUCCAUGUACGUAAGCGAAAUUUUGAAGGAAAACGAGAAAGAAGAAAUGGUCAAUUUCGCAGAACAACAGAGAGAUUUUGGUAGUUUCCUCCAUAAAUUUAUCACCCCAUUAUCCUCAAUUGAUAUCAGUAACACUCAAAUCUAUCCGAAAUUCUUUACAAUCCCUAAUAUAUUUAAAAGGGUUUAAUUUUGACUUUUUAAUAACUUCCAUUAGGCCAAGCAUAUUUAGUUUCUUGAAGAUUUAUUCCUGAAAAAUCCUCAAUUGUUUAUUAAUCAAGAUAGAGUUCGAGUUUAAUGAUAAAAUGAUCAUGAUUUUAAUUUAAAGAUAUGAGCCCAAAAUCCUACCGUUUACAUAUUAAAAUCACUUGAUUAUCAUAUAUUACUCAAUAAUCAAAGUUAUUUAUUACACAUCAAAGUUAAUCACUUGAUUACUUGAAAAAUGCCGGCGGCACUUGCAACUCCCUGGAACCUUCGUGUAAGUUUUCGAGUUCAUCAACUGUUGGAUAAAAUGCCCAUUUGAAGAAACUAAUAGAAAAUUGAGAUCCUCUCUUGAAUAGAGUUUACCCUUGAAAAAUAAGUAUACAUUAUCAUUCAUGUAUUGUCAAAAUUUGAGCUUAAGAUCCAACUAUUUACAAAUUAUUAAUUAUUUUUGUUGGUGAAAGCAAAUUGAUUAGAAGAAUGUGGCAAUAAGAAGAUAAAAAUGCUUGCUCAAAUACUUUGCCGUGUGUUCUUACUUACAAAUCCACCAGCUUAGCUUUUAAUCACAUAAAUAAGUCAUCAUCAUCACUAGAUUAUCGUAUAUUACACAAUUAUCAAAGCUAAUUAUUGAAACCUUUCUUUCAAAGAAAAAGAAUUAUUGAAACCUUCCGAGUUUGAAAAUGCCGGCAGCACUCGCAACUUCCAGGAACCUUCGUGCAAGUGUAGAUGCUGAGUACAUCCAACCGUUCGAUUAAAUGCCGAAGUGAUUUCGAGGAACCCACACGACCACACAACAGGUUUUUUUUUUUUUUUUUUUUUCAUUUUAUUUGUACAUCUAUUUCUUGAAAAAAUAAAAAAUCAUAAAGUUCAGAUUACCCUUGAGACUUGAGAUGACAACUGUCUGCCUCUGCAUUUUCCUAAUCAUCCCUCUUCUCUAAUCUCUAGAGUCCUCUGAAAUCUCUUCUUCAUUUUCUGUCUCCCUUUUUUGAAUCGUUCUUGUCCUCGAUCCUACACCUUCUUUGCAAAUCUUUCAUUUAUUGUACUCGCUUUUCAAUUUGUCUUAGCAGAAAAAGGAUUCCCCUUUGUUUCAUCUCUAGAUUUUUCACUCUUUUCCUCUCCUCCUCCCUUAAAUCUAUUCAACCUCUUAUUUUAGCAAUUUAUCCAAACUUCUUUUUUCCCUCUUCCCAGCUGAUUGAUUAGUUCUGCUUAGUUUGAUUAGUUUUGCUUUCCCCUGUAUUCUGAAAGCGAAAAAUAAAAAAAAGAAAGGGAUAAUGGAUAUUGCUACCUCCGCAGUUGCGAAAGUUGCAGAGUACUUGGUUGAUCCCAUAAUUCAUCCAUUUACUUACUGCUGCACUUACAAGACCAACUUCGAGAAGCUGAAUAAUGAAGUCGAUAAGCUAAAGAAUUCUAGAGACAGUAUGCAGCAUAAGGUUGAUGAUUCCAGAAUUAAAGGGGACGGAAUUCAACAGCACGUUGAGGAGUGGCUGAUUGCUGCGAACAAGGAGAUCAAUGAAGUCGAAACACUUAUUGAAGACAAAGAGAAUUCAAACAACCGGUGUUUGAAGGGGUUAUGUCCUAAUUUGAGGACUCGGUACCAGCUUAGCAAGAAAGCAGAAAGAGAGACGAAUGCUAUUGUUGGACUCCAUGAAAAAGGGAGAUUCGACAGUGUUUCUUUCCGUACCAUUCCAGAGGAGACAUGGCUUAAGUUUACCCAGGAUUUCAUGCACUUUGAAUCGAGAAAGUCCACUUUUAAGGAGAUACUAGACGCACUCAGCAACCGUGACUUCAACAUGAUUGGGGUGUACGGGAUGGGCGGCAUUGGAAAGACAACGCUGGUGAAAGAAGUUGGCAGACAGGCAAAGGAAAAUAAUCUCUUUGAGAAGGUUAUUUCUUCACGUGUUUCGCCAACACCGCAAAUAAAAAAUAUACAAGGAGAAAUCUCAGAGAAGAUAGGCUUAGAAUUGGCUGAACAGAGUCAUGAAACUGUAAGAGCAGAGAGGCUGCUUGAAAGAUUGAAGAAAGAGAAAAAGAUCCUUAUAAUCUUGGAUGAUAUUUGGGGGGUCUUGAUUUGGAGGCGAUUGGAAUUCCAUUGGCAGAUGAUAAUAGCGGAUGCAAAGUUCUUCUGACAGCAAGAAGUCAAGAUGUGUUGUCCUGUAAGAUGGAUUGUCAACAAAAUUUUUUUGUUGAUGUUCUGAAUGAAAAAGAAGCUUGGAGUCUUUUCCGGAAGAUGACAGGUGAUUGUAUAGAAAAUGGUGAACUGAAAUCUGUAGCAACAGAGAUAGUCAAGGAAUGUGCUGGUUUGCCCAUUGCCAUUGUACCCGUAGCCAGGGCACUAAGAAAUAAGAGAUUGUUUGAAUGGAAGGAUUCCUUGCUGGAAUUAAGAAGGCCUUCCUUCAGAAACAUCAGUGGAACACUGGAGGUGGCAUAUAAAAGUAUAGAGCUGAGUUACAAUCAUUUAAACAGGGAGGAGCUCAAGAGAACGUUGUUGCUUAUAGGGUACGCGUUCAUCUCUUGCGUUAAAGACGUGCUUUAUCAUGGCAUGGGUUUGGGUCUGUUUCAAAACAUCAACACGUCGGAAGAGGCGUGGGAUAGAGCACAUACAUUGGUUGAUAAACUCAAAAAAUCUUGUUUGUUGCUUGACGGUAAUACAAGUGAACGGUUUUCUAUGCAUGAUGUUGUUCGUGAUGCAGCCAUAUCAAUUGCAUCUGGAGACCAACAAGUGUUUGUGGUGGAAAGUGAGGUUGCUCCGCAGAUCAGCUGGCCAGAUAAGGAAAAACUAAAGGUUUGCAUCGCAAUCUCCUUAAUUUAUAGUAAUAUUAGUGAGCUUCCUCAAGGUUUCGAAUGCCCGCAACUUAAAUAUUUUCGUAUUGGCAAUGAUCCAUCUUUGAGAAUCCCAGAUAAUUUUUUUACUGGGAUGACUGGGCUUAAAGUUUUAGAUUUCACUGAGAUGCAUUUAUUGCCAUUGCCUUCAUCGCUUGGUCUCUUACAAAACCUUCAAACACUGUGUCUGGAUUACUGCAACCUAGGAGACAUCGCUAUUAUCGGAGACCUAAAGAAAUUAGAAAUCCUUUCACUUCGAGGUUCUGAUGUAGAGAAACUGGUUGGAGAAAUGGGCCAGCUGACUCAAUUGAGGUUGUUGGAUAUGAGCAAGUGUUUCGAACUAAAAGUUAUUCCACCAAAUGUUAUAUCAAGCUUAUCUCGAUUAGAAGAACUGUAUAUUGGUGAGAGUCCCAUUCAGUGGGGGAAGGUUGAAGGGCUCGACAGUGAAAGAAGAAAUGCUAGCCUUCAUGAGUUGAAUCAUUUAUCUAAAUUGACCUCUUUAGAAAUACUCAUCCAAGAUGAAAAGACUCUACCAAGCGACUUGUUGUUCUUCAAAAUCCUGAAAAGGUACAGGAUAUUCAUAGGAUAUCUGUGGUCGGAUGACCCAAUAUUGGAUGGGUUUUCUAGAAAAUUCAAACUGAAAAUCACCAAUGGUGCCAACAUUUGCCUGAACGAGGGGCAUAUCAUGCAAUUGAAGGGUAUUGAACACCUAUCUUUACAUGGAUUGCUGGACAUGAAGAAUGUUCUUUGUGAACCUGGCAGAGAAGGUUUUCCACAGCUGAAGCAUCUCGAAGUCCGAGAUAAUCGCAGCCUUUUUUGUGUUGUUGACAGAGUGGAUUGUGCAACAGCGCUGACAGCGUUCCCCCUCUUGGAGUCAUUAUUUCUGGAAGAUUUGGGUAACCUAGAGAAAAUAUGUCGUGGUUCACUCACAGCAGAGUCCUUUUGCAAAUUAAAGAACAUAAGGGUGCAAAGGUGUGAUAAAUUGAAAAAUGUGUUUCCAUUGCCCAUUGGCAGAGGCCUUCAACAACUUCAGUCCAUUGAAGUGACAAAAUGCCAGAAUAUGGAAGUGAUUUUUGCUGCCGAUAGAGGAGAUGAAUCCAGCAAUAAUAACACUCAAGUGAUUGAACUCACUCAAUUAAGGACACUUGAACUUGGUUCUCUUCCGCAGCUUACAAGCUUCUGCACAGGAGAUCUGCAUUUUGAAUUUCCAUCCUUGAAACAAUUAACAAUAAGGGGAUGUCCCCAUGUGAAAUUUAAAAGCACUAUUCAUGAGUCCACCAAAAAGGUACGUGCAAGACUGUUGUAAUUAUUGUUCAAUUCUUACGUACUUAAAAGUAUUUCUACUUGAGAGUUUAGAGCUUUAUUGUCGUCAUAUAUUGCCCUCAUCAAUUUGUCUUUUAGUAACAAAAUGUUAGUUCUAUAAAUCAGCUUAUUUAUACUAAUAUAAUAUCCUUAUAAACAUAAUUAUCAAUAUUCGAUAUAAACAUAAUUAUCAUUCUUCAAUAAUUCUUCUCAUUAUCGAAUAUUGAAUCGGCUACAACCAUAGAUGGAUUUGGAUGUCAGUUAGAAAGAAUGAAUACAAAAUUAUUUAGUAUUUUUUUUCCUUCUCGUUCAAUUUUUUUCUCUUAAUUAUCAGAUUUUUUCUUCUUCGUCUACUUUUUAGUUUAUGUCUAUAUGUUUAGUUAAAUACACGAAAGAGACUCUGCAUUUGAUUAGCCAAACGAAGAAAAUACUCAAAAUAUCUACGGUUUUUCAAGCCACAGUUAAUUCCCUGAUAAUCUUUUAAGAGCUAUUUAAAAUUAGUAGUCCUUACUACAGUAUUGUUACAUACAAAAUGAUUGUCAAUUUUGAUGUUGAAGAAGAAAUUGGUCAUUUUGUGUUAACAAAAAUUAUAUUUUUAAAAAUAUAAAGAGAGAGAUGGACAAAACUCAAAUGAAGAAACCUUAUCUUAUUAAACUUUAUGUACAAGAAAAUCCAUUCUUGUACAAUAGUAAAUAUAUCCAAUUCCAUUGAGUUGGAUGAAUAUUAAUGAAAUACCAGCUUCUUACUAUAUUAUUAAACUUUUUAAAAUCAAGUUAUUUAUUCAUUUUUGCUCUUGAAAAGAAAAAAGUUAAAAAAACCAAUUAAAAAAAAAAAAGAAAUUUGUAAGAUUUUCAACUAAAACCAAAUAAGCGGAUCGAUUAAAAGAAUCUAGAAGUUCAAAUGCAAUUUGAGAAUAAUUGAAGUCUUUUUUGUAGACAUUAUGCACAAAUCUAAUAAAUUUUGAAAGUUAAGAAGAGAGGAUGAAAAAAAAAAAAUACACAUCACUUACUAUAUUUGAAAAAAAAUAAUAAUAAUUACCGCUGAAAAUCAUACUCUCUCUACAUAUCCAUAAAUUUGUCCGGCCAUCAAUAUUCAUCAUUGAAAUGCUUUGUAUUUACUUCAAUUUUUGAAAUCGUUAGAAAGAAGAUUUAACUCCCUCUUGCUUUUUUUUUUUUGUUAUUGUUGAUCACCCAGAUGUUCCCCAAUUUGGAAGAUUUGAGUAUUGAUGAAAAGUACAUAGGUCUAUUUCCAGAAGACUUGCUUUGCAAACUUAAACUUCUUGAUGUCUGGAUUGAUGAGUCAACAGCUAUUUUAUCACUCGACGAUUUCCUCCAGAAAUUUCACACAACCAAAAUUCUCAUUAUAGGAGGAGACGAGUAUAUUUUUAGACUAGUUAGAAAGGUUGAAAACGGGAUGAAGGCAAUGAUAAGAGGAAUAAACCGGCAUCGUGGUCUGAAGCAAAUUUUGAAACAAGAGUCCUCCAAUGCCAACAAUUUGGAAAACCUGGACAUAUGUGACUGUCACAAUUUGAUUAAUCUAGUGCCAUCCUCGACAUCGUUUCAAAAUCUAACUACUUUGAUGGUAUAUAAUUGCAUAGGAUUGAUAAAUGCACUAACAUCCUCAAUUGCAAAGAGUCUGGUGCGACUGAGGGAAAUGGGCAUAGGUAGAUGCAAGAUGAUAAUAGAAAUAGUGGCAGAUGACGGUGCUGAGGGAGAUAAUUAUGCAGCAAAAAAUGAAAUUGUUUUCAGCGAAUUGAAGGAAUUGCUGCUCUGGAACUUAGAAAGUCUGACAGGAUUCUGCUCUGGCAAUAAUUGCGCCUUCAAAUUCCCAUCUCUGGAAAGAUUAGUGGUGGAUAAUUGCCCCAAUAUGAACAUUUUCUCAGGAGGAGAAUUAAGCACACCCAAGUUACACCAAGUGCAGCUUAAACGGUGGGAUGAUGAAGAAUGUUGGACUUUGGAUCGCGACCUUAAUACAACCAUUCAAUACCUAUAUCUUAAAAAAAAGGUAUGUAUUCAUUCAAUACGAGAUGUUGAUUUUUUGUAAAAGUUUGAUUCAAUAACGGAUAUAUAUAAAAAAGGAAAAAGAAAAAGUACCCAUCAAAUUUUUGACAAAUUCAUUUUAAAUCUGAUUAGGAAGAGAAGGAAAAAAAAGAAUGAGACGUCCAACAAGGCUAAUGAAAAGAAGGAAGAUGCAAAAGACAGUGGCAAGGUAAAAUCCAUACAAAUUGGGAGGUUUUGAUUUUAUUUUUGUGCUAAUUAAAUACGUUUUAUUUAUGUUAAAUCACAUUGGUACAUCUUUUUAAAACAUAACUACUCUGUUGUAUUGUUAUGUUGAAGAUUAGUUGUUAGAUAUGAUAUAGCGAACAAGAAAUUGAAAAAAAAUGAAAGUAAUUGCUUAUAGAGAGAAUUGAAGGAUUUCUGUGUUCUUAAGCAUUAACUGGUUAUGAUGGAGGCUAAUUUGUGCAAUUUAAUUAUGUGAAAACUACACCUUCAAUGUGUUUUUGCUCUUUGUUUAUAGAGAGUCCAAACUUAUGAAGACGAUUCGGGCCAACCUUCUGUGCAGCAUCUAGAAUAAGGCCUCGAGUUCUUUCUAUAUACUAAGAGUCAGAUGGCGUUGGUGAGGGGACCUUUUGUUUCUUUCUUCAUUUCGUUAUUAUGCUUCUUGCUUUGUUUGAGUAAUUAGAAAUCUAAUUUAUUAUGCUUCUAGCUUUGUUUGAGUUCUUCGAAAUCUAAUUUGAAGCUAGUUUUAUUUCUCAUGGAUGGUGUCCAAGAGCUACCAUGUUCAAUUUGGAUUCAACCGAAAGAGUAUUUAAGCCUUGAAUUAAUUAAAGAGAUGAGUGUAUCAUAUUUGUGUUUGUGCACUUGUUAUUGAUGUAUUGAAUAAUGUAGGAAGUUAAUUUACAUUAUUUGAGGUAAUAUAGAAUUUUAGAAUAUUUAUUGUUUUAGGAUUUUCUAUUUUAGUUUGAGUCAAUUUUGGUAUAUAUCUUAGUCUUUUAUUUCUAUUAUAAUUGUGAUUUAGUUUCUUUUUUAGGUUAACUUAGGGAAUUGGGUUUCCUCUAUUAUAAAUAGAGAGAUCUUAUCAUUAUUUUGAGCAUUUCAAAUUCAAUUAUUCAAUAAAACUCACCUUUUAUAAUUCCUUCUGGGAUUAUCUAUCAAAAUCUCUCUUGUAAAGUUAUUUGGAUUAAAAAGUCAUCUAAUCUCGCAUUAUGCGUUAUUAAAAAGCUCAUUGAGUUGUCUGGAUUAGAACGAUAUCUGAUCAUGUUUCAAUUAGAGCAUAACUUAAUCGUGUUGGCUUAGUCCUGUACUAGAAUGAUAUCUAGUAUUUCAUGUCCUAUCAAUUUCCGCUUCCGCUACGCCUCGCUCCAUUAGUUGGUAUUAGAGCAGUUUUGUGUCAAUUGCACAACUUUCCUGACUACCCAUAUCCAUCCACAUCAGAUCCAUCACAAAAAAUAAAUAAAUAAAAUAAAAUAAAUCAAAACUUUACAAAUUUGAAAACCCUAGCCACCACAUCAACUUCCACCACCGAUCAGCCAGCCAACACCACCACAAACCUCGCUAGCCACUGCCGACCAAGUCUCAGCCAUUGCCGCCUCAACCGCUGCCUAAACAGCUGCAAAUCACCAACCCAAACCCGUGGCUCCACCAAGCAAUCCACCACCAUUCAACCACUUUCACAGCCAGCAACCUCUACCAACAAGCUUGCAGGCCUCCACUAACCAAAACACCGACCAACUUCAGCCCAUGAUCGCCGCCCGCAGCAACCACACGAAACGACAACCCAUGAGUGCUUCCCACAUGCGCCGCCACCAAACCACCUCCUUUUUCUGUCAAUUUGCACUACCACCACCCUAAUCCCUAGCAAUCGGCGACCAUAAAUCCAGCCGUCCGCCACCAUAAGGCCGCCAUAAACCAAAAGCCACAUCACUAAAAUCAACCGCCACUUUAAGUCAGAUUUCCGACCAAAACGCAGCGAAUCUGGCCGAUCCACAACCAUCAUCGAGUUCCUUAUCACCAAAUCUCCCAGAUCCGAUACCCUCUGGUCCCAAUCACGGCCACCAGCUGCCAACCAUACCAAACCCGAGAGUUGAGCCUUAAUUACAAUUUUGCCAUUGUGUGGAAACUUAAAUGGCAAGCUACCAUCAUUGCCCUCCUAUUUAUCAUGUGCCGAUAUUAUUUACAAAAUAUACGUCCAAACAAAUUUCUUGAAUAGCUGGACAAGGUUAAGCACUAGUUUCUAUUUUGGCACACUCCUAAAGAAAAGCAAGUCUUGUUUACUGCCAGUAGAUUAAGCAUAAGUGCUUCAGAAUGGCGCGAUGAGUUGCAAAUUUCUCGACUUGACCAAGGCAAAUGCCAAGUUCAAUCAUCGAACCGUAUGAAGCAUAUUUUACGAUAUGAGUUUAUUCCUCUUGAUUAUUGUUUGGUACAGUAAGGUAUGAGAUCUGUUUCUGCUUGUGCUUAUGAGUUUGAACGAUUUUAUGGAUGCCAUUAUUAUUAUGAGCCUGAAGAGAAUACAGUUACAAGAUUUAUUAAAGGGCUUGAUUUGCAUAUUCAAGAAAGGAUGCCUAUAUACACUAUCUACAAUUUACAGCAUGCAAUUCAUUUAGGCAAGAAAAUUGAAUUGCAAAUUAAGUUGUAACGUCAAAGAAACUUUGAUGAUGUGAUUAAAAAACUUGACGAAAUCCAGAAUUUAAGCAAGAAAUGGUGUGUCACCAUGAAAGUGCCCAAAGAUGUACCAAUGAGUUCUCCUAUUGUUAAGGAAGAAGACUCCCAUGAGUUGCUAGAAGAAAAUGUACAAUUUAUUAUUGAUUUAAGGUUUCAAUCUGACAAGUUGUUCGAGAAUGUGAGUGAUGUUUCCUUAGAAGAGAAGAUAAGUGUUGAAGAUGAUGAUAUUAUUGAUCUAUUUGAUAUGUUUAAAGAAGAUAUAUAAUCUGCUCUUAAUUUAAGCAGUGAGCUUAACAAUAUAAUCGAGGUUGUACAACAAAAUCAAGGUGAAGAAGUUGAAAUGAUUGAAAUGGUUCUGCCUAUUCACAUUGAAGAAAAAAAGAUUGUGCUUGAAGAAGAUUUGGUUGAAAAGGUGAAACUUAUUGGCGAGCGCAUUGAGCGACAAUUGGGGAAGUGCAAGAGUUAUUUGAUCAUUGUUCGUUCUUGAAAGUCGUCAUCGACUCGAAGAAUGUACAAGCGAAGGAAGUUGAUGAAGUUAGGAUACUUCAAAGUUUCGAGGAAGAUUGAUGAGCAAGGCUACAGGUUCAAAUUACAAGAUGAUUUGCUCCGACACUAUAAGUUUCCUCCUCCAGACUGUAUUCAAACUCAAGGACGAGUUUCUUUUAAGAGGGAAAGAAUGAUGUAGGAAGUUAAUUUACGUUAUUUUAGGUAAUUUAGGAUUCUAGAAUAUUUAUUGUUUUAGGAUUUCCUAUUUUAGUUUGAGUCAAUUAUGGUAUGUAUCUUAGUCUUUUAUUUCCAUUCCAAUUGUGAUUCAGUUUCCCUUUUAGGUUAAUUUAGGAAAGUGGGUUUCCUCUAUUAUAACUAGAGAGAUCUUGUCAUUGUUUUGAGCACUUCAGAUUCAAUUAUUCAAUAAAACUCCCAUUUUAUAAUUCCCUCUGAGAUUAUCUAUCAAAAUCUCUCUUGUAGAGUCGUUUGGAUUAGAGCGUCAUCUAAUCUCACAUUACAUGUUAUUAAAAAUCUCAUUGAGUCGUUUGGAUUAAAACGAUAUCUAAUCACGAUUCGAUUAGAGUAUAACCUAAUCGCAUUGGCUUAAUUCUGUACUAAAAUGAUAACUAGUGUUUCCUAUCCUAUCAAUUUUCGCUUCCGCUACGCCUCGCUCCGUCAGGAUUUCUGGUGUAUAUUUUUUUAGUGUAUGAUGAAACUAAAACUAUCUCAAUUUCUGCUAUGUUAGUGCCUCCUGAACACAUGUUUGGACCAUCUGAACAUUGAGUGGCUUGAUAUCUCUAACAAUAAUGCUUGUACAACUGAAAUCUACCCACCUUGCUCUAGCACAAUGAAGAGAAAUUGUGUCAUUUCGACAAAAAGGUGUCAUAUGUGCAGUCACUAUGAAUCAUUCGCAUUGGAACAAAUUGUACAAUGUCUCAAGUCGCUACUCAAUCAGUAGAACUCUCUAAUCUACGACUUUUGUCAUUUAUCAGCAUCAAGAAUCUGCCAAUUAAGAUAUGAUCACCUGUAAUUUUAAGUUCUUUCAAUCUCCAAAAACUAGAUGAAAAAAAUGCUCCAAUAAUUAGUAAGUCUUAAUCAAAUUCCAUAUUUUAGGCUUCUAAAUUUAUUAGCAAUUUUACCUAUCAUAACUUGUAUAUGUUAACCGGAUUGCAUAAACACUUGAGAAGCUUCAAGUUCAUGUCCUAAUGUGUUACAAUAUAUAUAUAUAUAUAUAGGCUUCUUUUUUGGGGGGAACUAAAAUAAGUUAGAUCAGUACCGAAGAUCAUAGUUAAAGCUCGCAAUGUUUUAUGGAGACCUUUUUCUUAUGGUAGGAGCUUCAUACUAGGAGAAGUCAUCACUUUUGAGAACAAUAAAUGUAACAACCUAUUUAAAGGGCGGAUCUAAAAAUUUGGCUUAAAAGGGACAACACAAUAAUUAAAAAAAAUUUAAUGAAAUUGAUAGACUUUGUAUUCAUUAGGGGCAAUUAUGCAAGUAUUUAUGUAAUUUCAUGAAAAUAUAAAAAAUAAAUAGAAAAUUAUGGAAAAAAAAUUUACGGGAGUCAAUUAAUUGCCCACUAUAGGCUCCGUGUGGAUCCACCUCCGAACGUAAAUGAAGAUUGAGGAUUCUCUUAAUCCAAAAAUUUUUAAGAAGUGAAAAAUAAAAAAAAUAAAAUUUUUUUUCAUCAACUUUGUAAUUCCUUAAGCGAUUAAAAUAAGAUAUAUUCAAUAAAUAAGUAUAAAUUAUUAUUCGUAUACUGUCAAAUCUUUUUUUGUUUGGGCUCUUUUAUAUUUUGUUAACAAAUAAGCUCUAAUCUAUAUUUGUUGAGUUGAAAAUUUUGAUCAAAAUAGGGUUGUAGUUUACCGAUAUUAAUUUAUAGAUUUGAACCCAAGUUCCUCCAUUUACAUUAUUAAUUAUUUUUGUUGGUCAAAGCUAAUUGAUUAGAAGAAUGCGACAAUAAGAAGACAAAAAUAUUUGCUCAAAUGCUUUGCCGUGUGCUUGCUUACUUACAAAUAUCAACUGUUCGAUGAAAUGCCCGUUUAGCUGUUCCCAACUUGGGGCAUGAGUUUGAUUAAAGUUCUUAUAUCACUGAUAUAAUAUAUUAAUGUAUAAAUGAGCUCUUUUCCUAUCAUCUAGUGCCCAUGGUAAUAUUUCAGUAAUUGAUCAUAAUAUUAUUAAGCUUUAAUUUAUAUCCUACACUCUUUUCCUAUCACCUAGUUUUUCUAAAGCGUGUAAGGUAGAAAUAUUCUCAUGUUCGAAAAAAGGUCAUACAAGCUCUAAGCUUGUACAUAUUUGAAGAACAAUACUAGACUUUUCCUUCAAACUAAUAUCGAAAUAUUUUUAUUCCUAAUGUAGUUAUUCGUCUUUGACAUUCAGCUCAGUAUCCAUUAGCAUUUAGCAAGAACAAACUUAUUUAAUAAUUAAAAGAAUUAUUGAAUGAUUUGGAACAAGUCAGCUGAGGCUAAGUAUUUUUAUUAUAUCGGCAAUUAGAUGAUGAAUGGGAAUUAUUGAACAAUUAUUUUUAUUAUUUAGGCAAUUAAUUAAGGCUACGUAUUUUUAACGUUGUUGCAAGUUGGAAGAUGUCGGCAGCAUUAGCCACUGUCAGCAUUAGCCACCCGAGCCGAGACUCAUUCUCUUUUUCAUUUCAUUUUCGUUUACUUUUGAGAACAGAAAAUGUAAAAUUUGAAUAAGUACCAAAUAACUUUUGAUAUUAAAACUUAAAUAAGCUUAGUUUUUUUCAUUUCGUUUUCGUUCACUUUUGAACAAGACAAUGUUUACUUUUGAUAUGCUUUAUUUAAGAGUCAUAAGUGCUUAUUUAAUCUUAUAAACUCUUAUCAUAAUUUUUGUUGUUGUUUGGUUGUUUUUAUAAUCAAGCUUUUAAAACUUAAAUAAGUUAUUUUAUCUCUAUUAGAAAAAAUUCAAAUUUUAGGUUUUGGGAGUAGAGGUUAAUUUUUUUUAAAUGUUAAAAUAUCUAAAAUAUCAUCUCCUUAUUGACAAUUUUAUUUUAUUCUUUUCAUAACAUAACUUUAAAAAAUUUACCUCUUAAAGUAAUUUUAUAAAUUUUUAAUAAAAACUCUUAUUGACAACCAAAUAACUAAUUUUUUUUUUGUAAAAUCUCUAUUUAUAAAAGCUCUACUUAAAUAAACUCUACUUGAAAAAAUGUACCAAACAGAGCCUAAGAAUCACUUAUUUGAAAGUUAGAAAAUGAUUGGAGACAAAAAAAAAUUGAUAAAGAAAUAUAUUUAAAAUGAUGUGGUUUUGGUUUUAUUUUAAAAAAAUUAACCUAAAUGAUAUAAUUUUAAGUAUAUUAUUUUUCAUUUCCCUAAUAUUCUUCAUAACUGAUCUUUGUACAACUCCGACCAAUUUUCACUGACAUUACAGUGUAGUUGACAUUUUCUUUUCACCGCCUUCAAUGUUUUUCCCAAAACAAUGGAAUAACCCAAACUUGUUUUUUUCCUACCUUCACCAACCUCAUUGACAAAAAUAAAAAAGACUGUCAAUUUCUCCAACCAUGUGACAAUGCCCUCACCACGUGACCUUUUGCUCACAUCCGGUUGCACAUUAACCAUCAAAGCCGGUUUCCCAUGAAUGUCCAUUUUUUUUAACUUCUUUUUCCUACCGUUAAAUUUCUCAUGAAUGUCAGUGAGUGGGAUCCAGCUACGGUACCACCGUGGUACCGUACAACUGAUUUUAUCUUUUGUGUCAGUAGUGUUGUAAAAUUUCAUUGAACCCCUUUCAUUCAUUUUUAUUUAACCUUUACCUCAUAAAUAUUAAAUUAAUUUCUAUUCCAUCCAUAUAACAUUAUAAUAGCACCUUAUACUAUUUGUUAUUUAUACAUUUUUCUUCUAUAUUGCACAUUUAUCACAAUACCCCUCUCUUUACCACAAAUACCGGUGAACCCGACCUGAAUUUCGUUUCUGUUUUCGUCCAUGCCACCGCCCAAGGUUGGUACCGAUCAGAAGAUCGUGUGAUGCCGGUCAUCUCCACGCCAUCCUUGUCGAAAAAAUAACUAGGUCAACCUGACCCGCAAACCCGACCCGGAUUUUGUUUUCGUUUCCAGCUACUCCACCGGCCAAGGUUGGUACCGAUCAGAAGCUCGUGCUACGCCAGUCAUCUCCAUGCCAUCCUUGUCGCCGUAAAGCAUUCGGAAAGCUGCCGAUCGAAGCCGUGAAAGUUACAGAAUCCCUGCUUCAAUUCGCGGCGGUUUCUCCGGUUUCCAGUGACGCCACCACUUGGGGUUUGUUCUCCACAGUUUCCUCUGUCUUUUCUGACCAACCACAGCCACCAGAGGAGCCGAUUUGCCGUUGAUCGGCCAUUGAAGGAUUCACGGGUUUGGGAGAAAUGAACUUAAUAUUUGUGAAGCAAAGUUCAAAUAAGAAUAAGUGAAAGGACUUUAUGAAAUUUUACCAAGAAAAGACAAAAGCGGUGGCAUGGUGCUACUGUUGCACGGUAGGCGAGUCCUUAUUUGUAUAUCUAUUUCUUAAAAAAAUAAAAAAUCAUAAAGUCCGGCAACGGCAGCAUAGCACUUACUGGUAACAGGAGAAUUCAAUGAAAUGCCAAAAUGCCACCUUGCGCUGUCCAAUUAACCAACAACUUUGACAUUAUUUACAUGCAAUUAUAACCAUCUAUCUCAGUUAUUAAGAAUCUAGUUGACUUGGAAGCAUGAGUCUUCUCCAGUAUGAAUUUAGUUUGGCAUUUUUGCAGUAUUCAGAUUACCCUUGAGACUUGAGAUCACAACUGCCUGCCUCUGCAUUUUCCUAAUCAUCCCUCUUGUCUAAUCUCUAGAGUUCUCUGAAAUCUCUUCUUCAUUUUCUGUCUCCCGUUUCUGUAUCGUUCUUGUCCUCGAUCCUACACCUUCUUUGCAAAUCUUUCAUUGCACUCGCUUUUCAAUUUGUCUUAGCAGAAAAUGGACCCCCUUUGUUUCAUCUCCAGAUUUUUCACUCCUUUCCCCUCCUCCUCCCUUAAAUCUAUUCAACCUUUUAUUUUAACAAUUUAUCCAAACUUCUUAUUUCCCUCUUCACAACUGAUUGAUUAGUUCUGCUCAGUUUGAUUAGUUUUGCUUUCCCCUGUUUUCUAAGAGCAAAAAAUAAAAAAGAAAGGGAUAAUGGAUAUUGUUAUUUCCGUUGCUGCAAAAGUUACAGAGUACUUGGUUGCUCCCAUAAUUCAUCCAUUUACUUAUUGCUGCACUUAUAAGACCAACUUCGAGAAGGUGAAUAAUGAAGUCGAUAAGCUCAAGAAUGCUAGAGACAGUGUGCAAUAUAAGGUUGAUGAUUCCAGAAUUAAAGGGGACGGAAUUCAACACCACGUUGAGAAGUGGAUGAUUACUGUGGACAAGGCCAUCAAUGAAGUCGAAACCCUUAUUGAAGACAAAGAGAAGUCAAACAACCGGUGUCUGAAAGGGUUGUGUCCUAAUUUGAAGACUCGGUACCAGCUUAGCAAGAAAGCAGAAAGAGAAGCGAAUGCUAUAGUUGGACUCCAUGAAAGAGGGAGAUUCGACAGUGUUUCCUUCCGUACCAUUCCAGAGGAGACAUGGCUUAAGUCUACCCGGGAUUUCAUGCACUUUGAAUCGAGAAAGUCCACCUUGAAGGAGAUACUAGACGCACUCAGCAACCGUAACUUCAACACGAUUGGAGUGUACGGGAUGGGUGGCAUUGGAAAGACCACGCUGGUGGAAGAAGUUGGCAGACAGGCCAAGGAAAAUAAUCUCUUUGAGAAGUUCAUUUCUUCACGUGUUUCCCAAACACGGCAAAUAAAGAACAUACAAGGAGAAAUCGCUGAGAAGAUAGGCUUAGAAUUGGCUGAACAGAGUCAUGAAACUGUAAGAGCAGGGAGGCUGCUUGAACGAUUGAAGAAAGAGACGAAGAUCCUUAUAAUCUUGGAUGAUAUUUGGGGGAGUCUUGAUUUGGAGGCGAUUGGAAUUCCAUUGGCAGAUGACAACGGCGGAUGUAAAGUUCUGCUGACAGCAAGAAGUCAGGAUGUGUUAUCUUGUAAGAUGGAUUGUCAACAAAAAUUUUUUGUUGAUGUUCUGAACGAAAAAGAAGCUUGGAGUCUUUUCAAAAAGAUGACAGGUGAUUGCAUACAAAAUGGUGAACUGAAAUCUGUAGCAACAGAGAUAGUCAAGGAAUGUGGUGGUUUGCCGAUUGCCAUUGUACCCGUAGCAAGGGCAUUGAGAAAUAAGAGAUUGUCUGAAUGGAAGGAUGCUUUGCUGGAAUUUAGAAGGCCUUCCUUGAGAAACUUCACUGGAACAACGCAGGUGGCGUACAAAAGUAUAGAGCUAAGUUACAAUCAUUUAAACGGAGAGGAACUGAAGAAAACAUUUUUGCUAUUAGGGUACACGUUCUUCUCUUGUGUUGAAGACCUACUCUAUUAUGGCAUGGGUUUGGGUCUGUUUCAAAACAUCAACACGUUGGAAGAGGCACGGGAUAGAGCACAUACAUUGGUUGAUAAACUCAAGAACUCUUGUUUGUUGCUUGAUGGCCGUUCAAGUGAAUGGUUUUCAAUGCAUGAUGUUGUUCGUGAUGUAGCCAGAUCAAUUGCAUCAAGAGACCAACAUGUGUUUGCGGUGGAAAAUGAGGUUGUUCCGCUGACCAGCUGGCCAGAUAAGGAUACACUGAAGGUUUGCACCGCAAUCUCCUUAAAGAAUAGUAAUAUUAGUGAGCCUCCUCAAGGGUUCGAAUGCCCGCAACUUAAAUUCCUUUGUAUUGGCUGUCAUGCUUCUUUGAGGAUCCCAGAUAAAUUUUUUACUGGGAUGACAGAGCUUAGAGUUUUAGAUUUCACUAAGAUGCAUUUGUUGGCAUUGCCUUCAUCGCUUGGUCGCUUGCAAAACCUUCAAACAUUGUCUCUAGAUGAUUGUGAACUAGGAGACAUGGCCAUUAUCGGAGACCUAAAGAAAUUAGUCAUCCUUGCGCUUCGAGGUUCUGAUAUGGAGGAACUGGCUGGAGAGAUAGGCCAGCUGACUCAAUUGAGGUUGUUGAAUUUGCGCCUAUGUUACCGACUGAGAGUUAUUCCCCAAAAUGUGAUAUCAAGCUUAUCACGAUUAGAAGAACUAUAUAUUGGUGAGAGUCCCAUUGAGUGGGGGAAAGUUGAAGGAGUAGACGGUGAAAGAAGAAAUGCCAGCCUUGAUGAGUUGAAUAAUUUAUCUAAAUUGACCUCUUUAGAAAUACUCAUCGGCGAUGAAAAGACUCUAUCAAGAGACUUGUCGUUCUUCAAAAUGCUGCAAAGGUACAGGAUAUCUAUAGGACAGUUGUCGCAGUUUAUUGUGGUUCCCCCAUCGGAUGGGAUUUCUAGAAUAUUCAAACUGGGGCUCACAAAUGGUGCCAACAUUUGCUUGAACGAGGGGCAUAUCAUGCAAUUGAAGGGUAUUGAAGGCCUGUCUCUAGAUGGAUUGAUCGACAUGAAGAAUGUUCUUUUUGGAUCAGACAGAGAAGGCUUUCCAAAACUGAAGGGUCUCCAAAUCGAACAUAAUGGCAACCUUUCUUGUGUUGUUGACACAAUGGAUUGUAUGCCAGCUCGGACGACUGCAUUCCCCCUUUUGGAGUCAUUAUUUCUAAGAGAUUUAAGGAACCUUGAGGAAAUAUGUCGUGGUCCACUCACAGCAGAGUCUUUUUGCAAAUUAAAGACCAUAAGGGUGGAAGGGUGUGAUAAAUUGAAAAAUGUAUUGCCGAUGGUCAUAGGCAGAGGCCUUCAACAACUUCAGUCCAUUAAAGUGAGUAGUUGCCAAAAAAUGGAAGUGAUUUUUGCUGCUGAGAGAGGAGAUGAAUCCAGCAAUAAUAACAGUACUGAAGUGAUUGAACUCACUCAAUUGAGGACACUUGAGCUUCAUUCUCUUCCGCAGCUUACAAGCUUCUGCACAGGUGAUCUGCAUUUUGAAAAGGUACACGUGCAAGAUUUGUUUAAUUAUUUUUCAAUUCUUACGUACUGAAAUGUAUUUCUACUUUGAGAGUUCAGAGUUUUAUUGUCGUCAUCGCCCUCAUCACUUCAUCUUUUAGUAACAAAAUGUUAGUUCUAUAAAUCAGUUUGUUUAAUUAUACUUUAUAAUAUCCUUACAAACAUAAUUAUUUUUUUAUUUUUGGAUGUCAGUUAGACCGAAUGAAAAAAAAAAAAGAUAUAUGGUAAACAAUUAUUUUUUUCCUUCUUGUUCAAUUUUUUUUCUCUUAAUUAUCAGAGUUUUUCUUCUCCCUCUACUUUUUAUUUUAUGUCUACAUGUUUAGUUAAAUACACGGAAAGAGACAGUGCAUUUGAUUAGCCAAACAAAGAAAAUACUCAUAAGAUCUAGAGGCUUUCAAGCCACAGUUAAUUCCCUGAAAAUCUUUCAAGAGCUAUUUCCAAAUUAGUACUCCUUAGUACAGUAUUGUUACAUACAAAAUGAUUAUCAAUUUUGAUGUUGAAGAAGAAAUUGGUCAUCUCGUGUUAACAUAAAUAAUAUUUUUAAAAUAUAUAUAGAGAGAUGGACAAAACUCAAAUUAAGAAAUCUUAUUCUAUUAAACUUUAUGUACAAUAAAAUCCAUUCUUGCACAAUAGUAAAUAUAUCCAAUUCCAUUGAGUUGGAUGAAUAUUAAUGAAAUACCAGCUUCUUACUAUAUUAUUAAACUUUUAAAAUUCAUAUUAUUUAUUCAUUUUUGCUUUAAGAAAAAGUUAAAAACUCCAAUAUUUUUUAAAAAAAGAAAUUUGUAAGAUUUUCAAUUCAAACCAAAUAAAGGGAUCAAUUAAAAGAAUCUCAAAGUUUAAAUGCAAUUUGAGAAUAAUUGAAGUCUUUUUCAUAGAGAUUAUGCACAAAUCUAAUAAAAUUUGAAAAUCUAUCUACUGGACAAGAGUUAAGAAGAGAGAAUGGAAGAAAAUACACAUUACUUAAAUGGAAUGCUUUGUUUUUACUUUGUAUUUACAGCUGAAAAUCAAACUCUCUCCGCAUAUCUAUAAAUUUGUCCGGCCAUCAAUACGCAUCAUUGGAAUGCUUUGUAUUUACUUGAAUUUGUGAAAUCGUUAGAAAGAAGUGCUAACUCCAUCUUGCCACUUUUGCGAUUGAUGAUCACCCAGGUGUUCCCCAAGUUGGAGAAAUUGAGGGUUGAUGAAAAGCACAUAUGCCUAUUUCCAGAAGACUGGCUUUGCAAACUUAAAUGUCUUGAUGUCCGGCUUGAUGAGUCAAGUACAAUUUUAUCACUUGACGAUUUCCUCCAGAGAUUUCACACCAUCAAAAUUCUCUUUAUAGAAGGAGACGAUUUUGUUUGGGGAGAAUCACUUGAAAACCUUGAAAAUGGGUUGAAUGCAAUGAUGAGGGGAAUAAACCAGCGCCGUGAACUGAAGCAGAUUUUCAAACAAGAGUCAACCAAUACCAACAAUUUGGAACAGCUGGAGAUAUUCGAGUGUGACAAUUUGACUAAUCUAGUGCCAUCCUCGACAUCUUUUCAGAACCUAACAACUUUGAAGUUAAGUCUUUGCCAUGGAAUGAUACACCUUCUAACAUCCUCAACCGCAAGGAAUCUGGUGCGACUGAGACAAAUGGAGAUAGGUUGCUGCAAGAUGAUAACAGAAAUAGUGGCAGAUGAGGAUGAUGAGGGAGAUAAUUAUGCAGCACAAUAUGAAAUUGUUUUCAGCGAAUUAAAGGAAUUGCGGCUUUGGGACUUACAAAGUCUGACUAGUUUCAGCUGCUCUGGGAAUAAUUGCGCCUUCAAAUUCCCAUCUCUAGAAAGAUUAGUGGUGGAUCGUUGCCCCAAUAUGAAGAUUUUCUCAGAAGGGGAAUUAAGCACACCCAAGUUACAGAAAGUGCAGCUGAGCUGGCUUGAUAAUAAACUUUGGGCUUGGGAUCGGGACCUUAAUACAACCAUUCAAUACGUAUAUCUUAAAAGGAAAAAGGUAAGUAUUCAUUCACUAUGAGAUGUUGAUUUUUUUUUUUCUAAAACUUACUGAUUUAAUAACAGAUAUAUAUAAAAAACUAAAAAGAAAAAAGUAUAUAUUAAAUUUUUUAUAAAUUCAUUUUAAAUCUGACUAGGAAGAGAAGGAAAAAGAGAAUGAGAAAUCCGCCGAGACGAAUGAAAAGGAGAAAAAUGUGAAAGACAGUAGUAAGAUAAAAUCUAUACAAUUUGGGAGGUUUUGAUUUGAUUCUAUUUUGCUGACUAAAAAUGUUUUGUUUAUGUUGAAAUUUUUGUUAAAUCAUAUCGGUACAUCUUUUUAAGAUAUAACUACUCUGCUUUGUUGUAUGUUGAGGAUUAGUUGUUAGACAGACAUAGCAAAAAAUAAAAGAAUAAAAAAUAAAAUGCUUACAGAGAGAAUUGAAAGAUUUCCGUGUCCUUAAUAGAGGCUAAUUUGUGCAAUUUGAUUAAGUGAAAACCGCACCUUCAAUGUGUUUUUACUCUUUGUUUACAGAGUCUCCAAACUUAUGAAGACGAUUCAGGUCAACCUUCUGUGCAGCAUCUUGAAUAAGGCAUCGAGUUCUUACUAUAUAUUAAAAGUCAGAUGAUGUUGGUGAGAGGAUUUUUUGUUUCAGUUUUCAUUCAUUAUUAUGCUUUUAGCUUUGUUUGAGUACUCAGAAAUCCAAUUUGAAGCUAGUUUUACUUCUUGUGGAUGGUGUCCAAGAGCUGCCAUAUUCAAUUUGUAGGCAUCUGAAAAUCUCUUUAAUCCCUAAAUUAAUUAAAGAGAUGUGUGCAUCAUAUUUGUGUUUGUGCACCUAUUGGUAUUUUUUGGAGACAAUUAUAUAAGAAAUUAUGUAAUUUCAUGAAAUUAUCAGUAUUUUAUAUAGAAAAUUAUGGAAAAAUCAAAGUUUACGGGUCAAUUGCUCACUGUGGACAACAUGUGGAUCCUCCCUAGAGCCUAGGCGAAAUUGUAGUUUAUUGGUAUUAAUGAUCAUCAUUUUAGUUCAGAGAUUUGAGCCCAAGUUCCUCCAUUUACGUUAUUAUUAAUUAUUUUUGUUGUUGAAAGCUAAUUGAUUAGAAGAAUGCGACAAUAAGAAGAUUAAAUACUUUGCCGUGUGCUUAUUUACGAAUCCACUAGCUUAGCUUAUAAUCAGACACAUAAAAUCAUCAUCAUCACAAGAUUAUCACAUGUGUAAUAUCAAAGCUAAUUAUUGAAAACCUUUGAAUGGUCUUCCAAUUUUGAAAAAGCCGGCAGCACUUGCAACUUCCAGGAAACUUCGAUUAAGUGCAGAUGCCGAGCAUAUCAACUGUUGGAUGAAAUGCCCAUGUAGCUCUUCCUAACUUGGGACAUGAGUUUCAUUAAUUGAUCAUAAUUAUUAAAUUCUAGUAUACAUACUACACCCAUAACCUAGAUCAUUAAGAAAUUAGGCUUAAAUAUGCAAUCGUUCACAAUUAUUUAAUAAUUGUCAUUUAAGAAGGGGGGGGGGGGGGGGGGGAAGAAAAAAGAAAAAGAAGAAGGCUUCAGUUUUUCUAAAGCGUGUGAGUUAGAAAUAUUUUCACCUUAGAAAAAAGUCAUACAAGCUCUAAGUUCGUAUAUAUUUUAAGAACAAUACUAGCAAGUAAAACAAUUAUUUAAUACAAGUGUUUUUAUUAUUUAGGCAAUUAGAUAAUGGGAGAAAAUUAUGGUGCAACAGUAAUACCAUGUCACGGUUGCGUCCAGUCAUUGAAUCCCAAUAAAUCCGUUCAUUCAAGUGGAUCCAACAGCUGGAUGCCCGUAGCCGGACCCUAGAUAAUGAAUAGUAAUCCUUUAUUCGAUCAAUGACCUCAAAAUACUCUCAUUGUACGAAGAAAGUGAAAAAAUCAAAACCAAUCGUCAUUAAUUAAAGGGAAAAGGACACAGAGACCCCCAACGUUUAAAUAAGGGACACAAAACUCCCUAAUGUUUCAAAAAAGACACUCAGACCCCCAUUUGUUAACAGUAAAUUAUAAUUUUACCAUUAUACCCUUAUAACAUAUUAAAAAAUAAUUGUUCAUUUUCCAAUUUAUUCCUAUAUUAUUAAUAAAAUUACGAAUAUAACUUCAUUAUCCAAUUUUUCCAUUUAAUUUUUGUCAAAUUUUCUCUUCAAACUAAAUAAAUUUAAUCCAUUACUCAAGAAUAAAAAUAAAUUAAAUUGAUUACUAAUAUAAUAAAAAUAACAUAUAUUUAAUAUAAAAAUAACAUAUAUUAAAUUAAAAUAAAUUUAAUUUAUAUAUGGAGAAUUGUUAUUUUUAAGAAAUUAUCAAUUUAAUUUAUAUAUAAGAAAUUAUAGGAAAUAACAUAUGGAGAAUUGUUAUUUUUAUUAUAUUAAUAAUCAAUUUAAUUUAUUUUUAUUUUUGAGCAAUGGAUUAAAUUUAUUUAGUUUGAAGAUAAAAUUUGAUAAAAAUUAAAUGGAAAAAUUGGGUAAUGAAGUUAUAUUCGUAAUUUUAUUAAUAAUAUAGAAAUAAAUUGGAUUUUUUAAUAUGCUACAAGGGUAUAAUGGUAAAAUUAUAAUUUACUGUUAACAAAUGGGGGUCUGAGUGUCUUUUUUGAAAUAUUAAAAAAUUUUGUGUCCCUUAUUCAAAUGUUGGGGUCUCUGUGUCCUUUUUCCUUAAUUAAAAGCGACUGUAGAUAGUCAAAUAAUCAAAACAUUUCGCAUAAAGUUUUUCUCAUUCUUUGUCCACUCUUCGCAUUCAUUGACCUACGUACCCAGUUAAUUUAAUUCUGCUGACUUAACUUUUUAAAAUAUAAAGUCAGUGAAUUCCGCUGGUCCGACGCACAUCUCCCAACUAUGCAAGUCUUUCUCCAUCUCAAUCACCUUAAUUGCUUUUAUUCUUCAGCUUUGUUCAUUUCUAAAGAUUUUUUAAGAAGUGAAUUUUUUUUUCAAAAGAAUAAAUUAUUGCAUAAACUUUGUAAAUCCUUAAGCGAUUAAAAUGAGAUAUAUUCAAUAAAUAAGUAUAAAUUAUUAUUCUUGUACUGGAAAAUUCUUUUCUUUUUUUUAGGGUUCCUUUAUAUUUCUUGAAUUGAAAACUUUGAUGAAAAUAGGGUUGUAGUUUACCGAUAUUAAUUUAUAGAUUUGAGCCCAAGUUCCUUCAUUUACAUUACUGAUUAGAUUUGAUGGUGAAAGCUAAUUGAUUAUAAGUAAGCGACGAUAAUAAGAAGAUAAAAGUACUUGCUCAAAUACUUUGCCGUGUGUUCUUACUUACAAAUCUGCUAGCUUCGCUUUUAAUCACAUAUAUAAAUCAUCACUACCUUAUCAUAUAUUAUUACUUAAUAAUCAAAGCUAAUUAUUGAAACCUUGAAGGGUCUUCCAAGUUUGAUUAUGGAGGCAACACUUGCAACUUCCAGGACAGAAACAUCCGUGUAAGUGCAGCUGCCGGGUAUAUCAACUGUUACAUGAAAUGCCCGUUUGGCUGUUCCCAACUUGGGCAUGAGUUUGAUUAAAAGUUCUUAUAUCACUAAUAUAAUGUAUUAACGUAAUAAAUGGGCUAUUUUCCUAUCAUCUAGCGCCCACGGUAAUAUUUCAGUAAUUGAUCAUAAUAUUAUUAAGCUUUAAUUUCUAUCCUACACUCUUUUCCUAUCAUCUAGUUUUUCUCAAGCGUGUAAGGUAGAAAUAUUCUCAUCUUCGAAAAAAGGUCAUACAAAUUACAAGCUCUGAGCUUGUACAUAUUUGAAGAACAAUACUAGACUUUUCCUUCAAACUAAUAUCGAAAUAAGUUUAGCAAGAACAAACUUAUUUAAUAAUUAAAAGAAUUAUUUAAUGAUUUGGAACAAGUCAGCUGAGGCUAAGUAUUUUUAUUAUAUCGGCAAUUAGAUGAUGAAUGGGAAUUAUUGAACAAUUAUUUUUAUUAUUUAGGCAAUUAAUUAAGGCUACGUAUUUUUAACGUUGUUGCAAGUUGGAAGAUGUCGGCAGCAUUAGCCACUGUCAGCAUUAGCCACCCGAGCCGAGACUCAUUCUUUUUUUCAUUUCAUUUUCGUUUACUUUUGAGAACAGAAAAUGUAAAAUUUGAAUAAGUACCAAAUAACUUUUGAUAUUAAAACUUAAAUAAGCUUAGUUUUUUUCAUUUCAUUUUCGUUCACUUUUUAACAAGACAAUGUUUACUUUUGAUAUGGUUUAUUUAAGAGUCACAAGUGCUUAUUUAAUCUUAUAAACUCUUAUCAUAAUUUUUGUUGUUGUUUGGUUGUUUUUAUAAUUGAGCUUUUAAAACUUAAAUAAGUUAUUUUAUUUCUAUUAGAAAAAAUUCAAAUUUUAGGUUUUGGGAGUAGAGGUUAAUUUUUUUUAAAUGUUAAAAUAUCUAAAAUAUCAUCUCCUUAUUGACAAUUUUAUUUUAUUUUUUUCAUUUCAUAACAUAACUUUAAAAAAUUUACCUCUUAAAGUAAUUUUAUAAAUUUUUAAUAAAAACUCUUAUUGACAACCAAAUAACUAAUUUUUUUUGGUAAAAUCUCUAUUUAUAAAAGCUCUACUUAAAUAAACUCUACUUGAAAAAAUGUACCAAACAGAGCCUAAGAAUCGCUUAUUUGAAAAUUAGAAAAUCAUUGGAGACAAAAAAAAAAAAAGAUAAAGAAAUAUAUUUAAAAUGAUGUGGUUUUGGUUUUAUUUUAAAAAAAUUAACCUAAAUGAUAUAAUUUUAAGUAUAUUAUUUUUCAUUUCCCUAAUAUUCUUCAUAACUGAUCUUUGUACAACUCCGACCAAUGUUCACUGACAUUACAGUGUAAUUGACAUUUUCUUUUCACCGCUUUCAAUGUUUUUCCCAAAACAAUGGAAUAACCCAAGGGUCCGCCUACGUUACAUUUAAUGUAACGUACAGUCAGCCUGUGGAAUUUUAUCUAGCCCCUUAUACUCUAUGUUAUUUAUAUUUUAUUCAUGAAUAUUAUAAAUUUUUUGAAAUGUAAAAUUUCGUUUAACCCCUUAUAUUCAAUUUUAUUUUAUUAAAAUCCUAAAGUAUGAAUUCGCCCCUAUAAUAUUAAAUUCUCAAAAUAACCUCCAUUUAAUUAAAAAAUAUAAUUAUUGUUAAAUGAAUUAUAAUUAUAAUUAUUAUUUUAUUAUAAUCAUAAAUAUUUUUUUAAAUAGAUUAUUUUUAUUAUUAAUAACAAGAAUAAAAAGUAUUAUAAUUAAUUAAUCUAUUACCAAUAAUUAAUAAUAUUUUUUAUUAAAUUGUUAAUAAUAAUAAUAAUAAUCAAUGAUAAUUAACAUAUUUAUGAUUAUAAUAAAAUAUGAAAGGAGAGCGGAGACUUUUAUUUUGAAUAAACUAGUUCCGAUUAACAUAUUUAUGAUUAUAACAUAUUUAUGAUUAUAAUAAUAUUUUUUGAGAUGUUUGGGCAAGGGGGUCUCAUGGGUGUGUGGACUUUUAGGCUGCCAGGAGAGCGGAGACUGGAAAAAUACCUUGCGUUUAGAUAGUGACUUGUGUGUGAGUAAUAACAAUUUUUAUUAUAAAAAUAAGUUUUAUACCAAAUAUUAAAAAAAAUCUGGAUAAUCAUUAAUUAUUAUUAUUAAUUAUUUAAUAAAAAAUAUUAUUAAUUAUUGUUAAUAGAUUAAUUAAUUAUAAUGCUUUUUAUUCUUAUUAUUAAUAAUAACAAUAAUCUAUUAAAAAAAUAUUUAUGAUUAUAAUAAAAUAAUAAUUAUAAUUAUAAUUCAUUUAACAAUAAUUAUAUUUUUUAAUUAAAUGGAGGUUAUUUUGAGAAUUUAAUAUUAUAGGGGCGAAUUCAUACUAUAGGGUUUUAAUAAAAUAAAAUUGAGUAUAAGGGGUUAAACAAAAUUUUACAUUUCAAAAAAUUUAUAAUAUUCAUGAAUAAAAUAUAAAUAAUAUAAAGUAUAAGGGGCUAGAUGAAAUUUCACAGGCUGACCGUACUUUACAUUAAAUAUAAUGUAGGCGGACCCAUAACCCAAACUUGUUUUUUUCCUACCUUCACCAACCUCAUUGACAAAAAUAAAAAGGGUCCGCCUACGUUACAUUUAAUGUAACGUACGGUCAGCCAGUGAAAUUUUAUCUAGCCCCUUAUACUCUAUGUUAUUUAUAUUUGAUUCAUGAAUAUUAUAAAUUUUUUGAAAUGUAAAAUUUCGUUUAACUCUUUAUACUCAAUUUUAUUUUAUUAAAACCCUAGAGUAUGAAUUCGCCCCUAUAAUAUUAAAUUCUCAAAAUAACCUCCAUUUAAUUAAAAAAUAUAAUUAUUGUUAAAUGAAUUAUAAUUAUAAUUAUAAUUUUAUUAUAAUCAUAAAUAUUUUUUUAAUAGAUUAUUGUUAUUAUUAAUAAUAAGAAUAAAAAGCAUUAUAAUUAAUUAAUCUAUUAACAAUAAUUAAUAAUAUUUUUUAUUAAAUAAUUAAUAAUAAUAAUUAAUGAUUAUCCAGAUUUUUUUUAACAUUUGGUAUAAAACUUAUUUUUAUAAUAAAAAUUGUUAUUACUCACACACAAGUCACUAUCUAAACGCAAGGUAUUUUUCCAGUCUCUGCUCUCCUGGCAGCCUAAAAGUCCACACACGCAUGAGACCCCCUUGCCCAAACAUCUCAAAAAAUAUUAUUAUAAUCAUAAAUAUGUUAUAAUCAUAAAUAUGUUAAUCGGAACUAGUUUAUUCAAAAUAAAAGUCUCCGCUCUCCUUUCAUAUUUUAUUAUAAUCAUAAAUAUGUUAAUUAUCAUUGAUUGUUAUUAUUAUUAUUAACAAUUUAAUAAAAAAUAUUAUUAAUUAUUGUUAAUAGAUUAAUUAAUUAUAAUGCUUUUUAUUCUUGUUAUUAAUAAUAAAAAUAAUCUAUUUAAAAAAAUAUUUAUGAUUAUAAUAAAAUAAUAAUUAUAAUUAUAAUUCAUUUAACAAUAAUUAUAUUUUUUAAUUAAAUGGAGGUUAUUUUGAGAAUUUAAUAUUAUAGGGGCGAAUUCAUACUCUAGGGUUUUAAUAAAAAAAAUUGAGUAUAAGGGGUUAAACGAAAUUUUACAUUUCAAAAAAUUUAUAAUAUUCAUGAAUAAAAUAUAAAUAACAUAGAGUAUAAGGGGCUAGAUGAAAUUUCACAGGCUGACUGUACGUUACAUUAACGUAGGCGGACCCAAAUAAAAAAUGCUGUCAAUUUCUCCAACCAUGUGACAAUGCCCUCACCACGUGACCUUUUGCUCACAUCCGGUUGCACAUUAACCAUCAAAGCCGGUUUCCCAUGAAUGUCCAUUUUUUUUAGGGUGACCCUAAGUUACGUUAAGUGUAUCUUACGUUUUUUGUCUUUUUCUUGUGGCAAUUUUCAUACAAGUCCUUACAUUUAUUACUUUUAUAUUUAAGGAUGCAUUUGCCUUCUUCUAUCAAUUAUACACCUAUUUUUCAUUCUUUCUAAUGUUUUCUUUAUUUCUUUAAACAACAAUAUAUGGUUAUCGAAUUCAUAUAAAUCUGUAAAUUCAGAAUAAAUUUCGGGUCCUAAAUUUAUUAUUCCCAUUCUUUCUUGUUCUAAUAGUUCUAUUUUUUGGGUUAUUUGAUUUAUAUAACUUAUUAUGAUAUUUUCCCAGCCUAGAUUCAUAUGAUCUAUAGUUUCUGCUAAAUUAUGUAUCAUAUUAAAAGCAUGUUGGUUCAUGGUAAUGCUUCUUUUUUAUACCAGUAUACUAAAAAUUUUAUAAAUUCAUCUAUAAAUUUCAUUUUCUUUUCUAUUAAAAUAUCACCCCCUAAAGUUUCUAUAUUUCUUUCUUGUAAUUCUUGAGUUACUUCAAGCUCGAUAUUUCGGAUGUUAUUCUUUUUCAAAUACCUUUAAAGUAUAUAAGCUAUCUGUUAUAUUUUUUAUAGGGUCCAUGGCUCUGAUACCAUUUUAUGGGUUGUGUAAAAAUGUAAAAACAAAAACAAGACAAAAACAAAACUAAUAAAAACUAAAAUAAAUUCAGUCAACAAAAUUAAACAAAACAAAUAAAUAAAUAAUAUUAAGUAGAUGAAUGAAAACUAUUAGGAUAAUAGAAUUUUGAUGCAAAAAUUCAAAAAGAUAUAUCUAUUUUAUGUCUUUAGUAUUAUUAUUCAUCUAAAAGAGUAUAUCUAUCAUAUCUUGUAUUAUCAUUAUUUCUUAAAUAUAAGGCUAUAACUUCUUCCCCAUUAAUUAUACUAGGUAUAUUUCCGGGAAAACUAGGAACAUAAAAAUCGUAAUAAUUAUUAUGAGUUUCUAUAAUAAAUGUAGGGUUAUUAAUCUGAUUUGAAAUUUCUAAAUUAUGGGAUAUGUUUACUGGAUAAUAGAAUAUUUCUACUUUUAUGAAAUAUAUAUUAUUAUUUAUUAUACUAGUAUAAUAUCUUGUUUCCUUGUAGGUGUUCAUGAUUACAGAAUAUUAUAUCGACUUAAGAUUUUAUAUUUCUAGUUCUUCAUUAUCUGAAUUAUCUAUAUAUUCUAUGUAUGAGGGUUCUAUUCUUAAACUUUCAUUUUCUAUUUUAGCUUUAAUUAUAUCAAUAGUCUCAUCUAUAGUUAACAUUGUAAUUAAGUGUUUUAGAUUAUCUAUUUCUAAAAUGUUUAAGAUUCUUCGUUUUAUUUCUGGUGGUAAUUCUAGUGUAUAUAUAGCUUCUAUCUUUUCUUUACUAAUAAGUUCUUCUUUACUAAAUAUGUAUUAACUUUGCUUAAAAGAUCCAAGAUUAAAAUCUAUUAUCAUCAUGUAGUUAUUAUAUGUUAUCCUAGUUGUAGGAUUUAUCAUUUUUUCUUUUGGAUUUCCACGUCCUAAUCUAACACUCAUAUUUUGAUAAACACUCAUUUUUCUUAUUUUUAAUAAUUUUGAUUAAGAAUUCGAAUAAGAUUCACUUCUGAGAGAUGCUCAUCCACCAUCAAUCUCCUCAUCUACAAUCAUUACCCAACUUCUACCAACAGAUAAGGUUAGAGAAUUAUUACCUAAGUUAUCCUUUUUCUUCGUCUUAAGAUCUGUCUCCAGUGACCUGCAGCAUAUGCGUCCUUCAUUCCCUCAACGGCCUCCUGCCUUAACGGGAUCAAGCGGACUCCAAUGGCCUUUCUGUAUGGAUCCUGAUCUUCUUUCUUAGAAAUAAAGAUAAUUUUAGGUUUCUCUUUCCUUUCUAUGGGGUUGUUUGUUUAUGAUUGAUGAUGUAUUGAUUUCUGGUUUUGAGCUUAAGAGAAUUUAGCUAUUCAUUUUCAUAGAGUUUUUCCACUAUCGAAAAUAUUGCAAAAGUGAAAUAUGGUGUGUAAUCUGAGCCCCUUGCUCCUUCUUUUUUCUUUUUAUUUCAAAACUUUUGCCUCGAGAUUACAUUCUUGCCCUUUUUGCUUUUUCUAAUUAUUACAAAUGCUUUUCUAAUUACAUUAUUACAAAGGCGUUUCUUUCCUCUAUCAUGCGCUUCUGCUUUUGCCUUUUUAUCUUGUCUGCUAAAGCAUCUUUUAUUUGUCUGCCACGUUUAUUGUCUUGAUCAUGCUUUUUUAUCUGAUCUGCUAAGGCAUCUUUUAUUUUGUCUGCCACUUGCAUUAUUCUGAUUACGCUAUGCGUAUCUGAUUGCUUGUCUCCAUGAGCUGGAAAGCAUGUUGUAUGGUUUCACUGCUGCUUGGAAAGCGCCUAGUGCUUAUUUCAUUGAUUAGCUCCAGCAAGAUAUUUGAUGGUGUAUGGCUGUCUUCUGCUGUCACUAAGAUAUAAUUCUGGAAUCUGAUGAUGGUUAUGAAAUUCCUCUUGUAUAGGUCUUUUGCUAUGCUCCAAAUGGCUUUUAUUCCUUUGGCUCUUCGGGUUUUUAUCCAGGACUUGGUUAUAUGAGGAACUUCUGUGUAUCCAGUUCCUACUUCUACUUUAAAAUUUUUUGUGAGGUGACCUACGGAAAUCAUAUAGAAUGCUUGAUAUUCUAUAUUUUGAUGGUAUUCUGGACUUAUGGUGUAGAAUUUGAGGUAUAUGGGUUUUUUCUGGGCAAAUUUUGACACUUCUUUGACUAAAAGUUCGUCAAAGCUGGCUAUUUCUCUCAGAUCUAUAUCUGGAUAAACUAAAUCUAAGAAUCCAUAUCGGGCUAUUUUUCCAACAAUAAGGGGGUCAGCCCCCUUUGUGGCUAUAAAUCUGGGAUAUAUGUUUUUUCCUGGUGCUUUAAAGAUGCUAUUAUUAUGAGAACAAAUAGAGUAUACCCAGGUAGCAAACUGUUUAUACUCAUCUUCUUUUUGGUUCAGAGGUUCUUCUUUUUCUUCAGUAUAGGGACUGUCUAUUUGAAUGAAUUUCUUUGUUGGGCUUAUUUUUGGAGAAUCAACCUCUAUGGAGAUUGUUUGGGUAGGAGCUGUAUCAGAGAUUGGUUUAUAGUCUCUCAGGGGUUCACUACUGCUUCCUGUAUUCAUUGGACUAGUGCACACUGGCACAGUGUUUAUUGAGAGUGCCUUUGUGAGAUCUUUUAUGUAUGAUCCCAACAAAUGGACUCCUUUUUCAUGGGCUUCUGAAGCCUCUUUUAUAUAGUUUAUUGCAUCAAUUAUGUCUGAUGCUUCUGUUGCCAAUCUUUGUAUUUCGGCAUUUAUUUCAGAAAGGAUUUUAUUUAUGUCUGGAUCCAUCUCCAAAUUCUAUGUUCCUGCUUAAGAAAUCUGCAAGAAAAUUGUUAGAUCCCUUUAUAUGUAUAAUUUUAAAAUUAUAAUAUGAUAAAUAAGCUUGCCAUCUAUGUAACCUUCUGUACUGGGGUUCAUUUGGUAAAACUUUAUUUAUUAAUGAGUUUCCCUGAGAAUUGUCAGUUUUUAUAGUAAAUUGUUUUUGUAAUAAAAACAAAGAAAACUUUUUUAUUCCUUUAUAUAUAGCAAGCAGUUCUUUUUCAUGUACAGGAUAAUUGACCUGUGCUUGGUUGAAUGUACCACUGGUGUAUCUACAUAUUUCAUUUAUGUCAGUCUUAAGUAUAACUCCCCAAUAUAGAUCAGAUGCAUCAGUCUGCAUUACUAACUUAUCAGUUUUAUCUGGUAAUCUUAAAGAAGGGAGAUUUUUACAUUCCUCCUUUAAGUUUUUUACAGUUUCUGUAUGUUCUAUACUCCAUCCUCUAGUAUUAUUUUUCCUAAGUAGCUUUUGAAGUAUAUUUUUCUUUUUAGCUAGAUUUUCUAUAAAUCCUUCUGCAUAAUUUAAGCAGCCUAAGAAUUUUUGUAUCUGUUGUUUAUUUUCUAAUUUAUCUGGAAAAUCAAUAAUUUUUCUUCCUAUAUGGCUUUGAAGUCUGAUUCCUUGUUUAUCUAGAAUCAUUCCUAAAAAUUCAAUUUUCUUAUGUUCUAUUAUUGCCUUUCUUUCUGACAGUAUUAUUCCUUCUUUGACACAUACAUUUACAAAUUCUUUUAAAUGUUUUCUGUGUUCUUCUAGUGUUUCAGAGGCUAUUAAUAUGUCAUCAACAUUGUUGAGUGUUAGAAAAUGCAUAUUUAUAAAGGAGAAAACCGUCAUUUUACAUUUCAAGUCUUAUUAACAACCCUUACUUUUAUGUAUUUAACCUUCUUGUGAUUUAAUUACAUGUGUUUUAUUUUAAUUAAGUAUUUUAUGUAUUUUAGGGGCAUUAUAGUCAUUUCACAAUAAAGGAGAGAUCAGAUGGCAAAACGGACAUCACUUUUGAACUCAGGACGGUCGAAAACCUUAGGAGGGGCAUAAAAGGAAAAAUGGCACUAUUCACAUGUACGGUACUAUUCACGUAUACGGUACUGUAUAUGUUACUGUUCACGGCACUGUUCACAUAGACGGAUCGAUGACGUGGCAUUGACCGAUGAUGUGGCAUUGACUGAUGAGGUGUCACGAUCCUGUUGGACUAAAAUUCUUAUGUACUGUUGAUGGUGACGUGGCAGCAUAUCAGUGGACGAAAAAUCUCGCGUACGGUGCAUGCAUCACACAGGAUUAUUUUCAACCAAACCGCGUUACUGUUCAUCCGGGUCAAACCGUGUUACUGUUCAUCCGCGUGGUCAAACCGUGGACUGUUGACUGAUGACGUGGCGCAAUCCUGAGCGUCCAAACUGUUUUUAAUCCGAUGGCCAUGAUUUACUCCAUGUAUCUAUAAAAAGGGGGCCUUCCCCCCCUAAUUUGAUAUCUCUGAAUCCAUUUUUGGGAUCCAUUUUCUGUAAUUCCCUCUCCAUCUUGUAUUUUCUUUGUAUUUUAAUAAAUUCCCAUUUUGCCCCUAGUUCAAUUAUGAGUGGCUAAUUUUCUUUCAAGCUUGGGUUGAAGGUGAAGUCUCAACAUGUGUCAUGGGCUUAAUUGGUAAAUUUAUUUUCUCUUCCCCUCUAGUUUUUGUGGAUGUUUUGACUUCUCGUCGACAAAUAAUACUGAUCUUGUCUAGAUACCGCCUUGGUUACACCGGCUCUCUAGUAUAAGGUUAUUAUUAUUUGGCACGAUAAGCCCUUAGCACCAUAUUGAUUAGAGCGUGGUUCAUGAGGUGUGGAUUCCCCCUCAUGAUUUAAUUGGCAUUAAUACGGAUUAUUUAGCCCAUGAUGCAUGUUGAUACGGAUCCAGAUACCCAAGUACGUCAAUUUAAUCGAUUUUCUCUACAAUUUAUUCUCGCCAUUGCAAUUCCAAUUUUAGCAUAUUUUAAAUCACUUCCACCACAAUUCCAACCACCCAUUUACAAAAUUAAUUCUAUAUAUAAUUAAAAAUCCACCUCCUCGUGGGAUCGACACUCGUCACCAUUAGUCUAUACUACAAUAGAUUCGUGCGCUUGCGAGUACAUUAAAAUUUGCACAACAAACAUAUACUAUUAUGUAUCUAUAAUCUCUAAAUAUUUUAUUCAUUCUACUUUGGAAUAUUUGUGGGGCAUUUUUUAAUCCAAAAGGCAUUACUAACCAUUCAUAAUGUCCUUGUGGAGUACUAAAGGCUGUAUAAGGAAUACUAUUUUCUUUCAUUUUUAUCUGCCAAAAGCCUGAUUUACAGUCAAACUUUGAAUAAUAAGUUUUAUUUUUUACUAGAUUUAUUAGUACUUCUUUAUUUGGUAAAAAAUAUCCAUCAAAUUUUGUAUAUUUGUUUAGUUCUUUAUAAUUUAUUACCAUUCUAGCUUUACCUCUAACUUGUUCUGCUCUUUUUCUAACCAUGAAAGCUGGGCUGUUGUGUGGACUAUUACUAUUUCGUAUUAAGUUUAAUUUUAAUAAUUCUUUUAUUUGAAUUUUAAAUUCUUCUCGAUCUUCUUCCGUGUACAUCAUAGGUUUAAGUCUUAUGAUUCUAUUUUCUAUUAAUUCUAUUUUUGCUCUGGGGUGAUCUGGUUUCCAUAAGGCUAAUGGGAUUUUCUUUAUAGACAUUUUCAAGUUGGGAUUUUAUUGUUUCUAAUUUUAUGUUUAUGUGAUAACUCUUUCCUUUUGAAAUUAAAUAAUGUUUUUCAUAUAUUGUCUUAUCACCACGCGAGGCUGGCUGAACUCGAUAAGGACGAAAUUCACGAGGAAUGCGAAGAAUAUGAUUGCAUGGGGUUUUAAGAGUAAUCAUAUAGGUCGUCUGUUGGUAAUAUUGAAAUUGUUGUAAGAAAUCAUUACCUAAGAGUAUAUCACAGUCCAUUUGGUCAUAUUGGAAGAUAUGAUUAAUACGGACAAUUUUACUUCCUAAAAGAGUUUCAAAAUUCUCUAAGGAUUGAGUGAUAUGUUGUUUAUCUCCUGUGAUACCUACGAGUUUUAUUUUGCUAUUUGAUUUCCAUUGGUUUGACAAAAAGGUUUUCAUAAUUGUAAUUUCACUUCCUGUGUCUAUCAAGGCGCAAGUGUCUAUAUCUUUUUCUACUAUGUUUAUUUGUAUAUAAACAGACAUAGGAUAUUUUAUAUAUGCUUGUCUUAACAUGUUUCACAAAUUAUCUUUUGUCCUUCUAUUUGUAAAGUUAUUUGGCCUUUUUCUAUUUUAUAAUAUUCUAGACUGUUUAGGAAACUAUUUCCCAAAACUAUAUGUUUUUCUGGAUCUGUAGUCAUAAAAGAGUCUAUGUAGCAAGAUACUAUUAUUCGUAUUCCUUCAAUUAUUAAUGGAACUUUUACUUCUUGUCUACAUAUAUGCUUAUUACCAUUGAAGUCAGUAUAUUCAUACGGAAUUUCUUUUUCUUUUAUUAAGAGUCUUUUAUUUUUUGUAUGAUUCAUAUAAUUAUGACUUGUUCCUGUAUCUACUAGAAUAGGUAGUUUUAUUGUAUAUUCUAUUCCAUUGAAGUAUUGUCCAAGUAUUUUUACUACACUACUAAUUAGUAUAGGUUUUACUAUUUCUUUAUUUAUAUUGAUUAUUUGUCUAUCAGUACUUAAUCUUCUAGAAGACCCUCCUCGCAAAAGGGUUCUUCCUGCAAAACUUAUAGGGAUUAUAGAAUUCUCAUUAUUAUCAUUUAAAAAUUAUUUUUUAUCAUCUACAUCUAAUUCGUAUGUUAUAGGAAUUUUAUAAUCCUGUAUGAUAGGUUCUAUUAAGGUUGCUAUAUCCUCACAUUCUUUAUUUAUUUCUAUAUAUGGUUUAUUUCCAUAAAUUUCUCCAUAAUUUGAGUUACAAAAACUAUAUAAUGCUGAAUAGAGUAUAGUCAUUAAUCUAUUUCCUUCUUUUAUUAAGUUCUUUUUUAGGAGUUUAAAAUGUAGGCUUAAAGUUUCAUCUAUGUUUUUUUCUUUUAUAUGUACACAGUAUCUAGGGUGACAUGCAAAUAGUAAUUUAGUAUAACAUAAGUUUCCUUCUACUGUUCCUAGAUGUCCUAUGCUAGGAUCAUGAAAUCUUUGGUCAUGGAUUGAUAAAACUAUUGGGCUAUCUACCCCUUCUUUGAAGAGAGAUUUUAUCAAAAUUUGGAUUUCAGCUAAAUAUACAUAUUGUAUUUUUUCUUUCGUUGAUUCAUUCUUUAUUUUUCUUAAGGCUAAAUCUAUUGUUCUUUUAUUUAUUAAACUGAAUCGUAUAUUUCCUUCAGCUUGUGUUAUAGUUACAGCUUUUUCUUGUUCAUAGUAUUCAUGUAAGAUUAUCCUUUUUCUUUUAAAUAAAUCUCUUAGUUUUUGUAAGAUACCAUACUCUGGUUUUUCCACAUUUAAUCUUAAAAGUUUAUUAUAUUUUUCCUUAUUAAAAGUGGCUACUAAGCUAUAUCCACUUUUGUUUUCUUCUCUUUCUAUUUCUUCAAUGUCUUCUAUUUCUUCUUUUUCCAUUAUGUCUUUUUCUUUAUUCUGAUUCAUUUUCCUCCUCUUUUUCCAUAUAUACCUCCAUCCCUUCGUAUUCUGACAUGCUUGUUAUUUCUUCUAAUUCAUCUUGUAUUUGAUCAAAAUCUUCUUGUAAAAUUCUAACCUUUUUCUUUUUACAAUCUGUACUGAUAUGUCCUAUUUCACCACAAUUCCAGCAUUUGCAUUUUGAUUUAUCUACUAAUUUUCUUUGGUUUUUAUGUUUCCUUUUGUAGUAUUUCCUUCCAGGUUUCCUGUAUUUAUUUUUAAAAUUGUUAUAUUUUUUAUAUCUUUUUUCUUUUUUAUGCCAUUUUCUUUUUCUAUUAUAGGCUAUAGAACAUCCCCAUUGCGUUGGCAUUUCUGUCUUUUCACAACAUAUUUCUGUUAUGUUUCUACUCUUUUUUAUUAGAUUUCUCUGGAUACAUAUACCACUAAGUCUUGUAUUUACAAAUCUUAUUCUAGAUCCUAAGUUAUCUGGGAGUUUAUUUGAAGUACUAAUUUUCUCAUAUUCAUUUAUAAAGUAACUAUUCCAAGGGUAUGGUAACUUGGAGUAAUAUAGGUUUUUAUAAACUUCUUGAUCUUCUAAACUCACAUAUUGUUCAUAGUAAUAUUUACUAAAUUCACAAGUAUAUUCUUUGAUAAAACACAUAUUGCAUAUUGUUAAGUUUAAUAGAUUUAAUCUUGCUCUUUGUUUUUCAUUAUUUGCUUCUCGCUCUGAAUUUUCUAACCAAUCUUCUCCUAGAAAUUCUCUGGCAAUAUAUUCAAGUAUUCUUUCUAUUCCUAGAGCAGUGCUCCUUCUAAAAGCUAUUUUGGUUGAAUCUUUUAUUAACAUUUGUGUAUCAUCACUUAAUCCUCUCCACCAGUUAAAUAUAUUUCCUGUAAAACUGGUUAUUAAGAUGUCUGUAAAUAUGUCUAUUUUUUCUUCAUUGGUAGUUACAUUCCAGUCAUCAUUAGCUCCAUUAUAUGUGAAGAAUAGCUUCAUUUGCAUUCCCCAUUCUGCUAAUGUUUUUCGAGGGUUUUCCUUGCAAUCUAUAUUUAGAAAUGAUCCACUAUUGCUUAUAGGUACUAAUGUAUCCUGAUUGGGUUUGUAUUCUUUUUUCCAGGGAGUAGCUUUUACUUUAGGUGUAUAUUCAUAAAAAGGUUUAUUAUUUUUCUUAGGUAUAAACCUAUGGCUAGGUUCUGCAACAUUUGGUUUCAUCUCUGGUCCUCCUGCUGUAUUCAUUUUUAUUUGGUAUUCUUUUUCAAAUUCUUCUAAAUCACUAAGAUUUAUGUCACUAAAUUUUUCAGUUAAAUUUUCUAUUGUAUCUUCCAUUAUUCAGAAUUAGACUCAGUUUGUUCUUUUAUUUCUAAUUUCUCUUUUCCUUUUUCCUUCUUUUUUAUUUCUGCUUUUAAUUCUUCAGCUUCUUGUAAUAUUUUUGGAUAUUGUGUUUCCAUAAACCAGUAGUCAUAACUACCUUUUUGGGGUUUUUGUGUAGGUUUCUUAAAGUUUGUUCCAAUAAUACCUGAUUUUAUUAUCUCAAGUCUUUCUAUUUUCUUAUUUUUCUUUUGCCCUUUUUGUAACAAGGAUAUUUCUAUCUUUAAUUUUCCUAUCUCUUGUCUUAUUUCUUUUAUUUCUUCUUUUAGAUUUAAAAGUAUCUCUUUUAAUUCUAUUAUUGUGGUUUCCAUAAAGUACAAGGGAGUUUAUUAAUAUUUUGUUUAUUUGAAUGUAUGUUACGUUGCAUGUAACAUAGGCUUGGCCUUUUUUUUAACUUCUUUUUCCUACCGUUAAAUUUCUCAUGAAUGUCAGUGAGUGGGAUCUAGCUACGGUACCACCGUGGUACCCUGCCACUGGUUUUGUCUUUUGUGUCAGUAGUGUUGUAAAAUUUCAUAGAGCCCCUUUCAUUCCUUUUUAUUUAAACUUUACCUCAUAAAUAUUAAAUUAAUUUCUAUUGCAUCCAUAUAAACAUUAUAAUAGCACCUUAUACUAUUUGUUAUUUAUACAUUUUUCUUCUAUAUUGCACAUUUAUCACAAUACCCCUCUCUUUACCACAAAUAUCAACAAACCCGACCCGAAUUUCGUUUCUGUUUUCGUCCACGCCACCGGCCAAGGUUGGUACCGAUCAGAAGAUCGUGCGACGCCGAUCAUUUCCACGCCAUCCUUGUCGAAAAAAUAACCGGGUCAACCUGACCCGCGAACCCGACCCGAAUUUUGUUUCCGUUUCCAGCUACUCCACCGGCCAAGGUUGGUACCGAUUAGAAACUCGUGCUGCGCCGGUCAUCUCCAUGCUAUCCUUGUCGCCAUAAAGCAUUCAGAAAGAUGCCGAUCGAAGUCGUGAAAGUUACAGAAUCCCUGCUUCAAUUCGCGGCGGUUUCUCCGGUUUCCGGUGACGCCACCACUUGUGGCUUGUUCUCCACAAUUCCCUCUGUCUUUUCUGACCAACCACAGCCACCAGAGGAGCCGAUUUACCAUUGAUCGACCGUUGAAGGAUUCAUGGGUUUGGGAGAAAUGAACUUAAUAUUUGUGAAGCAAAGUUCAAAUAAGAAUAAGUGAAAGGGCUUCAUGAAAUUUUACACAGAAAAGACAAAAGCGGGGGCAUGGUGCCACUGUUGCACGAUAGGCGAGUCCUUAUUUGUAUAUCUAUUUCUUAAAAAAAUAAAAAAUCAUAAAGUCCGGCAACGACAGUAUAGCACUUAAUGGUAACAGGAGAAUUCAAUGAAAUGCCAAAAUGCCACCUUGCGCUGUCCAAUUAACCUAUAACUUUAACACUAUUUACAUGCAAUUAUAACUAUCUAUCUCAGUUAUUAAGAAUCUAGUUGACUUGGAAGCAUGAGCCUUCUCCUGUAUGAAUUUAGUUUGGCAUUUUUGCAUUAUUCAGAUUACCCUUGAGACUUGAGAUCACAACUGCCUGCCUCUGCAUUUUCCUAAUCAUCCCUCUUGUCUAAUCUCUAGAGUUCUCUGAAAUCUCUUCUUCAUUUUCUGUCUCCCGUUUCUGUAUCGUUCUUGUCCUCGAUCCUACACCUUCUUUGCAAAUCUUUCAUUGCACUCGCUUUUCAAUUUGUCUUAGCAGAAAAUGGAUCCCCCUUUGUUUCAUCUCCAGAUUUUUCACUGCUUUCCCCUCCUCCUCCUUAAAUCUAUUCAACCUUUUAUUUUAACAAUUUAUCCAAACUUCUUAUUUCCCUCUUCACAACUGAUUGAUUAGUUCUGCUCAGUUUGAUUAGUUUUGUUUUCCCCUGUUUUCUAAGAGCAAAAAAUAAAAAAGAAAGGGAUAAUGGAUAUUGUUAUUUCCGUUGCUGCAAAAGUUACAGAGUACUUGGUUGCUCCUAUAAUUCAUCCAUUUACUUACUGCUGCACUUAUAAGACCAACUUCGAGAAGGUGAAUAAUGAAGUCGAUAAGCUCAAGAAUGCUAGAGACAGUGUGCAAUAUAAGGUUGAUGAUUCCAGAAUUGAAGGGGACGGAAUUCAACACCACGUUGAGAAGUGGAUGAUUACUGUGGACAAGGCCAUCAAUGAAGUCGAAACACUUAUUGAAGACAAAGAGAAGUCAAACAACCGGUGUCUGAAAGGGUUGUGUCCUAAUUUGAAGACUCGGUACCAGCUUAGCAAGAAAGCAGAAAGAGAAGCGAAUGCUAUAGUUGGACUCUAUGAAAGAGGGAGAUUCGACAGUGUUUCUUUCCGUACCAUUCCAUGUUGAUGCUAGAUUCUGGUUGUCCUCGUUCUACGACCAGGGUCUCUGCUCGAUCAACUUCACCACGACCAGGAUCUCUCCUCGUAAAGCUUCUUCUCCAGAGGUUCCUACGCACACAGACAGGUCAGAGUACGCCGGUUGUUUUCCCGGCGCAAACCCUCCAACGCUCAAGUCAGAUAUGAAGGUUCGGGGAACGCUUGCCACAGAUCUUAUGGCUUUUGGGUAGUCUUCUCUUCUUUAGAAUUGCUUUUAUCUCUCUUCUAAUCUCAAAAUUGCUAACCCUUUUACCUUCGUUGGCUACAUUUUUAUAGGCCUCCUCUGAAUCCCAGUUUUCCACAGUCUACGUCCGUUAUCCUCCCACCUCUUGAACGUGGAUUCCCCAUUUUCGUAGUUGUGGGUGGUUGCGUGGCCUUCGUGCCUAGAUUCUCGGGCUGGAGAGCAUGCCUCGCCAACUGUCGUUGACCGGGUCUCCUCGAAUCAACCCUUAGCAAGAAUACAACAUGAAUGGCUUUAUGCUUCUUACAGGAAAUUGGCCUCGCAGAUGACGUGCUCGUGGAUGAGCAGGAUAUUCCUGCCCCUGUUCCCCUGCUACCUGGCUCUUACAGGACACACCUGCUCGCAGACUUCUGCCAACAAACAUCUGCUCAUCACGUCUGGUCUCGUCGGAGUAUUUCCCUCAAACACCGGUCCCCCAGUUUCUGGUGUUGGGUAAUGUAAUGGACCAGCAGUAGAAACUUAGUGGUUCUUGGUCGCGCGGGACUGGAAAAGGCUGCCAAGAGUCAUAUCGCAUUUAAUUGCGGACGAGGUGAUGUGGCAGAAAUAUGCCCCUCUAUUCGAAUUUCAAACCAACGGUUAUGAGGCCCUUGGGGUCAAGUUGCACAAAUAGACGGGAAGGAUUAUCGCGUCCCACCCCGUUUCACGGUCCCAGGUUGCCUGCUCGCUUUAGAUGUCUUGUGUCCGUAAUUGUUCUCGCUUUGUUGGUUUGUCUCUAACCAAGUGUCUGUUUGUGUUGUAGUUUCUUGGGGUGUUCAUUUCUCGCUCAAACCUGGCCAGCUCAAACGGGUCGAGGCUGUGCUAGCCAAUUCCUGCUCGAGCCGGGAGCUGAUAACUAUAUACAACUUGCUCGAGUCUCGCUUGAUACUCCCUGGUCAUAAGAUGGAGGACGCUGUGAUUGGGGCUCUGAACAGGAAACGUUCUCGACCUCAAACCACGAAGAGAGACCAGAAUAAGGACGCCCCUACUGCAAAGCGGGCCAACUUCGUGCAGCAGGUCUCUCCCUUGAAGAUUUUACCUCCUGCUCCUGCCAAAGUCGGGGAAACUAGUGGAGCAGCCACCGAUCCUGCUUCUUCUUCUCCUCCUGUCGGGCCUCGAUCUCGCUUACCUGACAGCCGAGCAGAACACUUGGUCCCCUAUCUCAAUGAGUUAUCUAAACUCGUGAGCAAGAAGGACCUGGAGGACUUUGAUGGCUGCACUCUGGGCGAGCUGGUGGGAGCCAUGCAGUAUAGCGCUUUCCAUCUCAGCUGCAUGACCACCUACUAUAAGGCCAAGGUCGGCCGUUAUGACAGGAAGAUGAAGGAGGACAUUCAGUCAGCGAUGACCAGAGCUGACGGCGCCGAGAAGAAAGCAGGAGCGCUGAAUGUCGAGAACCUGAAGCUGAUAGAGCAAGAAUCUCUUGCUCAAGCGAAAGCCAUUACCCUCGAGGAGGAGCUGACCAAGGUCAAGGAGGAUCUUCAAAGGCAGAAGGCUAUGUAUGAGGCUCAGCUCGAAUCUCUCCGUGAUUCCCAUCGGGUUCAGGUCGAGAACUUAGAGAAGGAGGCUGACAACCAGUACGACCAGGGACUUCGGCAUUCUUAUCGUUGCAUCAUGGCCGUCCUCGGGAAGCAACACCCUGAUCUGAAGAUGGAUGACCUUGCAGCUGGUGUUGCUCAACAUAUGGACGAGGAGGCGGCCAGGGAAGACGCUGAAGGGGUAGAGCCGAUCGUGAUUGAGGAGGAAAACUCUCUUCCUCGUGCAGUACCUGCUGAUGUUGGCGAGGCGAGCACCCCCCCCGGAUGCAACUGGUGAUACCCCCCUGCACCUGAGGAGGUCCAACCAACCGAUGCUGCUCGGCUUACUGAUCCACCAUCUUCUUGAUAUAUUUCUUGUAUUGUAAUGAACAAUGUUUGUGAAGAUUAUCUCCUCUGUUAAUUAUUAACAAAUUAAUAAAGAUGUUUUUGAUUACUUUCUUGUGUUGUAAUCAUAAGUUAUUUUUCGUUUGAGAAUCUGCUCGUCUUUGUCUGGUCGAGCAGGUUCUGGCUUGGCACAUGGUUUUGCCACAUGCCUUUGAAAAUUCUUCAAUGCUUGGGAUUCUGCUCGCCUUCGCGUGGUCGAGCAGAUCCUGGCAUGCUUGGCUUCUGGUCUCGCCAUAAGACAGGCUUUGAGACUUGGUGAGCUUUUGCAUGCCUUAGGAAUUUUUUCGAAUGCUUUGGAGUCUGCUCGCCUUCUCGUGGUCGAGUAGAUCCUGGCACGCUUGGCUUCUGUCUCGCCAUAAAACAGGCUUUGAGACUUGGUGAGCCUUUGCAUGCCUUAGGAAUUUUUUCGAAUGCUUUGGAGUCUGCUCGCCUUCUCGUGGUCGAGUAGAUCCUGGCACGCUUGGCUUCUGUCUCGCCAUAAAACAGGCUUUGAGACUUGAUGAGCCUUUGCAUGCCUUUGAUAAUUUCUUGAAUGCUUUGGAGUCUGCUCGCCUUCUCGUGGCCGAGCAGAUCCUGGCACGCUUGGCUUCUGGUCUCGCCAUAAACAGGCUUUGAGACUUGUCGAGCCUUUACAUGCCUUAGGUAAUUUCUUCAAAGCUUGGGAUUCUGCUCGCCUUCUCGUGGCCGAGCAUAUCCUGGCACGCUUGGCUCUGGUCUCGCCAUAAACAGGCUUUGAGACUUGCUGAGCCUUUGCAUGCCUUCAAUUCUUCAAGGAUAGGGAUUCUGCUCGCCUUCUCGUGGUCGAGCAGAUCCUGGCACGCUUGGCUUCUGUCUCGCCAUAAAACAAGCUUUGAGACUUGAUGAGCCUUUACAUGCCUUUGAUAAUUUUUCGAAUGCUUUGGAGUCUGCUCGCCUUCUCGUGGUCGAGUAGAUCCUGGCACGCUUGGCUUCUGUCUCACCAUAAAACAGGCUUUGAGACUUGAUGAGCCUUUACAUGCCUUUGAUAAUUUCUUGAAUGCUUUGGAGUCUGCUCGCCUUCUCGUGGCCGAGCAGAUCCUGGCACGCUUGGCUUCUGGUCUCGCCAUAAACAGGCUUUGAGACUUGUCGAGCCUUUGCAUGCCUUAGGUAAUUUCUUCAAAGCUUGGGAUUCUACUCGCCUUCUCGUGGCCGAGCAUAUCCUGGCACGCUUGGCUCUGGUCUCGCCAUAAACAGGCUUUGAGACUUGCUGAGCCUUUGCAUGCCUUCAAUUCUUCAAGGAUAGGGAUUCUGCUCGCCUUCUCGUGGUCGAGCAGAUCCUGGCACGCUUGGCUUCUGUCUCGCCAUAAAACAAGCUUUGAGACUUGAUGAGCCUUUACAUGCCUUUGAUAAUUUUUCGAAUGCUUUGGAGUCUGCUCGCCUUCUCGUGGUCGAGUAGAUCCUGGCACGCUUGGCUUCUGUCUCACCAUAAAACAGGCUUUGAGACUUGAUGAGCCUUUACAUGCCUUUGAUAAUUUCUUGAAUGCUUUGGAGUCUGCUCGCCUUCUCGUGGUCGAGUAGAUCCUGGCACGCUUGGCUUCUGUCUCGCCAUAAAACAGGCUUUGAGACUUGAUGAGCCUUUGCAUGCCUUUGAUAAUUUCUUGAAUGCUUUGGAGUCUGCUCGCCUUCUCGUGGCCGAGCAGAUCCUGGCACGCUUGGCUUCUGGUCUCGCCAUAAACAGGCUUUGAGACUUGUCGAGCCUUUACAUGCCUUAGGUAAUUUCUUCAAAGCUUGGGAUUCUGCUCGCCUUCUCGUGGCCGAGCAUAUCCUGGCACGCUUGGCUCUGGUCUCGCCAUAAACAGGCUUUGAGACUUGCUGAGCCUUUGCAUGCCUUCAAUUCUUCAAGGAUAGGGAUUCUGCUCGCCUUCUCGUGGUCGAGCAGAUCCUGGCACGCUUGGCUUCUGUCUCGCCAUAAAACAAGCUUUGAGACUUGAUGAGCCUUUACAUGCCUUUGAUAAUUUUUCGAAUGCUUUGGAGUCUGCUCGCCUUCUCGUGGUCGAGUAGAUCCUGGCACGCUUGGCUUCUGUCUCACCAUAAAACAGGCUUUGAGACUUGAUGAGCCUUUACAUGCCUUUGAUAAUUUCUUGAAUGCUUUGGAGUCUGCUCGCCUUCUCGUGGCCGAGCAGAUCCUGGCACGCUUGGCUUCUGGUCUCGCCAUAAACAGGCUUUGAGACUUGUCGAGCCUUUGCAUGCCUUAGGUAAUUUCUUCAAAGCUUGGGAUUCUACUCGCCUUCUCGUGGCCGAGCAUAUCCUGGCACGCUUGGCUCUGGUCUCGCCAUAAACAGGCUUUGAGACUUGCUGAGCCUUUGCAUGCCUUCAAUUCUUCAAGGAUAGGGAUUCUGCUCGCCUUCUCGUGGUCGAGCAGAUCCUGGCACGCUUGGCUUCUGUCUCGCCAUAAAACAAGCUUUGAGACUUGAUGAGCCUUUACAUGCCUUUGAUAAUUUUUCGAAUGCUUUGGAGUCUGCUCGCCUUCUCGUGGUCGAGUAGAUCCUGGCACGCUUGGCUUCUGUCUCACCAUAAAACAGGCUUUGAGACUUGAUGAGCCUUUACAUGCCUUUGAUAAUUUCUUGAAUGCUUUGGAGUCUGCUCGCCUUCUCGUGGCCGAGCAGAUCCUGGCACGCUUGGCUUCUGGUCUCGCCAUAAACAGGCUUUGAGACUUGUCGAGCCUUUGCAUGCCUUAGGUAAUUUCUUCAAAGCUUGGGAUUCUGCUCGCCUUCUCGUGGCCGAGCAUAUCCUGGCACGCUUGGCUCUGGUCUCGCCAUAAACAGGCUUUGAGACUUGCUGAGCCUUUGCAUGCCUUCAAUUCUUCAAGGAUAGGGAUUCUGCUCGCCUUCUCGUGGUCGAGCAGAUCCUGGCACGCUUGGCUUCUGUCUCGCCAUAAAACAAGCUUUGAGACUUGAUGAGCCUUUGCAUGCCUUUGAUUCUUCAAGGAUUGGGAUUCUGCUCGCCUUCUCGUGGUCGAGCAGAUCCUGGCACGCUUGGCUUCUGUCUCGCCAUAAAACAGGCUUUGAGACUUGACGAGCCUUUGCAUGCCUUCAAUUCUUCAAGGAUUGGGAUUCUGCUCGCCUUCUCGUGGUCGAGCAGAUCUUGGCACGCUUGGCUUCUGUCUCGCCAUAAAACAGGCUUUGAGACUUGAUGAGCCUUUGCAUGCCUUUGAUUCUUCAAGGAUUGGGAUUCUGCUCGCCUUCUCGUGGUCGAGCAGAUCCUGGCACGCUUGGCUUCUGGUCUCGCCAUAAACAGGCUUUGAGACUUGGUGAGCCUUUGCAUGCCGUUGAUAAUUUCUUGACCAGUACAGUUGGCUGAAACUCCUCAUUGAUUCAUUUAUUAUUGAAUUCGGCUUACAUGAGAUUGCUUUGACAUAAAACAUAAAAAAUGAAAGAUAAAGAGCACGAGCAGAAAUUGCUUUAAAAUGUGAACAAGUCUUACUGGAAGUAUUUUCAUAGGUGUACUGCGUUCCACGGGCGUUUCACCUCGUGGCCGUCCGUGCGAACCAGCUUGUAAGCUCCGGGUCCCACUAUCUGCUUGACUCUAUAUGGCCCUUCCCAAUUCGGUCCCAGGCUUACUGUCUCCAGAUCCUCUACAGACUCUUGUCUGUCAUUCUUGUUUUCCACUCGGGUAUCAAGCGAUGUUAUCUGCAUUGCAUCCUUUGCUGCCGAGGAGUAGCAGCUUCUCGCAAUUCGUUGAGCCUCAUAUCACCCCCUUGUGCACUACUUCCUCCCGUCUCCAUUGCUUUUCACUUGCUUCACUCCUCUUCUUGCUAUCAACAGAAGCUUUUUGAUCAGCCCCCCACAGACGGCGCCAAAAUGUUGAUGCGAGAUUCUGGUUGUCCUCGUUCUACGACCAGGGUCUCUGCUCGAUCAACUUCACCACGACCAGGAUCUCUCCUCGUAAAGCUUCUUCUCCAGAGGUUCCUGCGCACACAGACAGGUCAGAGUACGCCGGUUGUUUUCCCGGCGCAAACCCUUCGACGCUCAAGUCAGAUAUGAAGGUUCGGGGAACGCUUGCCACAGAUCUUAUGGCUUUUGGGUAGUUUUCUCUUCUUUAGAAUUGCUUUUAUCUCUCUUCUAAUCUCAAAAUUGCUAACCCUUUUACCUUCGUUGGCUACCUUUUUAUAGGCUUCCUCUGAAUCCAAGUUUUCCGCAGUCUACGUCCGUUAUCCUCCCACCUCUCGAACGUGGAUUCCCCAUUUCCGUAGUUGUGGGUGGUUGCGUGGCCUUCGUGCCUAGAUUCUCGGGCUGGAGAGCAUGCCUCGCCAACUGUCGUUGACCGGGUCUCCUCGAAUCAACCCUUAGCAAGAAUACAGUAGGAAUGGCUUUAUGCUUCUUACAGGAAAUUGGCCUCGCGGAUGACGUGCUCGUGGAUGAGCAGGAUAUUCCUGCCCCUGUUCCCCUGCUACCUGGCUCUUACAGGACACACCUGCUCGCAGACUUCUGCCACUAAACAUCUGCUCAUCACGUCUGGUCUCGUCGGAGUAUUUCCCUCAAACAUUCCAGAGGAGACAUGGCUUAAGUCUACCCGGGAUUUCAUGCACUUUGAAUCGAGAAAGUCCACCUUGAAGGAGAUACUAGACGCACUCAGCAACCGUAACUUCAACAUGAUUGGAGUGUACGGGAUGGGCGGCAUUGGAAAGACCACGCUGGUGGAAGAAGUUGGCAGACAGGCCAAGGAAAAUAAUCUCUUUGAGAAGUUCAUUUCUUCACGUGUUUGCCAAACACGGCAAAUAAAGAACAUACAAGGAGAAAUCGCUGAGAAGAUAGGCUUAGAAUUGGCUGAACAGAGUCAUGAAACUGUGAGAGCAGGGAGGCUGCUUGAACGAUUGAAGAAAGAGACGAAGAUCCUUAUAAUCUUGGAUGAUAUUUAGGGGAGUCUUGAUUUGGAGGCGAUUGGAAUUCCAUUGGCAGAUGACAACGGCGGAUGUAAAGUUCUGCUGACAGCAAGAAGUCAGGAUGUGUUAUCUUGUAAGAUGGAUUGUCAACAAAAUUUUUUUGUUGAUGUUCUGAACGAAAAAGAAGCUUGGAGUCUUUUCAAAAAGAUGACAGGUGAUUGCAUACAAAAUGGUGAACUGAAAUCUGUAGCAACAGAGAUAGUCAAGGAAUGUGGUGGUUUGCCGAUUGCCAUUGUACCCGUAGCAAGGGCAUUGAGAAAUAAGAGAUUGUCUGAAUGGAAGGAUGCUUUGCUGGAAUUUAGAAGGCCUUCCUUGAGAAACUUCACUGGAACAACGCAGGUGGCGUACAAAAGUAUAGAGCUAAGUUACAAUCAUUUAAACGGAGAGGAACUGAAGAAAACAUUUUUGCUAAUAGGGUACACGUUCUUCUCUUGUGUUGAAGACCUACUCUAUUAUGGCAUGGGUUUGGGUCUGUUUCAAAACAUCAACACGUUGGAAGAGGCACGGGAUAGAGCACAUACAUUGGUUGAUAAACUCAAGAACUCUUGUUUGUUGCUUGAUGGCCGUUCAAGUGAAUGGUUUUCAAUGCAUGAUGUUGUUCGUGAUGUAGCCAGAUCAAUUGCAUCAAGAGACCAACAUGUGUUUGCGGUGGAAAAUGAGGUUGUUCCGCUCACCAGCUGGCCAGAUAAGGAUACACUGAAGGUUUGCACCGCAAUCUCCUUAAAGAAUAGUAAUAUUAGUGAGCCUCCUCAAGGGUUCGAAUGCCCGCAACUUAAAUUCCUUUGUAUUGGCUGUCAUGCUUCUUUGAGGAUCCCAGAUAAAUUUUUUACUGGGAUGACAGAGCUUAGAGUUUUAGAUUUCACUAAGAUGCAUUUGUUGGCAUUGCCUUCAUCGCUUGGUCGCUUGCAAAACCUUCAAACAUUGUCUCUCGAUGAUUGUGAACUAGGAGACAUGGCCAUUAUCGGAGACCUAAAGAAAUUAGUCAUCCUUGCGCUUCGAGGUUCUGAUAUGGAGGAACUGGCUGGAGAGAUAGGCCAGCUGACUCAAUUGAGGUUGUUGAAUUUGCGCCUAUGUUACCGACUGAGAGUUAUUCCCCCAAAUGUGAUAUCAAGCUUAUCACGAUUAGAAGAACUUUAUAUUGGUGAGAGUCCCAUUGAGUGGGGGAGGGUUGAAGGAGUCGACGGUGAAAGAAGAAAUGCCAGCCUUGAUGAGUUGAAUAAUUUAUCUAAAUUGACCUCUUUAGAAAUACUCAUCCAAGAUGAAAAGACUCUAUCAAGAGACUUGUCGUUCUUCAAAAUGCUGCAAAGGUACAGGAUAUCUAUAGGACAGUUGUCGCAGUUUAUUGUGGUUCCCACAUCGGAUGGGAUUUCUAGAAUAUUGAACGAGGGGCGUAUCAUGCAAUUGAAGGGUAUUGAAGGCCUAUCUCUAGAUGGAUUGAUCGACAUGAAGAAUGUUCUUUUUGGAUCAGACAGAGAAGGCUUUCCAAAACUGAAGGGUCUCCGAAUCGAAAAUAAUGGCAACCUUUCUUGUGUUGUUGACACAAUGGAUUGUACGCCAGCUCGGACGACUGCAUUCCCCCUUUUGGAGUCAUUAUUUCUGAGAGAUUUAAGGAACCUUGAGGAAAUAUGUCGUGGUCCACUCACAGCAGAGUUUUUUUGCAAAUUAAAGACCAUAAGGGUGGAAGGGUGUGAUAAAUUGAAAAAUGUAUUUGCCGAUGGUCAUAGGCAGAGGCCUUCAACAACUUCAGUCCAUUAAAGUGAGUAGUUGCCCAAAUAUGGAAGUGAUUUUUGCUGCCGAGAGAGGAGAUGAAUCCAGCAAAUUCCCCCUUUUGGAGUCAUUAUUUCUGAGAGAUUUAAGGAACCUUGAGGAAAUAUGUCGUGGUCCACUCACAGCAGAGUCUUUUUGCAAAUUAAAGACCAUAAGGGUGGAAGGGUGUGAUAAAUUGAAAAAUGUAUUGCCGAUGGUCAUAGGCAGAGGCCUUCAACAACUUCAGUCCAUUAAAGUGAGUAGUUGCCAAAAUAUGGAAGUGAUUUUUGCUGCCGAGAGAGGAGAUGAAUCCAGCAAUAAUAACGGUACUGAAGUGAUUGAACUCACUCAAUUGAGGACACUUGAGCUUCGUUCUCUUCCGCAGCUUACAAGCUUCUGCACAGGUGAUCUGCAUUUUGAAAAGGUACACGUGCAAGAUUUUUUUAAUUAUUUUUCAAUUCUUACGUACUGAAAAGUAUUUCUACUUUGAGAGUUCAGAGUUUUAUUGUCGUCAUCGCCCUCAUCACUUCGUCUUUUAGUAACAAAAUGUUAGUUCUAUAAAUCAGUUUAUUUAAUUAUACUUUAUAAUAUCCGUACAAACAUAAUAAUUAUUUUUUUUUUGGAUGUCAGUUAGACCGAAUGAAAAAAAAAAGAUAUAUAGUAAACAAUUAUUUUUUUCCUUCUUAUUCAAUUUUUUUUUCUCUUAAUUAUCAGAGUUUUUCUUCUCCCUCUACUUUUUAUUUUAUGUCUACAUGUUUAGUUAAAUACACGGAAAGAGACAGUGCAUUUGAUUAGCCAAAUAAAGAAAAUACUCAUAAGAUCUAGAGGCUUUCAAGGCACAGUUAAUUCCCUAAAAAUCGUUCAAGAGCUAUUUCCAAAUUAGUACUCCUUAGUACAGUAUUGUUACAUACAAAAUGAUUAUCAAUUUUGAUGUUGAAGAAGAAAUUGGUCAUCUCGUGUUAACAUAAAUAAUAUUUUUAAAAUAUAUAUAGAGAGAUGGACAAAACUCAAAUUAAGAAAUCUUAUUCUAUUAAACUUUAUGUACAAUAAAAUCCAUUCUUGCACAAUAGUAAAUAUAUCCAAUUCCAUUGAGUUGGAUGAAUAUUAAUGAAAUACCAACUUCUUACUAUAUUAUUAAACUUUUAAAAUUCAUAUUAUUUAUUCAUUUCUGCUUUAAGAAAAAGUUAAAAACUCCAAUAUUUUUUUUAAAUAUAUAGAAAUUUGUAAGAUUUUCAAUUCAAACCAAAUAAACGGAUCAAUUAAAAGAAUCUCAAAGUUUAAAUGCAAUUUGAGAAUAAUUGAAGUCUUUUUCAUAGAGAUUAUGCACAAAUCUAAAAAAAUUUGAAAAUCUAUCUACUGGACAAGAGUUAAGAACAGAGAAUGGAAGAAAAUACACACUACUUAAAUGGAAUGCUUUGUAUUUACAGCUGAAAAUCAUACUCUCUCCGCAUAUGUAUAAAUUUGUCCGGCCAUCAAUAUGCAUCAUUGGAAUGCUUUGUAUUUACUGUAAUUUUUGAAAUCGUUAGAAAGAAGUGUUAACUCCAUCUUGCUUUUUUCGUGAUUGAUGAUCACCCAGGUGUUCCCCAAUUUGGAGAAAUUGAGUGUUGAUGAAGAGCACAUAGGCCUAUUUCCAGAAGACUGGCUUUGCAAACUUAAAUGUCUUGCUGUCGGGAUUGAUGAGUCAAGUACAAUUUUAUCACUUGACGAUUUCCUCCAGAGAUUUCACACCAUCAAAAUUCUCUCUAUAGGAGGAGACUAUUUUGUUUGGGGAGAAUCAUUUGAAAACCUUGAAAAUGGGAUGAAUGCAAGGAUGAGAGGGAUAAACCAGCGUCGUGAACUGAAGCAGAUUUUCAAACAAGAGUCAACCAAUACCAACAAUUUGGAAAAGCUGGAGAUAUUCGAGUGUAACAAUUUGACUAAUCUAGUGCCAUCCUCGACAUCCUUUCAGAACCUAACAACUUUGACGGUGUGUUUUUGCCAUGGAAUGAUAAACGUACUAACAUCCUCAACAGCAAGGAGUCUGGUGCGACUGAGACAAAUGGAGAUAGGUUGCUGCAAGAUGAUAACAGAAAUAGUGGCAGAUGAGGAUGAUGAGGGAGAUAAUUAUGCAGCAAAAGAGGAAAUUGUUUUCAGCGAAUUAAAGGAAUUGAAGCUUUUUAACUUAGAAAGUCUGACAAGUUUCAGCUGCUCUGGGAAUAAUUGCGACUUCAAAUUCCCAUCUUUGGAAACAUUAGUGGUGGAAAAUUGCCCCAAUAUGAAGAUUUUCUCAGAAGGGGAAUUAAGCACACCCAAGUUACAGAAAGUGCAGCUGAGCCAUCUCAAUAAAAAACUUUGGGCUUGGGAUCGGGACCUUAAUACAACCAUUCAAUACGUAUAUCUUAAAAGGAAAAAGGUAAGUAUUCAUUCACACUGAGAUGUUGAUUUUUUUUUUCUAAAAAUUACUGAUUUAAUAACAGAUAUAUAUAAAGAAGUAAAAAGAAAAAAGUACAUAUUAAUUUUUUUUUAUAAAUUCAUUUUAAAUCUUAUUAGGAAGAGAAGGAAAAAAAGAAUGAGAAGUCCGCUGAGGCGAAUGAAAAGGAGAAAGAUGCAAAAGAUAGUGGUAAGAUAAAAUCUAAACAAUUUGAAAGGUUUUGAUUUUAUUCUAUUUUGCUGACUAAAAAUGUUUUAUUUAUGUUGAAUUUUUUGUUAAAUCAUAUUGGUACAUCUUUUUAAAAUAUAACUACUCUGCUCUAUUGUUAUGUUGAGGAUUAGUUGUUAGAAAGACAUAGCGAAAAAUAAAAGAAUAAAAAAUGAAAUUAAUUGCUUACUGAGAGAAUUGAAGGAUUUAUGUGUCCUUAAUAGAGGCUAAUUUGUGCAAUUUAAUUAUGUGAAAACUGCACCUUCAAUGUGUUUUUACUCUUUGUCUACAGAGUCUCCAAACUUAUGAAGACGAUUCAUGCUACUUGUGCAGCAUUUUGGAUAAGGCUCGAGCUCUAGUUCUUUGUAUAUAUUAAGAGUCAGAUGGUGUUGGGGCGAGGAUUUUUGUUUCAGUUUUCAUUUAUUAUUAUGCUCAUAGCUUUGUUUGAGUACUCAGAAAUCCAAUUUGAAGCUAGUUUUAUUUCUUAUGGAUGGUGUCCAAGAGCUGCCAUAUUCAAUUUGUAGGCAUCUGAAAAUCUCUUUAAGCCCUAAUUAAUUAAAGAGAUGUGUGCAUCAUAUUUGUGUUUGUGCACCUAUUGGUAUUUAUUGGAGACAAUUUUGCGAGAAAUUAUGUGAUUUCAUGAAAAUAUCAAGAAUUUAUAAAGAAAAUUAUAGAAAAAUAAAAGUUUAUGUUGAAGCAACAUGUGAAUUUAUAAAAAAAAAGUCACACAAGCUCUAAUUUUGUAUAUAUUUUAUGAACAAUAAUAGCAAGUAAAAAAAUUAUUUAAUGAUUUGAAGCAAGUCAGCUGAGACCAAGUGUUUUUAUUAUUUAGGGAAUUAGAUCAUGAAUGGUAAUCUUUCAUUUGAUCAAUUACCUCAAAAUACUCUCAUUUUACGAAGAACGUCAAAUAAUCAAAACUUAAUCGUCAUUAAUUAAAAGCUACUGUAGAAAGCUUGAACGGUCUUCCAAAUUGCAGGUUGGAAGAUGUGGACGGCAUUAGCAACUGUCAGGAAUCUUCAUCCAAGUUGCGAGCCACCCGAUCCGAGUCUCAUCAUUUACUAUUUUUUUUUUAACCUUUUUAAUUUCAUUUUCGUUUACUUUUGAGAAAAGGAAAAUGUAAAGAUUGAAUAAGAUAAGAAUCAUUUGUUUGAAAAUUGAAAAAUGAUUGGAAGACACAAAAUUGAAUUUUAAAAAAUAUAUAUUGAAAAUGAUAUCGUUCUGGUUCUAAUUUAGAAAAAAAAAAUUCACCUAAAAUGACAUUAUUUUAAGUAUAUUUUUGUCAAUUUUGUUGACUGAAAAGCCAACGACUCAAGGAGUGGGCCAACUGUUCAAAUAUGUGACAAGCUUGCGUGGGAGCUGAGGUUGUGGGCCUGUGGCCAGUGGCACAAUCUACUGGUGCUCGGUUCCGUGAUGGAAUAAACGAAUCCCAUCAUGAAAUCUAUGGCUGGUGGGAUAAUCUAUUGGUCUACUUAUAAUCCGAUUUUGGGAUUCUCACUCUUAUCAUCACCUCACAUUUCGCGCAAGUUUUUUUAAUUCUUCGUCCACUCUUUGCGUUCAUUUCAAUGAAAAAGAAAAAGAAAUUAAUAUAAUCGAACACACUACCUCAGUUAAUUUAGUUCUGCUGACUUAAUUUUUUUUUAAAUAUAAAGUCAGUGAGUGCCGCUGUACAAAUCAAAUUAUUGGUUACCAUUGGGCCGACACACAUCUCAAGACUCUGCAAGUCUUUCUCCAUCUCAAUCAACAUACUCAAUCGUCUUUGUUAGGGUGAUUAUACGACCAGAGCACCAGCCACACAUGCUUUCACCUGGUCGAGGUAAGAAUCUCCUCGGGUCGGUGUAUUAUGAGCAGACACAAUAAUACCAGGGUCCUCUUCGAUGUAUGGCUAAAAGUCGACCAGAGAACUAUUCCUUAAAUAUCGGACACGAUACCAUAUCUAGGCGACGGUUCCCGACCAUGCGGGGAAAGCCACGAUAACGGAUGCACGAUUUUCACAAAUCCUCUAAACCCACGAAGGCUCGAAUAUGGAGGACGUGGGGAUGUUCUAGAUACAUGGGGAGGCUGCCUAUAAAAACCCCAAAAAAACAACAAAAGGAAAAAAGAAAAAAAGGAAAAAGGGGGGAAAACUCAGUCAUUUUGGAUCUAGAACUUAUUUCGAAAAAGCUUUCUGAAACACUUCCUUCAUUUAAGAAUUGUUAGUUUUGAUAGAUGGAUAAUUCAACCUUUUUUUCCCCCCCGAAACCUUGCAUACUGACUUAAGUGUUGGAGGUGUUUGAGGAAUUAAAUAGAGCGACCAUGAUCUCCUCCAAGUGAAAGUGAGCAAAUGGUUGAGCAGACCACCUCGACCAGGUGGUAUGAGCUUGAGCAGAUCACCUUGACCAGGUGGUAUGAGCUUGAGCUGAUGACCAUGUGGUAUGAGCUUGAGCAGAUCACCUCGACCAGGUGGUAUGAGCUUGAGGAGACCACCUCGACCAGGUGCUAUGAGCUUGAGGAGACCACCUCGACCAGGUGCUAUGAGCUUGAGCAGAUCACUUCGACCAUGUGAUAUGUGCUUGAGCAGAUCACCUCGACCAGGUGGUAUGAGCUUGAGCAGAUCACCUCGACCAUGUGCUAUGAGCUUGAGCAGAUCACCUCGACCAGGUGGUAUGAGCUUGAGCAGAUCACCUCGACCAGGUGGUAUGAGCUUGAGCAGAUCACCUCGACCAGGUGGUAUGAGCUUGAGCAGAUCACCUCGACCAGGUGAUGACCAGGAAUCAAGACUCAGUUAAAAUAAACCACCACAAAGCUCCUCCGAAAAAUGAGAGCACGAAUUUGAUCAAUUAAUGGUUAUUGUCACGAUCUAAGGUCGUGGGUGUGGGGUGUUUAUAAAAACCCCGAGAAAACCAUGCCAAAGGGGGAGAAAUGGGGGGCUCUUUUUCUCUUGAUCUCACUGAGAAAUUCUUUCUAGAUACUCUACUUUACUUUUCUGUAAAUUAUUCAAAAAGCUUUUGGUUUUAAGGCAAUGUUUAUUAAGCCAUAUGAGAAACAUCAUAUUUGGUUUUUCCUGUAAACCCCAUAACUGACUUGAGCGUCGGAGAGUUUACGCCGGAAAAACUUCCGGCACCUCUGACCAUUCUCUGUAAUUUCAGGUACUUAUUGAUCGUCAGCUUGAAGAUUAUAUGCUCAUGAAUGUUCUGCUCAUAGUCAGAGAAUAUUCUUGGAGAUCAACCAGCAGCUUCCCACCAAACAAAUUUAAUGCUGAUGCAGGGAUCCGAAAUUGAGUCACUAACCAAGUGGUUCGGAUUUCGGCAUCAACAGGAGGGUUCUGAUACCAAAUUGAAGUUUAAUCAAGCUAUUUGUGCUUGUUUGGUUGUAGAGAAAGUGAGGGAAAAUUUAAUGAGCAUUAAGAGAAAAUAUAAGAAAAACAGAUCAAAUCUUAUUUAACUAAUUAUGAGUACAGAAAGUGAGCUUAUAUACUGAGAUCCAGAACCUUCUACAUUUGCUCACACACGUGUAAAGAAUAAGCUGUGAUUAACUAACUUUCCCAGCUCUAUAACAAACAUACAAACUAACAAUAACAACCUUGCUUACUCAGCUGCCAUAUCAGCAGAACCAUUACAAGAAUAUUCUUUACAUUUAUAUCUCUAACAGCCACAGAGCCCAGUCAUCGGAGGAAUAGAAAUGAGGAGAUCCCUUCAAUAAGGGGGACAGCUCAAUGGGGUGCCUAACAAUGGAGUUGGAACUCAUACUUUGAGAGAAUGUGAGCAUGAAGGGAGAGAUCAAUUACACAACGGACGAAUCUUGGGAAGUUGUAGCAGAGGAGCGAAUGCCGAAAAAAGGGAGCUCAGGCAGCACCUGCUCGGGCCUUGGAACUGGAGGGAGAAGUACGGCAAUUGGCACAAAUAAUAGACGAAAUGCAGGGUAGGAGAAAGCCCCUCAGUUGGAGAAUAAUGCUGGAUGAUUAAUCUCGGCUUUCAGCUGAAAUCAUAGGCACUAUGAUACCAAGAUAUUUUCAUUUUCUCGACCUCAAAUACUCAGGAAAAAGUGGCCUGCUGGUGCACGUCGAGCGCUUCAAUGACAUGACUGGAGUGCAGGGACUAACACCAGCGUAGAGGUGCAGAGUAUUCCCUUUGACAUUGGAAGGACGAACACGAGAUUGGUACCUUCCCUUUGACACCAGCUGGGACUUGCAACUUCCAGGAACCUUCGAUUAACCCAAAAAAAAAAACACAUAUAGUUUGAAAUUAUAUGAUGAUUGAUAGGAAUGUAUUUUUGUAGUAAUCUUUUAUUUGGUCAUUUAUUUUUUGGUAUUCCGUGAAAAGUGUGCAAAAUUAGAUAAUAUUUCUCUGAAACUGGUAUUCCUUGUGCGAAGCAUCACAUGCUGAGAGCUUCGACUAAACUAGUUUCAAUUGUACUUUUACUUACACGCUGCCGCUACAGCUUUGGAAGCGUAAAAAUAUGUGUGCAAUUCCUUCAUUUGAUCAUCUUAACUAAAGAUGUGUGAACUUACCAUUUCUGUGCAUCCCUUUUAUUAUUGUUAUGUGCAACAAUUUUCUGGUGAAUGUGAGAGAUUCUAUUCAAGUUUAUUUUUGUGAUCACGUGCGCACGUCAGGCAUUGCAAGCGUAAAUGCAAAUUAAGUCACCUGAACAUGCAUGCGAUAUAGUAAUUUAUUGUUAUUAUCAAUUAUUCCAUUCUUUUCUUUCGAAACUAAAUUUCAACUACUUGAGAUGUGAAAUUCUUAAUAGCAGAUAUUCUUUGUAUAUGUAUGAUCGGAUCCUGAGUACAGGGCACCUGCUGUCUCUGUUUUUAAUUGAAGCAUGUUUUUCGGCUUGAGUCAUUGAGAAGGCAAGUGAGCUGGAUGUUAUCUGGAUUCGACCUCCUAAAUAAUAACACAACUAACUGAGUCUAUUCACAUUUCGUCUCAUAUUUGACUGGCAAUAGCACAUCAAAAAAGUCUUGUGAGAGUCACCUCGUAUUGAUGUGCUUAAUUUACAAAGAUCAAAACCAGUAUCACGUUGCUUUAGUAAUUUGAAUUUGUGUUGGACUGAGUCGACAAAAAAGUCCUUCACCUCGCACUGAUAAUACAUUUAAAUUACAAAGAUCGAAACCAGAUCUGUCAUUACAUGAAUUGGCUGUAUAAAAUAAUCAACUCACUUCUUAUUCAGUCAUCCGUUCUGUCAGCUCUUCACAUUGGUCCUUUUCUUGUUUCUGUUUUCGUCUGAAAAAAAACCUUUGCUUCUGUUUGUUUUUUAAUCUCACUUUCCUUUGGCCUCCUUCACUUUUAGAUUGUUAUCUGCUUAUUCUACGAUUAAUGCCAUCUUUGAUGAUAUCAAGGCAGAAACAGAGAAGCAAAAGAGUGAAAGUACGGGCAUUCAGCGCGGAGUUUCUGAGACGAAAGCAAAAGGGCAAGAGAUUGAAGAGAAGGCUGAGAACAGUGCGGAACUAGAUCACUACUCAAGUCUCUCACUAAUCUCCUAAAUGGUUGUUUUUGCUUCCAUAGGCUACACUGGUUGGUUCAAAUCACAAAUUUGAGGAUCUUGCUGGAAACAUAUUGUCUAAAAAAUUGCCCAAUUCAAACUUUACUGCGGCUAUUCGAACAGAAAUAAGUGUUCUGUUUGGUUUCACUUUGAAUUCUGCAAUUUUUUGAACAAUAGCUUCCAGCAAGAUCCUCAAUUUGUGAUUAUAACCAACCACUGUAAUCUAUAGAAGGAGAAAUCAUUUAGGACAUCAGUGAAAGAUUUGAGUAAUGAUUAUUCUCACCAACACAUUCAUCAAUUUUUCAUCCAGGCUCAAUUUACAAAAUUAUUAGCGGGUAGCUACCUCGAUUAUGUUUACAGAAAAUAGAGGUUUGUAGGCAAACAAAGAGCAUUGUUAUUUGAACAGCUGCAGGAUAUUCGGAAGACAUGCAGAAAUAUGGGUAUUGCUUAUGCUAUAGUGCCAUUGCAGCAUAAAAUUGACAGCAAUGUUUAUGCCUCAGUACUGUCUUUUUUUGUCUUCUGAUUGUUUUGCUGAUACACAAAUAUCAUUUUCCACAAACAAAACAUGCAAUAGCAUGCUCCAGGAGCAGUUUCUUACACUCUUGAAGUAGCCUACAAUAAGAUCAAAUCGAAUAUUCUCCCUCAAUUUAGUGUUCUAAAACUGAUUUAUAUUUUAACUUAGAAAUCCAAUCUAAAAGCACUAUUAACGAAAGCUCUUCGUGUUUGCAUUAAAAACCAAGAAGCAGCUUUUUUUUUUGUGGGGGAGGGGGGAGAACCUCAGUCAAAUAAGAUAAAAUUACUUUGGAUGGGUUAUUUACAUUCUAGAAAAAAAAAAUAUUUCUGAACACUACUAUACUUUAUUGGCUCAUCUAGUAAAUUUAAAAUUUUUAUUUUUAUUUUGUAUACUCUAUUAAAUGUCAAAAAAAAAAAUCAUCACACAAAACGAGGAUUCAUGAAAACCAUCUGUGUAGCAUCUGAAAUGAGGCCAUUUCUGUAUAAUUUGUGAGGCAUUAUAUUAUAUGGAGCUUGACUUCUUUCUCUUUAUCAAGGGUAAGAUGGCAUUGGUGAUCAAGAGGGUCCCCCUGUUUCUUUGUUUUUAUUAAUAUUACUUCGAAUCCGCUUUCAGGUUGAGUGUCUAACGAUUUGAUUAAAUUUGUGUUUAGUUGAAUGUAUUGGAUUUCUGGAGUAUUUUGGUAGUUAAUGAUGAAACUCGGCAUUAGAUGAACUUACAAUCAUUCUAAUGAUAAAAAUUUUUGUCAUCGAAAGUCAUUGAGUAUUAUUGCGGCAGUAAGCUACAUUGAACUAGCAUUCAAGAAAUAACUAUCAGUAAUUAUUCUGGAUAUUCAACGUGAAUGAAACCUCUAUUACAAUAGUGAAAUGAAUUGAAGUUUUAGUGGAGCUCUGUUUAAUCAAAUCGUGGGAAAUAAAUUCAGUAGCAAAACUGGGAAAUUAUUAGUUGCUCCGUCGAGUCAACCCAAAAAAAUCAUAACAAUGACUGAAAUCAUUUAUAGAACUAAACACAAAUUUAAUCAAAUCAUUAAACGUGUACGUGAUUGCCGCUGGUAUUAAAAUGAAAACCUUUAAUUCACACGUACAUCACUCAGCGUUUGGAAUUCGUCAUUUGGGUCCUCACCUGUAAGCAUCACGUGCACCACUCAUUCUGAGUUUCUGACCAAGUCAAAGUUCAGUUAAGAUUCUUUGCAGCAGGAAGGUGGUUCGGUGACUGGUGAAUAGCUCACUCAACUUGUGAACCGUGAUUAGUCAAAUAAUCAAGUACACGUGGCAUCAUGAAACGCUUCGAAGAAUAACCUCGGAAGGUCUGUCCACUGUCCAGUAUGAUGACAUGUCAGCAACGUUUUACAACAGGAAGCAGCUAUGGUGUAAGCAUGGUAGUGAUCGCGUAGAAGCUGUGUAUGCAUAUCACCCGUCUGUUGAAAUGCUCGCAGUAAUCAAACCUCUUAUAACAUUGCUUCAUCUGUCAAGUAAAAUUUUCCUCGGAGUCAAGAAAUGGAGAACUAACAGGUAUGCAUUUCUUAAACCAUUAGUAUAUUCAAAAACAAGGAUUCGUAUAAAAGCAUAUUAAUGAUUAUGAAACUAAGCAUGACGGAAUCAGCAUUUCUUGAUUUUCUUCAAUAAGCAGAAAUAGUGUUUCCCAAUAAAUUUAUAAAAGAUGCGUUAAAACAUUAUAUUAUAUACUAGUCGAUUGAUUUUUCUUUUAAUCUUCCUGUUAUAUUCCACGACAGAGCUCAUUUAAAGACUUCUGGUCCCGUUUUCAUAAUAAUCGUUGUCCUAAACCUUCUUUGCAGAUCUUUCACUGUGUUCCCUUUUUUUUAUUUCUAGCUUUUUGCUUUUCUUUUUCACAUGGUCUUUGUUUAUAUUUGAUGUUCCCAAAUAUACACGCAACCAUUUGUGACAGCGAAUAUUUUUACCUAGUUGUUGGAUUGUGGCUUUCUGUGUUUUGUCUUUUUGGUCGACUUUAACAUGAUUUAGAGCUUUUGAACGCGUCUUCCAAGUGCACAUGCCGAGUAUAUCCACUGUUCGAUGAAAUGCCCAUUUGAAUAAUUUGAGGACCCACGAGGCCACGCCACUGGUAUUAGACUAAUUGGAAAAGAAAAAAAGAAAAAAAGAUAAUAAGUACAACUGUGAUGCAUUUUCACAUUAACUUUACAAAGUCUGGUUAUAAAUUUAUAAUUUUACGCACAUGAAAUCACCAAAGUAUUAUUUAAUUUAACUCUUCUCAACUGGGGACGUGAGUUUGAUUCAAGUAGUAUUAUCACUCAUAUAAUUUAUUAAUGAGCUCUUUUCCUGUCAUCUAAUGCUGAUGCUUGUAUAUUCUAUUCUACCAUUCGAUUUUUUUAUGUCUAGUGCUUGUAGAUCAAUUGAUUAUAUGCUUCAUACUUGAUGGAGUGAAUAUAAUACAUAAGAUUUUCAUUCAGUUAUAUGCAGAUAUGUUAAACUUUGGUUUAUAGGCUAGAUCGUCACUAAUUAUUCAUAGUACGUGAAGCCUCUAAUACAACAGUGAUAAGAUUUGAAGUAUUAGUUGCUCUGCUUAAUCAAAUCAUGACAAAUAAAUACGGUUGCAGGGCUGGGUACUUGUUGGUUGUUCCGUUGAGUCAACACAAAACAAAAAAAAAAAAUCAUAAAAAUGAAUGGCAAGAAUAGGAAUGAAAUCAUCCACAGAAAUAAACACAAAUGUAAUCAAAUCAUUGAACACUCUUGCUCUAAGUUUUCUUCUUUACUGAUUCUUUGUUUUGUUCAUUGUUUGAUCAUUGAUUCUUGUUAAGCUUUCUGUCACUUCUUGUUUGGGAUCUGCUCUUGGGUCCUUCAAGAUUGUGUUCUUGGUUCAAUUGAGCUUUGGGAAUAGCCAUUACAUCCACGACAUGGAAGUAAUAGUAAAUAUAUAACAUCAUUUUUAUCUUCCAAUCACAAGUUACAAGAUAUAAAAUUCCCAAGGAAAAUUAAAAAGGUAAAAUUAUCUUACAUCACCUGUUGAAAAAUGAAAUAUUUUAUCCAUGUACGUAAGCGAAAUUUUGAAGGAAAACGAGAAAGAAGAAAUGGUCAAUUUCGCAGAACAACAGAGAGAUUUUGGUAGUUUCCUCCAUAAAUUUAUCACCCCAUUAUCCUCAAUUGAUAUCAGUAACACUCAAAUCUAUCCGAAAUUCUUUACAAUCCCUAAUAUAUUUAAAAGGGUUUAAUUUUGACUUUUUAAUAACUUCCAUUAGGCCAAGCAUAUUUAGUUUCUUGAAGAUUUAUUCCUGAAAAAUCCUCAAUUGUUUAUUAAUCAAGAUAGAGUUCGAGUUUAAUGAUAAAAUGAUCAUGAUUUUAAUUUAAAGAUAUGAGCCCAAAAUCCUACCGUUUACAUAUUAAAAUCACUUGAUUAUCAUAUAUUACUCAAUAAUCAAAGUUAUUUAUUACACAUCAAAGUUAAUCACUUGAUUACUUGAAAAAUGCCGGCGGCACUUGCAACUCCCUGGAACCUUCGUGUAAGUUUUCGAGUUCAUCAACUGUUGGAUAAAAUGCCCAUUUGAAGAAACUAAUAGAAAAUUGAGAUCCUCUCUUGAAUAGAGUUUACCCUUGAAAAAUAAGUAUACAUUAUCAUUCAUGUAUUGUCAAAAUUUGAGCUUAAGAUCCAACUAUUUACAAAUUAUUAAUUAUUUUUGUUGGUGAAAGCAAAUUGAUUAGAAGAAUGUGGCAAUAAGAAGAUAAAAAUGCUUGCUCAAAUACUUUGCCGUGUGUUCUUACUUACAAAUCCACCAGCUUAGCUUUUAAUCACAUAAAUAAGUCAUCAUCAUCACUAGAUUAUCGUAUAUUACACAAUUAUCAAAGCUAAUUAUUGAAACCUUUCUUUCAAAGAAAAAGAAUUAUUGAAACCUUCCGAGUUUGAAAAUGCCGGCAGCACUCGCAACUUCCAGGAACCUUCGUGCAAGUGUAGAUGCUGAGUACAUCCAACCGUUCGAUUAAAUGCCGAAGUGAUUUCGAGGAACCCACACGACCACACAACAGGUUUUUUUUUUUUUUUUUUUUCAUUUUAUUUGUACAUCUAUUUCUUGAAAAAAUAAAAAAUCAUAAAGUUCAGAUUACCCUUGAGACUUGAGAUGACAACUGUCUGCCUCUGCAUUUUCCUAAUCAUCCCUCUUCUCUAAUCUCUAGAGUCCUCUGAAAUCUCUUCUUCAUUUUCUGUCUCCCUUUUUUGAAUCGUUCUUGUCCUCGAUCCUACACCUUCUUUGCAAAUCUUUCAUUUAUUGUACUCGCUUUUCAAUUUGUCUUAGCAGAAAAUGGAUCCCCCUUUGUUUCAUCUCUAGAUUUUUCACUCUUUUCCUCUCCUCCUCCCUUAAAUCUAUUCAACUUCUUAUUUUAGCAAUUUAUCGGAACUUCUUAUUUCCCUCUUCCCAGCUGAUUGAUUAGUUCUGC
rnacentral:lncRNA from 1 species